GCGGAUCUUCUUCCAUUAACAUCAUCACCACCAACUCUUUGAGCUGCUUUGAUCACUGGAAGCGUUUGUUUCUUUUGACCAAAACCAACUGAUGAAUUGACCAAACCCACUUUCUGGUUCAGUUCUGCUGAGCCAGCACCAGAGAUAGCGUAGCUGCAGGUGAGAACACUCGAGUUCAUGGCCGCCAUUAAAAUGCCCUGUUGUUUCAGAAACUUCAAGAGUAGUCAGGUCUUGAUUGGUUGGGUGGUGAAGAAGGAAGAGAUUUAGAUAUUAGUAUUACAGAUGAAAGUGGAUGAUGAUGAUGAUGAUGAUGAGUGGACGUGCAUGUAAAUAAAGGAUUGUGGUUGUAAUGUGGAUAAGGUGAGAUUUCCUUCAGUCCUAUUGGCACAAAAAAUACAAAAUCUUCAGUAGAUAAGUUCAACGUGCAGUUGAUUAAUGACAAUUAAUCACACUAUUAUGAUUGGGCCGUGAGCUGGAAGCCCAAGUAACAAGGCCCUAAUAGUUCUUUACUCUCUUAAAACACCCCAUAACUUUCAUAAACCUUCGGAAUUACCCCAAACGAAACAAAUUGUAACUACCAGUCCUCAUCAUCUUUAAGAAAAUAAAUUAAUUAAAAUCCUCCCUUCAUUUUCGGUGUCGCUACAAUCCAGCAAAAGACCCACGAUGGACUUCUCCGUCAAACCUAACGGCGGCUCACCUUCUCCGUCAUCUUCAACCACCCCUCACCGUUUGAAACCCGCCGCCGCAACUGCCUCCGACCGAGAUCCGAUGCAUUCAUGGUGGGAAUCAGUCUCCAAGCAGCGCUCUCGCAUCCUCUCCCUCUCAUCUCUCCUCUCCUCCGGCGACGAAGCUCCGAUCUCCUCUUUAGCGGAUUCCGAUCGCCCAGCGCUGUCGCUACUCUCCUCGCGCCCCGCUUACUCCUUGAUCUCGGCUUCUCUCCGCGAUCCAUCCUCCGGAUCCGGAUCCGACCCGCUCUGUCAGUGGCUCUACGAGACCUACCUCUCCUCCGAUCAACCUCUCCGCCUCGUCGUCCUCUCGUUCCUCCCUUUACUCGCCGGGACCUACCUAUCUCGAAUCCACUCCUCGGACUCCUCCUCCCUCCCUUCCCUCUCCGGAUUCGAGGCCGUCCUCCUCGCGAUCUACGCCGCCGAGGUGAAAUCCCGCGCCGGGAAAGCCGUACUCGUGCACAUCCCCGAUCUCUCUCAGCCGUCUCUCUACCACACGCCGCGAAACGGCGGCGUUGAUAGAUCGCGCGAUUCGAGCAACCACGUGGCCUCCGUUGGAGUCCUGUCGCCGCAGUUGGAGCCUCAAGUCGCGGUGAAGUCGACGAAACGCGCCGGGAUAGUCGGGGUGGGGAUGCAGUGCUACUUCAAGGAGAUCUCUCAGAUGCCGGCUUGGUCUAAGCUCGAGCUGUGUAGCUUCGCCGGCGCUUGGGCGGGGCAAGAUUGUGAUUGCAAGGAGAAGAUCGAUGGAGAGGGAGAUAAAGUCUUGGCGUUGACUAAUGGAUUUGUUGAUUCUUCGUCUUCUUUAAAUGGAAGCAGUGAGAUCGAGGCGGAGGAGGUGGAGGAAGAGGAGGAGAAGCAGGUUAUUAUUAGCUCUAAUGGAGUUGGAGGAGGAGGUGUGAGGAUUCCACUACCAUGGGAGCUGCUUCAGCCGAUUCUACGGAUUCUUGGUCAUUGCUUGCUUAGUCCGUUGAAUAGUGAAGAUGUUAAAGAUGCAGCUUCCAAUGCGGUGAGGUCGUUGUACGCAAGAGCUUCUCAUGAUUUGAACCCGCAGGCGAUUCUGGCUACUAGGAGUUUAGUUAACCUUGAUGCAAGCGCGCGGGCCGCUGCGAAGACUGCUUCUGCCGAGAGUGUUGAUGGGUUGUCAAAUGUUAACACUCCAAGCAAGUCGAAGAAACCGGAGAUUCUUCUGUCGUCAAAGUGAGUGUUCGUUUGUUUGGUUUUGUGUAUUGUUGAAUAUGAGACAAAAUGUAGAAUCCUUGUUGUAUGGUCAUAUGCUUGAGUUGUUUUCAUUACUUUUGAGGAUGGAUUUGGUUUUGAUUUGGGAAAAGUUUGUGAGUAAAUUGAGAAAAAUGCUGGUAAUGAACUUGUAAUGAUCCCUAAUUCAACUCUCUUUAAGCAAAUGAUUAGACUAUGUGUUACAUGUGCUAUUCUCAUCAACAAGGCCCAAAGAAUAUAAAGGGCUUGGAGGAAUCAUUUAGCCCAAGAAGAAGAGUUGGUUAUUAUCUUGGCAAAGCUUCUAGAAUAAGGAAUAAAUAUGGACUGUCCUGUUGACCUGGAGAUUUGGUGCACAUGGGAUGUUUCAUCAUCACGUAUGCAUGAGGAGGAGGAAGGUGUGAGUCGGGUACAAAUACAGAACAAUACCAUUAGUUAUCUUUUAUCUAGAGAUUAGAUCACAAGAGUGGGAGAUGAGAGACUCCAUUAAUAAUUCUUUCAAGGUCAUAAUACCGUUCUUAUCGUCAAUCUACGUUUGUGUUUCCUUUGCUUUAUUGCUGCUUUGAUCCCAAGAGAUACGUUUCACGUAUUAGUGGUAUCAGAGCUCAGUUACGAGUCAUGGGGACGAUUGAGAUUCCGAUCUUCAACCGGAGGAGUAGGUUUCAUGGAUGGAUGCGUUUAUUGCUGAUCAAAGUCUUUAGUAAUAAACUCUUCAACUAAAGAUGAAUCGUAAAAAGUCUCCUCAACUAAAAAUCGUAUAAAAUAGAUUUUCAACUUUAUUUUUUUUUUAAUUUUUGUUAUCCUCAAUUCUAAUUUAAUUUUAGUUUAAACUUUUAUUGUAAAGUUCAUCUUUAGUUGAGAGGUUUAAUUACUAAAAACUUCUUAAUAUAAUCUUUUUAAAUCCUAAAUUGAUAAUUAUAAACACUACUUAAAACUUAAUAUACCCUAAAAACAUUAAAUUAUUUGAUAUUUGACAAUAUUGAUAUAAGAAAAUUUGUGUCAUAUGCCUAAUGUCUAAUAUUAAAUAAUUAAAUAAUUUAAAAUUUUAAGGUAUAUUAAGUCUUAACUAGUGUCGAAUAUAAUUAAUUCAAGAAGUCAAUCUUCCUACUUAUAGGAUGCUAGUUUUCUUUUUAUAUUUUCACAAGUUCUGACCUUUGAGUUAUACUUUUUUCCUAUCCUAAAAAUAAUGCAGGGUUAUUCUUCUUCUCCUUGAUUUUUGAACCAAUAUAUUGUACUUUUGUCAUAUUGAACAAUAAAACAAUAUCUUUGAUUUAUUAUUUUUGAUUUAUUGUAUUACUUCAUGUUUAUGCAAUAUUACUUCAUAUUUCCGUAGUAUUAUAAAUAAUCUUGUAUUAUUUUAUCCUAAAAAGUAGGAUGAAUUGUAAAAGCUUACAAAAUCAAAAUCAUUAUGAAAUCUUAUUAAUCAUUUGUAAAAAUAUUAAAUAUUUAUGAAAUUUUAUAAAUUGCUUAUAAGAUUAAUAAAGUAAUGUAUAAGAAUUAAUAAAUUAGUUUUAAAGGUUUAUAAAUCAAUUUUAAACAAUGCAUAAAUGAUAAUAAAGAUUUAAAACAUUUAAUGAUAAAAUCCCUAGACUAUUUUUGAAUCAGAAAAAAACACCUCAAUCAAGUUUUUAAGAUCAUAAACCUUCAACUUAUAACUUGUUAAUGUAUAUCACCCUCCGUCACGGUAUUUUAGACAGAAGGUAACAUACGUUAACGAAAUUAAAAUUGAAGGCUUAUUUCGUAUGAAUUUUAGUUUGGAGAGAUUUUUUUCGAUUUAUUUACUAAAAACCCUUAAUAAUAUAUCAUCAAUUUUUUUUUACUUUUUUAAACUUGAGAUACAAGUUAGAACAAAAACCCACGGAGGGGUUAGUGUACUAACUAACACACAGACUGCAGAAGUGAAUAUUUAGAGUUGAUUUCGAUGGUUUGGUUGCAUAAAAACAAAUUACACUUGAUUUGGAUUAAUACAGACGAACAACAUGUUGUAAAAACUCUCCAUCAGCCAAUAAUUUCUCCAAAACGUGAGACCAUAAAGACGUAUGAACCUCCAUACUUCCUUGUUCAGUUCCCGGGUAAAUAAGGAUUUUACCAUGACCAGCAAUUCCCGGUCCAGGUCGAACCGCAAUCGGUUUACCCCAACCAAAAUCGUUUCCAAACACAUUGAACCGUGGAGAGCUAGCAACAACGAGCGAAUUAUUUACCACCAAACCAUUCGGUAUAUUUGGGGUUUUAACCCAAUUCUCAGCAAACCGAUUGUAUACCUCAUUCGUCUGUGACCUCACGGUUUUGUUCAGCUGCAAAGCCACCCAACCCAGUCCGUUGUUAAGCAUUUCUCCGGCGGUUGUGGUGGCAGUCGCCAGUCCAACCAUGCUUCCAAAAUACUCUUUCUCGGGCGGAGGGUUUAGCCUCUGUCUGAUAUCCAUUGCUAACUUGCAAUGGACCACUUCUUGAAGGUUAAGAUCACUGUUUUUGGUUAUUGAUCGCCACAUAUGCGCCAUAACGGCUUGAAACGAAGAGAUUUGUAUAUCCUCAUCAUCAUCAAAACCAACAACCUCAUCGUUGGCUUUCUCUUUGAGCUCAGAGAUGCUUCUACUCGUGAACCGAAAGAUCUUCUUUCGCAAAUCAGGGGGUGACGACGAGGGAGAAACAACUUUUGCAAAUAUCGUCUCCGAGAUGGGAACUCGAAUAGGGUAGUCAAUCCCGUCGAGAAACCACUCACGUAGAGGCAAAGGAGGAAACAUUUUCUGGCCGCCGGCAGAGCAACAAAUCUCCGUCAAUGUUCUGAAGAAACUCCACAUUGAUAUUCCGUCUGCAACCAUAUGGUUAUUACCAUAUCCGAUGAAAACUCCGUCUUUCAACUCCGUUACUUGGAACGCAAUCAACGACUCCGAGACCCCUUCCCAGCUUUCAACUCCAUUGAGCGGGAAAAACGCGUUCCAGAAACCAGGGACGGCAGCGUUAGCCGGAUCCAAAACAUCAUUCACCGACACGGUUACAGCCGAAGCAUGUACGAAUCUGACGCCUGAACCAUUGCAGUCUAUGAAAAACGACGCCGUUUCGUCGUCUUCGUUGUGGGUCUUGACUAGACGUCCAGCUAAGGGGUAGAAUAUCUUCAAAGCGAUGGACAGAGAGGACUUCAGUUGAGAGAUUAUGUUGGUUUCCGGGUCUGGUUGCGGGAAGAUGAGAGCUCUUUGUGCGUAUUCGGUUCGAAGGAAGAAGAGAUCAAAUGGAGUGAGAUGGAUCUUAACCCGGUCAGAUCCAUCCUCGUAGCUCUCUGGUUGGACAAUGGUCUCAGAUAUCACUACAACAGCAUCUGCCAUUUUAUUUAUUUAUUUUGAGUAAACACUUUAGUGUGUGUCUUUAAAUGAUUUAUGCCGAGUGCAGGGGCGAAGCCAGGUUACCCACUAUGGGGGCCUGUGCACCCGCAAUAUUAAUUGAUAAUGUAAUUUUCGUGUAAAGAAACAUAAAAUUUCAGCUAGAAGAGAUGGUAAAAUGUUGGUGUGCACCCGUAACAACCAAGGUUCGAUUCUACCUUUUGACAUGUUUCUAUUUUAUUAUAAAGAGUGCACCCAGUCAUUAUACAUCCUGGAUUCGCCCCUGGCCGAGUGUAUGUAUAUAUAUAGAUGAUCCGAUCUCACCUACCAGUAAAAAACUAUACCAUGCACGUUUGGUUAAGUUUCAAUUUUUCACCUGCAUGUUACACCAAAUCAUUCAAUUGUUAAACGAAAUCAUCAGAUUCUGAUUUGAUUCUCUUUUUUUUUUGGUGUAAUUAAUGAAAAGAGAUCUGAUUUGAUUCUUGUAUGGUAGAUGUUACAUGGAAACGGAAGCGGGUACGUGGAAGCGGAAACGUAAGGAAGCGCAGAAGCGAGAUUUUUUAAAAUAUUAGGAAGCGGAUACGUGUUGGAAACGUAUAUCCAUAUAUAAAUAAAUAUAUAUAUAUAUAUAUAUAUUAAUUUUAAAAAAAAAUUAGGACUAAAAAUUAUAUGAUUUAAAUUUGAAAUAAUGCAUUUAUUCAUUUAUAAUAAUUUUGAAAUGAUUUUAUAUUAAAACUGUAAAACUACACAUAAAUGAAGUUUACAAAAAAUAUUAUUAAUCAUUUUUAAUACUUCAUAAAUAAUUGACACAAUAUAUUUCAAUAUGUGCUAUAUCUUUAAUAAAAAAUCUCAAUGCAUAAAGAUAAUUUAUAGUAUUAUUUGUAUAUUUGUAUAUUUAUAACUCAAUAUUCAUUACUAUUAAUUUUUUUUAUUUUAUAUAGAUUAAAACUAUGGUUUUAUAUUUUAUUGAUAUACAUUGCAUUUUUUUUAAAAACGGAAACGUGAUUCCAAAACGGAACCGUAAGCUUCCAACAAGUUUUUAAAGAGAAUAUUUUAGAAACGUUUUGGAAGCGAGAUUCCGCAAGCUUCCGCAAGGUUCCGAUUCCGGUUCCGAAGCGGGAAGCGGACGUCCGAUGAAGCUUCCGUGCAACGUACCGCAGGUUUCAAAGUCAGAAAUCUCGUGUGCGUGUCUUCUGUUAAAUCUUAUGCAACAUACAUAAGAGAACACCGAAGGUAUAUAUGGAGGGAGAUAAAUGAGAUAACAACAUUACUAAUAAACUUUAUGAAUUAAAAAACAAGAAAAAUGCUGGGCAAACACUAGUCAGUCUGCAACAAUGGUGGUGGAUUCUGAGCAUUGAGGAUCAAUUAAUUGAAUGGGUUUGAUCUGAAGUGCAUUAUUGAUUGUAGGUAAAGCAAUGAAACAAUCUACAGAUGAAUAAUUGAUGAUAUUUUAUUUCGUAUUUUUAUAAUUAUUUAUGAAUUAUUGUUUUUAGUUUAUUUUUAUUUUGUUUUAUAUCUAAUAAAUGAUCCAUGUGCCUUCCCAGGCCUGCUCUGGUUAUCAGUUAUAUUAAUAUAGUGAUAUAGUUGCAUUGGUUCAUCGUUUAGAACAAAAGCCCAUGCAGGGGUACCAUUGUCUAGGGCUUGCCGUGAUGUUGCUCUCAAGACAGAAUAAUUAUCACGCAGAAUACGGUUUUUUUUUUUAUUCUUUUUCCACACAGAGACUAUUUAGAUACCAAAUAAGACUGCAGAAGUGUAGAACAUAACAUUUCGAGUUGACUUGGAUGGUUUAAUCAGAGAAAAAACGAAUUACAUUUGAUUUCGAUUACACGUACGUAAUCUCACAUAACAAUUCAAAGUUUCGUUGAAGAAUUGACGUGUCUCACAAGAAAGGGAUGAGAAGGAAAGACCUUGUGAUUUCUACGAUAUUGGUGACGAAAAUGAGAUGACACGCGAUGCUUCUUUGUACAGUAAGAAAUAUAUGCUUCUGUAAUACUAUAAUGUGAGACAGUGAGAGGUUGUAAUAUCAUCUCGUCUCGUAGUUCCUACGUGUAACGUGAUUACUAAUCAGUGAAAAAAUAUAUUUAUCAGUUACAAAAAAAAAUAUAUAUAUUUAUCCAUUUCUAAAAAUAAAAUAAAAACCUACCAUAACUAAAAGUUCUGUUCCACGACCGAACCAAAUAAUACUACUAGAUAUUGGUUAAUUUAAACAUUUUUUGAGAAAAAAUAAUUUAAACAUUGUUUGUCAUAAGCUUGAACCGAUUAGUGAAUCAGGUUAUCGCAUGUCCCCCAUUACCAUGCAAAUUUUGAACUCUUUUUAUUUGAUUGUGGUUUCAAAUAGAUAGCAAUUUUGAGAAAACUCCAUCGAGAUAAUGACAACGAGAAACAAUGAUCCGACAGGGAGUUUGGGGAAGAUGGAGACUUGGAUUAAUUAUUUAAAAUUUGAUUAAUUGAAUCAUGUACUGAAUUGGCCUUGAUCAUAUUUGUCAUUACUAAUGAAUGGUCCAUUAAAGAUAUCUUUUAUCUAGAGAUUCGAUCACAAGAGAAGGAAGCGAGAGACUCCAUUAAUAAUUCUCUCAAGGUUGUAAAGUUGUAAUACAAUUCUUAUCAUCGAUCUACGUUUGUUUCCUUUGCUUUAUUGCUGCUUUGAUCCCAAAAGAUACGUUUCACGUAUCACUAUGAUAAUUAAUUUCUGGAACUUGGAUGCGAUCAAGUAUAAGAUGUUAAUGGAAAGACAAAAAGGUAUGAUUAUAACAAAGUUAUUAUUAUUACACAAGAGUUUCCAUUUUCUCUCUUUUGUCUCUCUACUCCUCGUUGCCGGAAACUCCCUCGGCCUGAGAAGCUCCUCCAUCUGUAAUGAUAUCAGAGCAAAGAGAUUGAUCAGUAAGUCCUUACAAUUUUGCUUCGAAUAUGGAGAUGAUAAUUAGAUGUAAAAGUUUAACCUUCACCGCCAUCAGAUGGAGCACAUGGAGACUUCCUGUAUCGCGUCUGCUGCUGGGUUGGCUGCAAAAAAAUGGGACGAGAUCUUAGGACUGGAAACAAACCGCAGAGAGAAAAGAUACAAACUAGAACGUGGUGAUAAAGCUCAUUUACCUGUAACUUGGGACGAAGAGCUUCAAGAGGUCCCUUUGGCUUCGCAACACCUUGCUGUUUACAAGAAAAUAAUCAUAACAAGGAACAUUAUGUAGAGAUGUUAUAUUUGAUGAUAAACAACAACACUGGUGGAAUCAAAGUUUUAACCAUCUUACCUUUCCAAGAGCCCAGUCAGCUGAGUCAAAGUAUGCUCGCUCAUGAUCCUGAUACAAAACCACACACACCUCAGAAAAGAACACACACACACAAAGUCUCCUUAUUAGACACAAGAUAAAUGAAACUUACCUUGGAAAUGAGAGGUGGUUUCUUUGGCAUGAGCCCUCCAUACUUGUUCUUUACAGCAGCCUCCUACACAAAUGCCAAUCAAACAAAGAGUUACAUCGUGGCAUUUGUGACAUUAUUAUCUCUAGUGCGUGUGUGAGAAUUAAGAUGGAAACCUCCUGAUGUGAUGACGGCAUCGACUUCUCUGCCUCACUAGUGACGUUUCCUUGCUCUUUCAAAUCCUCUCCGCUAGACAUUAUAUGUAGGAUGUCUCAACGUCACCAAAACCAAAAAGAUGCUGUAAUAAUAAUAUAAAACGUUACUCAAAACCAAGUAAUGCUCAAGAACAGGAAAGAGAUUAACUAUGAAAAUGUAUAUACUCCAUAUAAAAGGCAAAGACUCCAAGAUUUAUCUCAACGUCUACUAUGUAUGUUAAAUGUAUCUCUAAACAAAGCAUCAUCCAGAUUCUAUAUGAAAGUCGAAGAAGCUUUGGAGUUUAAUAAAUCCAGAUUGAAAUCAUAACCAGCCACGUCAGGUCAGAUCUCCACAAUGCCAAUAUAGAUAAGGAUUUGUAUAAACAAAGAUUUUUCAGCUAAACACAAAGCCAAUACGAGAUCAGAUCACCAACAACCAAAGGCGGAAUCAGAUACGAUCACUUACCAGUUAAUGAUUUGUUAUGUCUCUCUCUCUCUGUCUUUUUGCUGUUGUCAAAGAGAUCUUUAGAAAGAAACUGAAUUAUAAAGGAUGAUCGUGUGGGAGCCAGAUAAAAGAGAGAGACAGAGAGAGAUGAUUGGGAUGGUAUUUAUCAUCACUAUGAACCGUAACUCGAAAAAUUGUAUUAAUCGUUGUAACGUUUACGGUAAUGACAAUGGUGGCACAAAACGUUUGUCAUAAAAGAUUCAUUUCUAGAUUCAAACAUUGUCUUAACAACAAAGGCUUCAAUCUCAGACGAAAACAAAAAGCUAAAUGAGCAUCAAAAUGUAAAUCCUGAGAAGACUUUGCAUAAGAGAAUCAACGGAGUCUUCUGGCUUCUCUCUCGGACUCGAGAAGAGUGAGGAUGUCUCCUUCCCUCACCGGUCCUUUCACAUUCCUCAUGAUAAAACGGUCCGAGUCUGUGAACUUCACUCUCACCUGAGUCACCUGACCACGCGAACCAGUCCUCCCCAUCACUUUGACAACCACAGCAUGCUUGAUCUGAGAAUCCAUUCUGCAACCACACAAAAACACGUCAUAUUCAGACCACCCCAUAACAAUCACAAUAUCAAAUCAAAGUACGAGUAAUACAGCUACACUGAUAUUGAAUUAACCAUAUGAUUCUAUUUUCUUGCACAACAUAACAUGCACUAUUUUGAUUUCACUAAGUCAACAACAUCUACUAGUGCGAUAGACCACCGAGCAGUGUGAGCAACAAUAUACACAACCACAGGGGAACACAAGACUAAGAUAGCUACAAGGAUCUAAAGAAGCGCCGUACGUUAUUAGUGCGACGAAGCAAUGAACAAACCUGUUUACUGUUUGCGGCGGGGGCUCAAAAAACUACGUCAAAUCGUCGAGGUUGCUAAAAAAACUAGUUUUGGUAAGCAAUGAACAAACCUGUUUACUGUUUGCGGCGGGUGCUCAAAAAGCUACGUCAAAUCGUCGAGUUUGCUAAAAUACCUAGUUUCGGUAAACUCAGAAAUGAAUUUAUAUAAAGCAUAAAAUGGGCCUGACCUACAAGCUUAUGUGAAGUACUAUGGGCUUUGUAUUCAUAUAGCAUGAUAUAAAAAAGGCUAAAUGGGAUAGACUAACCCGGGGCAAAAACCCAAACCAAAAUACCCGAAACGAAAAUUCUCAAAUAUCCAAAUAAUUCCUAUAUCCGAAAUAACUGAACCGAAAUCCGAACGGAUACCCAAAUAUCCAGAAAAAAAAACAAGUUUCAACUUUCUAAUAUAAGGUAAAACGUCAUCAAUUCCACUCGAACUAUUGGAACGGAAGAGCGAAGACAUCGUUACCACUCGACCAAUUAAACUAAUAUGUUAACUAAGAUAUUUUGUAUAUACUGUAUAUAUUUGAUUUACAUAUUAAACAGAUAUCCAGAACCGACCCGAAACCAAAACAAAAUCUUAUUAGUACCUACUAAGUAUAAGAGUACUUAGGUAUAACCAUAUAAGAAUGAUUUAUCUGAUAUACCGGAACUAAAUAGUUUUUACUCGGAACUGAACCGAAUACACGAAUGGGCUAUGACAGACCUACAAGCUUAUGUGAAGUACUAUGAGUUGUUAUCAUUAUCUUGAGUAGAGAAGAGUUCAUAUGCUUAAGUUGUACACAAAGAAUAGAGUAUGUAAUGAUAGUUAAGACAUUUGUACUCUACUCUAUACUAAGGGGCUUGCAUUUCAAAUGAUCAGCUAAUGCUACUGCUAUUCAAUCAUUGAGCAUAAGAACCACAAAUUCAAACUUAAUUUAAUCGAGUCAAUCAAACAUAAUAACGAUCUAGAGUCGCAACUCUCAACCAAAUUAGUUCACCCGUACACAGAUGCUUCCACUAUCAACUCCAGCAAAAAGUUUGCCGAGAAUAUAGCAAACCAGAACGAUGGGAGAUUCCUAUGGAUGGUAUCGAUUCAUCAAAGCUAUAUCGAAAAACUUUGUAGGAUGACUCUCUGAAGAUGUUCGGCAGCAGAUGAUAAAGAGCUUCUUAAUUUGUUUUUUUUUUUGUUAGUCAAAAAGGCAAGUGAUCACGAUGUUGACACGUGGCAAAGCAAUCGAAAAGUUUGACGGGCUGGGUUUAAUAUCAGUUCCAGUGAUAUCAUUGGUACACGUCAUUGUUUUGGUCUCGAGACUGGACUCGGGCUCUCCUCUUAUUGGUAAAAACAAAAAGGCCUAUAUGGGCCGAAGAAGAAAGCCCAAAGAAUCUAUUGAUCGUGUUUUUUUCCCACUUGUUCUCAAGUUUUGAGUCUCCGGGGAAGGAAGGAGAAAGGGAGCUCCUUUUGUCCUUUGAUCUUCCGAUGGAGGAGCAGAUGGGAGGGAGCGAGGAUAGAUGGAAAGGUUCACUAGAGAACAUAACGGAGAUGGCUUCGAAUCUCGAUUCUCUCCAGAAGCUUCUCCUCAAAAAGGCUGUCUUCGUUGAAGAAGACACUUUCUCUAGAGCUUCUCUCGUCUCCGAGCAAGCCCGAACAAUCAAGGUCCGUUUAAAAAAAGAUUCUCCCAUGAUUGAUUUGGAGUGUGUCGAGGAUAAUUGGCCGAAAAGUUGAUCUCUUUUCGUUGAUUUUGAUGAUUUGACUCAGUGAUCAUUAUUGCCUCAGUGAUUUUGUGGAUCUGAUCUGAUUGACAUUUUUGAAACCUCGCUACUCAGUUAGAUUGAGUCAUUACUCUACCUUAGUGUGAAUCUGGAAUUGCAUCAGAUGGUGAAUUUGGAAACUCAUCAGUUUCAUUGUGCUGCAUGAGCUGGAAAGUUUGAAUCUUGGUGCCUGAACCACCAAACCACAACCCCUGAAUACUUGUAACUAGUUGGAUUGGUGAUUACCAAUGAGCUUGUGGCUUUGAUUUUUUGAUCUAUUGAUAGCUGCAAAUGAUCACAAAAUCAUGAAAGCCUGAACCUUUGAGGUUUCCCCAUGAAGUUUGGAAGAGCAAUAAUUUUCGAUUGUGUAUUCUUUUCAAUGUUCUGGUUUAGGUGCUUGAGCAAAGGGUACAAACACUAGAAAGAGAACUAGAUGCUGCCAUUACCGCUGCUGCUCAUGCUCGCUCUGAGAAACGCCAAGCUGAGUCCUCUCAAAAAGCUGCUGAAUCACGUGCCCAUGAGGUCACAAAAGAGCUCGAAAACACCACAAGUAUGUAUAUUUUGGAAUUAUCAAAGCCCUUGUUUUGUAGUCAAUGCACCAGUUCUGGUUUCAUGUUCUUUGGUUUGAAUUGAUGAAACGAGAUUGUUUGUUUCAGAGGUUUUCAAGCUGCACAUGGAGGAGCUCCGAGGGAUGCAAGAACAGAUAUCCAAACGUGAUAACGAGAUCAAGCUCUUGGAAGCUAUCAUCCAAACGCUCGGUGGAAAAGAGCGACUGAGAAAAAGUGGUGUUAAUGAAUGAUCAUGCGUUUCUUUCACUUGUAAUAUUCUUUGUAACCCGAGUUUGUGUGACAUUUUUCUGUAAUCAUAUUCUCUCACAAGAUAAAAAAAAUAUCAAUCAAAACUAUGUUAUAACUGAGUUCUUUGUGAUUUAGUCUUUGAAUUAAAUAGAGAUUCACUUUUCUGAAGCAGGAAAAAAAAAAAUAUUAAUCAAAACUAUGUUAUAAGUGAGUUCUUUGUGAUUUAGUCUUUGGAUUGAAUAGAGAUUCACUUUUCUGAAGCCUUUGCUGAGGAAUGAAUCAGGGAAACUCGAAUGAACUUGAAUAAGGAACGAAGAAAUUGAUUAAGGUUGUUUCAAAAAGAGUACAAGUUAAGAGAGACAAAGAUGAGCAGAUUGUUGUGACCUGCAUCUAUCAUCUACAGUUCGACAGCUACAAUCUCAAGUGUCUCACUAUACAACUAUACACCUCUGGAGAAUUCAUCUAAAGAGUUGGACCAAGAUUAAGGCUGGUUCGUCCUUAUGGGAUUGCAUUGUGUGACGAUAUGUAACAUCCCUUAUAUAUUAUUUGAGAAGCAUUGCAACAUUUUUUUGUAGCCACAUGUCAUCACUAGAAUGAUUUUUAGAAUCCUUAGAAAAAUAGGUUGGUCCAUCUAAAUAUAUAAUAAGUUUUUUAUUAAACCACAAUAAAUACAUUAUUAAUGUGCUUUAUUAUUUCCUUAAAUAAGAUUACGGAAUUGCCUAAUGUGGCUAAAGUAUAUAUGACAAUUAAUGAUUUUGAAUAAUAAAGAUUUGAUAAGAAUAAGUGUGUAUUAUAAUAAUAUUUGUUUAAUUUUAAGCUAUUAAAAUAAAUUAAACAAUCAUAAUAACCAUAUAAUAAAAAUUAAAAAAAUUAUUUAUAUAUUAUAUUUUGAAUUUUUAAAAACGAGUAUAAAUUCACAUUCAAAUUUUGUGAUCUAUCAUUUAAAAAUUUUGUAGUUAUGACAUGAUACAAAUAAUUAAAAAAUAAUAUAAGUUGAAAGUCUCAUUUAAUAAGUAUCAAAAAUAAAAGAUAUAUAAAUAUAUGUAUCAUUUUAAAUUAAACUAUAUGCCAUAUAAAAAUACAUAAAUAUCUUAAUUUUGAAAUUUACUUUGAACAUUUUUUGAUAAAAAAUUUGAAAAAAUAUUGAGAACUUAAUUUUUUAAAAUAUUAUAAAUUAUUUAAACCAUAAAUCUCACAGUGAAAAUUUUGUUAUCACUAAUUUAGAUUUUUUGCUAUAACAGAUACAAAUGAUAAAAAAAAAUGAGCAAAAAGCAUCAUCUAAUAAAUAUUAAUAUUAAAAUAUACCAUAUAUAUGUUACUAUCAUUUAAAUUUAGUUAAAUUUAUAUAUUAUAUGUUCGCACCAAUUUAAUUAUAUAAGUAAUAGAUAAUGAAUUUUUAAUUAUUCAAUAUCUAUUUAUUAUUUCAUAAUAUGUUAUAAACAUAUAAUAUAUAAAAAUUAUUUUAUAUAUAAUGUUCAUCCCGCGCAAGGCGCGGGUCUUAACCUAGUAUAUUGUAUAAUAUCAACUGCAAUACUGAGAAAGCUUAAUUUAUACAUAUGCAGAUGCAAAUAAUGAGAAACCAAUUGGUCCAAGGGUGAGUAAUGAUUCUAUUUGACAUAUUCCAAAGCAACAAAAAAAAAGACGUUGACGCACCAGUAAAUUUGCAUUUUUCACUCUUGUAAUUUUCAUAUUUCAUUAAACUCCUAUAGGAUACUUUGAAUUUGCAUUUUUGCGACAAAAUAUGGAAAAACCUUUAGAGAAAUUUCAUAAAAUAACAUUUUUUAAAAGUUUUUGUCACAAAAAUACUUCAUAAUAAAAAAAGUUACCAAGAUAAGUUUUAUUAGAGAGUAAAAAUAUAUUUUUAUCCUACGUUAACUAAUCUAGACUUGUGAAUUAGAGUUAAGAAAUGAAGUUUUGAGAUAGAAUUUCAAAUUUAGAAAUAAAAAUUAAAAUUAAAAAUUUAAAAAAUUAAAAUAAAAAGAUGGUGUUUUGGUCUCUUUUUUAGAGUUAUUUUUGUGACAAAAUUUAAAAAAAAAACUAUUUGAAAGAAUUGCAGAAAGCUUUAUUUUUCAUAUUGAUUAGGGUUUAGGGUAUAGGGUUUGAGUUUAGGGGUUUGGAUUUGAAUUUAGAAUUUAGGAUAUAGGGUUUGGAAUUUAAAAUUUAGGGUUCAUGGUUUUGUUGGAAGAGUUAGCAUCGUUAAAAUUAGCAUUUUUAUUUUUUGUAGCUAUUUUUUAUUUAAUUUAAUAUUUUUUAAUUAAUAAUCUAUGUGAAAAUUUGAUUGGUCCUAAAUAAUAGGUGAAUUUAAAGGUUCACCCUAAAUUAUGUUCAUAAGUAAUAUAUAGAGAUAAUAGAACUCGAAUUUGGACAAAUGAUCCGAUCUAUCACCCGAUAUAUUUUAAAACAGUAUGACCAUAUUAAACCGUCAUAAAAAAAUUAACAUCUACCAGACUAUAUUUACAUUUUGCUAAAAUUAAAUAUUUUUAAUAUAAUUGAUGAUACAUAUUAUUUUUCUAUAAUUGGAAACCUGAAUUAUCAAUUGUACAGCAUUACUUGACCAAGAAGCUUCCACAAUUCUAGUUCCAUUAUGCUAACCGAGAUCAUUGUACAUUCAUCAUUCUCUAAAACGAUUUAUAAAACUAGAGUCGCUAAUGAUAACCAAUUGGAGCUGCUGCUUCUCGCAACUCCUUCCCUUGAUUACGAAUGUCCUGCAAAAUAAUAACUCAACAUGCAACAUUAACAGCUCACAACACACAACACUAGCUAAAAAAAAACCACAUACUACUAAUCGAUAUACUUUUUAAGAUAAAACUGAAAAAUGGUUUGUAUGUGUCUACUACACUACACUUACGGAAGCAAAAUGGUUGACAUCUCGAUGAUGAGCUUCAUCAGCACGAAUCACAGUGACAACAUCUUUCAACGUAGCAUCUUCCGGCAACCUCCAAUAAUCAAUCGCUAUCGCCGGCGCCUUAACGUUCUCGAUCUUCCCAUCAUCGAUGUCUUUGAGAAACUCCGUGUAAGAAUGUAUAGCUUCUUCUUCCAAAUAACCAACGAUGCGAUGAGCCAACCGCGGCGAAAGCACGUAGCAAGUGAAGAAAGAGCUGAAGAAAACGCCUUGAACGAGUAUCACUAGAAGACGCUCGUACCAUUUGGGUUUGACUAACUCCAUCAUCGUCAUUAGAUGCAUCCUCUCGUUCUCUGCUUCUUCUAGCAACGCUUUGAUCCAUCCUCCGCUGUGUUCGAAUCUUCGGAUUGAUUUUAGGUGGAGGAGCAUUCCUCCUACCAUUCCUGGUACGGCUGCUACUGUCUCUAGCAUCAUUGCUCUGCAUCCGUAACGUCUCUGCGGUCAAUGUAGUAAAGUUUUUGUAAUAAGAUUCGAACGUGUAAUAGUCUAAACAAAACGCAUACAUGGAUCUUAUGUCAUGCGAGGAUCAUGCCUGAAAGAAUAUGUCGGUGGGAACACGGAGGAUCUUGACUAUCACGUACGCGAUUUUGUCGGCCAUAUUUUUUGGAACGUGGUGCUUCUUAAAAUCUAUCGUUAAGUCUGCUUGAUGUGUCUCCCACGGCUGUUCCAGAUAUACAUUAUUAUAGAUGCUUAGCAUACACUCCUCAUAUUUUAAAUUCUAUGAUGUUUUGGUUAAAGCCACAAAAACUAAGAGAUACAUUUUUUUCCUAAAAGAUAAUAUUAAGAUGUAAAUUUAAACUAAUUAAUGGUCAAACAAAAUUCAGUAAAACUAAAAUUUAUAUACAAUUAUACAAAAUAUCUAAUAUUGUACAUUUUGAAACAUUAAAAACUCUACAAAACAUCGUUGUAAAGUAUACAAAAUUCAAAAUAUAUAUUCAUUGUCAGUCAUAUAAAUACUAUCAGUUACCAAAUUUUAAAAAACUUUAGAGUACUUUUUUGGCAAAAUAAAUUUUAAGUGCUUGAUAUAUACAUGGAUCAUACAAAUCAUUAUCCAACUCUUAAUCAGUAAUUGUUCCGAGCCUCAUAAAUCCCAAAUUAAGUCGGUCUUAAACUCUUGAUGCAUAUUUAAACUUACCAUAAAACAGUUCCAAGGCCAUUUGGACCCAUCUUUGCGAGCAAUCUUCAUUUUGGCCGUCUCUAUUCCCCAAUAACUCGGAACCGUCACAGAUCCACCGCCGUCUUGAUCUUUCCUCACCGUAUCGAGCCUCGGCUUUUCAUCUUUCUUUUCGGUAGCCGACGCAGAACACAUCCUCCUCCACCUCAUGUUGAAAUCUCCCAUCAAGUAUACUGUUCAAGAUUUAGAAUGCAUAAAUCAUAAUCUAUGUAUAUAUUUCUGGAUCCUAUAUUUUCCAAGCUUUGUAGAGAGCCACCUUGCACAUGCUCAGAACGGAUGUUGCAACCGACAAAGCCGCCGCACCAGUCAUGAACUAGCGUCGGUUUAUUUGUGUCUCCUGCACGUCUAACCACUGAGGCGGCGGAAACACACCUCGCGAACAUGUUACAGUUUACUCUGCUGUGUACAAGCAGAUCUCGUAAACCUCUCCUUGCAACGAGUUGACUCAUGUCGCGUUACACACACUGUUUCAGAUCGUAUGUUUCUAGUGAGUUUGGACAUUAUUUACUUCUCGGGUCUUAAGUCUUCCAGAUGUUAUUGAGAGAGAGGAGAAGAUGUGACAGCAGCUGUGUUCGCGGCGAAUGCUGCUAAGCACACGUGGUUUACACUUAACCGUUGCUUUCAUACUAAGAAUUUCUUUUAAUGGUUGCGAUUUGAUCAUUUGAGUAGUGCAACUAAGCCUAAAUGAAGAUUAUGAGUAUGUGAGCUUGUCCGAAUCAUGACGUGACGUUUUAGACCACGUAAAUCUUGGCCCGGGAGUAAACCCUCCUGUCCGAUGUGUAUUUGUUUGGUUUAACUUGGCUUAACAGAUUGGUUUUCGUUAAUUGACAUGUAGGAAAAGUCCCUAAAAAGGAAGUUAUUUAUACUAAUAUUUUUGGAAUGCUAUUGAUAUAACGUCUGAAAAAGGGGGUGUUACAUAGCAAGAACUUACCAACUUACUAAAACAUUUUUGGAAUGCUAAUGAUAUUUUUAAUAUUAAUUUCUCAUUUUACUACUAAUAAAAUUUUCCAAAAAAUAUUUGCGUCAUGCUGAGCCCGUAUUUGCAUCAUAUUGGGUGUGAUUGGUUGGGUUGUAGGAAGUGACUUUAGCUUUAAUUUUCAUCUACAACCUUAAAUACUACCAAUCAUGCUUUAUCUUAGUUUUUAAAGUUACAACCAAAAAAUUAAAGCUACAGCAAAAACAUACAAAAAAUGGUAGUAAAAAUCUUAUUUUCUAAAGCCCCAUUUUUUUAGCUGUAGAAAAUUUUAAAGCUACAUCCCUUAAAGUUAAAUCAAAAAAUUCUACAGACUAAUUUCUAAAGUAAAUUUUCUAUAGUUACAGCUAGGGGUGUCAAAAUGGGUCAUGACCCAUGGGUUGAUCCAACCCAAGUUGACCCAUUAACCCAAAUGAACUGUUUAUUUUUGAUCCAAUGGGUUAAUGGGUUAAAAGGUUAAUGGAUUAACAAGUUAAUGGGUUAACAAGUUAAUGGGUUAACAAGUUAAUGGGUUUAUUGGGUUGGGUCAACUCUGACCCAUUUUGUUUUCAAUUAAAAAAAACAUGAGUAAACCCAAUUCUAAGGUUUGAUAAAAUUGGAAAAUCAUGAGUUUCUCUAAAGUCUAAUCAUUUAUUCGGUGGUAAAAUGCAUUUUCCGCCAAAACUGCAAAAUACGUUUUUCCGCCAAAACGUGUUUUUUCGCCAAAACUACAAAACAAGUUUUUCCGCAAAAACUGCAAAACUCGUUUUCCCACAAAAACGCAAUUUCCCGCCAAAACUGAAAAACCAAUUUUCCCGCAAAAACGCAUUUUUUCACCAAAACUGCAAAAACACACUUUCCCGCCAAAACCACAGAAACGCAUUUUCCCGCCAAAACCGCAAAAACACAUUUUCCCGCCAAAACCGCAAAAACGUAUUUUCUCGCCAAAACCGCAAAAACAUAUUUUCCCGCCAAAACCGCAAAAACGUAUUUUCCCGCCAAAACCGCAAAAACGCAUUUUCCCGCCAAAACCGCAAAAACGCAUUUUCCCGCCAAAACCGCAAAAAAAACGUGUUUUCCCGCCAAAACCGCAAAAAACACAUUUUCCCGCCAAAACCGCAAAAAACGCAUUUUCCCGCCAAACCCGCAAAAAACGUGUUUUCCCGCCAAAACCGCAAAAACGCAUUUUCCCGCCAAAACCGUAAAAACAUAAUUUCCCGCCAAAACUGUAAAAAUCAGUUUUCCCGCAAAACCGUGUUUCCCACCAAAACCGCAAAAACUCGUUUUUCCGCAAAAACGCGUUUUUCGCCAAAACCGCAAAAGCACGUUUUUCCGUCAGAACAAUUUAACACGUUUUCACACCAAAACUGGGAGAACUCACUUUCCCGCAAAAAUGCUAUUAUCCGCCUAAACCACAAAAAACAUUUUAUCAUUUUGAUCAAUUUGGUCUUAACUUAAAAAUAAUUCAUUAUAAAGAUAUUGGGUUGAUGGGUCAACCAUUAACCCAUCUAACCUAUUUAAUUUAAUGAGUCAUGGGUCAACCCAACCUAUUUAAUAAAUGGGUUGGGUUGACCCAUGACCCAUUAACAGUAAACCCAUUUGGGUUUUGGGUUGGGUUGAACCAUUUGACCCAUUUUGACACCCCUAGUUACAGCCUAAACAAUCACCCCUAUUGUUUUUAAAAAUAAAAUUUUAGGAUUCUAUCUACAUCAUAUCCUCCAGUUAUCCAUAUAAUUAUAUACACUAUUAUCCAGGUCUACCAAGAACCCAAAAUAGUUUCAUUUAAAAACAUUAACCAAGUUUUAAUCUAUACUAUUAAAAUAGAAGUCAUAAUUUUCUUCAUAUGUAAUAUUUUAAAUGAUCUAUACUAUUAAAAUAGAAGUCAUGACUUUUUUUAUAUGUGAUAUUUUAGAUGGACCAUCUCUAGAAAGUUGUUGAUAUUAUUUUAAUUUUUGUAUUUUCAUGAUAAAAUUCUAACAACCUAUUUAAUUCUCUUUCUAUUUCAUAAAAAUAUUAGAGAUACAUAAUUUCGAAAAAUAUAAUAUUCCAUCAAUAUAUAAUUAUAUAUGCAUAUAACCAUUUAUAAUCUACUUAAUAAUAAUAACAUUUAAUUAUUCUAGAGUUUAUACUUUUAUAAUAAUAACAUUUAUGAUCUAAUUAAUAUUAAUAAUAAAAUUUAUCAUGCAAAUACAAUAGUGUUAGAAUUUUACCUUGAAAAUAAUAAAUCGAAUCAAAUAUUAAAAAUCCUAACACUAUUGUAUUUGCAUAAUAAAUGUUAUUAUUAUUAAUUAUAUUAUACAUGUAUCAAUAUUUAUAUAGGUACUAUGUUAACAAACAUGUAUUGAUAAAUAUAUUAUAUUUUAAAAUACAAUACUAUAGAUUCAACCAUAUAUUGUUAUUAUAAUAAAUGGUUUAAUCCAUAUAUAUACUGUAGUGAUGAACUUUUCAUGCGUAAUUACAGAAAUUUUAAAUAUAUAAAUGUGUAUAAAUUUAAAAUUUAAAAUAAAAUUAUGUAAAGUAUAAUAAUAUAAUAAUAUAUAAGCCACGUAAACAUAUCUAUUAUAAAAUUACAUAAUAUAAAACACUAAAUUACGUUAAGUUAUUUGUAAACAUAGCUAUUGUAAAUGUACGAUGUUCUAUUUUAAUUAAUGAAAUUUGCUUUAAAAAUAAAGUAUUAAUCAAAAUGUAAAAAGGUAAAUGGUUGAAUUUUAUUGGAAAUCAAAUAAAACUUUAAACUAAUUAAAAGAAAAACUAAAAUGUAAUAGAUAAAAGUAAAUAUUUAGUUUCUCUUAAUAUAUGUUAACAACAUUAAACAUUAUAUAUGUGUAUCAAGAGAAAGUAUAGACUAAAAUAUUUAAAUAUAGAAAUAAAAAAUCUGCACGGUUGUACGGAUCAAAAUCUAGUUAAAUCAAUAAAAUAUAAUUGUUUCCAUAUUUUCUGGUAUUGGUAAGAAGUCUAUUGCGUUGAAUACUUUGAACAAUUCAUUCAAUUAUUUGAUUACAUUAAUUAUUAUUAUCGUUUUCAAUUGCAAAACUUAUUAAUUUCAUUAUAACGACAAAUUUAAUAACAAUCAUGAUAAAUUUAGCACUACUAAAGAUGAGGAUAAUUUUUACAAUCACGAUCCAAGAAAAAGAACACGUGCGCAAUUGUCAUCCGUGUAUCCACGUGUAACACAAUCAUUGGAAGAUAGUGUUUCCUUCACUGGUUUUAUAAAAACAACCUUCACCGUAUCGGGACUUUCCUUCCGAUCUCCUCCGACUCGCCCCCAAAAAAGGGAAAGAAAUCAAUUCGCUUUCACACCUGGAAAGUCUCAAAAAGAGGAAGAUACAAAUACUAUAAAAGUUAGCUCAGUUUCAUACAUACCCAGAUCGAUUUUCUAGGGUUCGUUUGAUUCUCUGUGAUUGCGACAAGCUAGAGAUCUCUGCUGGUUUUUUUUUUCUAUGGCGGAUCGUGGAUCUUUCGGAUUUGCCCCUCAAUUAGGUCUCUAAUCUCUUCAUCUACGGUCUUUUUACUCGUUUGGUAGUUUGGAUCUGAUCUUUGAUAGGAUUCUAGCAAAUGGUUGUUGUUUGUCAUGUUUGUCGGAAAUUGAUUAUUACUUGGUCUGAAUUGAGUUCUUUUGUGUCUUGUCGGAAUGAAAUCUAUGGCCAUGAUUAGCUAACAUAACUAUUUUGCAUUUUGGUAUUGGUUAGUGCAAGAGAGUGUAACUGUAUCCAGAUUCAAAGUCGUUAGGGUUGUUGUUUGUCAUGUUUGUCGGAUUGGUUAUUACUUGAUCUAAACUAAGUUCUUUUGUCUCUUUGUCGGAAAUGAAAUCUAUGGUCGCGAUUAGUUGAACAACUCUUUGUGCAUUUUGGUGUUGGUUAGUGAACGAGAGUGUUACCAGCUCUUUACCUCUGGAACUGUGUCCAGAUUCAAAGCCUUUGCGGUUGUUGUGUUUGCCGGAACUGGUUAUUACUUUGUCUGAGCUAAGUUCUCAUGUAUCUUUGUCGGAAUGGAAUUUCUGGUCGCGAUUAGUUGAAUUAAUUAUUUUUGCAUUCUGAUAUUGGUUAGUGCAAAAGAGUGUUUAUCCUGGAACUGUAUCCGGAUUCAAAGUCGUUAGCGUUGAUGUGUUUUUUUUUUCUUUGUGAACUUGUAGAUAUUCAACAGUUGCUGUCUGAAGCACAACACAGGUGGCUGAGACCUGCUGAGAUUUGCGAGAUUCUUCGAAACUACCAGAAGUUUCAUAUUGCGUCAGAGCCUCCCAACCGACCACCCAGUAUGUUUUUUCCCCCGCUGAGUUUCUUCAAAUUUUGGCUGCAAAACAACAUUACUAAGCUAUGAUGUACAUGGCUGAGCAGUGACUAGAAUACUGAAUAGUUUUAUAUUUGAAUUGUCGUACUUCUCUUGGCUUUAAGAUUUUCUUACACCGUCUCGUGUUGUUUCUAGGUGGAUCACUCUUUCUGUUUGAUAGGAAGGUGCUCAGAUAUUUUAGGAAAGAUGGGCACAACUGGAGGAAGAAGAAAGAUGGUAAAACGGUGAAAGAGGCUCACGAAAAGCUCAAGGUUGAUAAUACAUUUUACGUUCAUGUUUCCUCACUAAUUUUAUAUAAGUAUUUUAGAGUAACAUUUUACUAUAUAUAGGUAGGAAGCAUUGAUGUAUUACAUUGUUACUAUGCACAUGGGGAAGACAAUGAGAAUUUCCAGAGGCGUUGCUACUGGAUGCUUGAACAGUGAGUCCUUUUUUUUCUUCAUAUUUCAUUUUCUUUUAUUGUGUUUAAUGUACCGUAAAUGUUACUUUGAGAACAGAAUGAAAAAAAAAUGAAAUUUGGUUAGUUAGUUUUAGUGCUGAUGUCCUCUGUUUUUAUGGGUACAGGGAACUGAUGCAUAUUGUUUUUGUUCACUACUUGGAGGUUAAGGUAUAGCUUUUCUCUCUCGGUACAGUACUAAUAUAUUCUUUAGAAAAUAAACAUCCAUCACUUUUUUUUUAAAGUGGAUUCUCUUUUUUUUUUUAAUGGUGGUUUUGUUAAUGCUGUUUAUACAGGGUAAUCGGAUAAGUUCCAGUGGAAUUAAAGAAAACAAUUCAAAUUCUCUGAGUGGCUCCACUUCUGUGAACAUUGAUUCAACAGCAAACACAUCCAGCACAUUGUCACCACUAUGUGAAGAUGCUGAUUCUGGUAUAUAUAUAUACUUCUCUUUGACUUUAUGUGCUUUGGUAUCUUCUGUUUUGGGACAUAGGCUACCUUGCUUUACUAAAAGUUUUGCCUCUUCCCUUUCUAGGAAACCGAGAUGGUUGGAUUCAUGGGAAUAGAGUCAAAGAAAGUGACUCACAAAGAUUAGUGGGUGUCCCAGCAUUAGAUGCUUCCUUUGAGAAUCCGUUGGCAAGAUACCAGAACCCACCUUAUAAUCCUCUGUUGACUCAGACAAAUCCUACUAAUACUGGAUUAAUGUCCGUGGAAGGGCAUCUCAGAAACCCUCUUCAAAACCAAGUAAAUUGGCAGGUAUUGUAUCUAACUUAUUCAUCUUAUAUAUAAGGAGAGUAUAUGUGAGGGAUGAUCAGUAUUGAACUAUUGAUUGAUAGAAAGAUUCUCGUCUCUGUAGAUUCCAGUUCAGGACAGCUUGCCACUACAAAAAUGGCCCAUGGACUCCCAUGGUACUGACCUGGCCUUACAUGAAAACUUUGGGACGUUUUCGAGUCUUAUCGGCAGUCAGAACCAGCAGCAGCCUAUUGGGGGUGGUAGUUUUCAAGCUCCGUUUACAAGUGUUGAAGCAGCAUACAUACCUAAAUUUGGCCCUGAGGAUCUGCUUUACGAAGCAAGUGCUAACCAAACGCUACCUCUAAGGAAAUCACUGUUGAAGAAAGAGGAUAGUCUGAAGAAAGUUGACAGUUUCUCUCGGUGGGUUAGUAACGAACUCGCCGAGAUGGAGGACUUGCAGAUGCAGUCUUCUUCCGGAGGUAUUGGGUGGACCUCUGUUGAAACUGCAGCAGCUGCGUCUUCCUUAAGCCCUUCCUUGUCUAAGGAUCAGCGCUUCACUAUGAUAGACUUUUGGCCCAAAUGGACUCAGACAGACACAGAAGUUGAGGUAAAUAUUACUCUCUCUGUUUCAUUUUAAAUUAUGUUUUAUUUAUUUUGAUCCAAUUUAAAUGAAAUAUUCAGUUUUCUAUGCAAAAUAUUAAUGUUAUUUUGACCAUUUAUAUUGUCUUGUAUAAUUUAUUAUUGGUUGAAUUAGCUUUAGUUAAUGCAAAAAGAAAUAAAAUAAAUAAAAGUUUAAUUGGUGUGCAAAAACCUUAAACACCAAGUAAAUUGAAAUAGAGAGAGUAUGUUAUUGUUCUGUCCUGUUAUCUUUUAUAGUUGUAUCAGCUCUUUUAUUCCUCAUCUUACCCUUUUAAUUGUUCCAACAGGUCAUGGUUAUUGGGACGUUUCUGUUGAGUCCUCAGGAAGUAACUAGCUACAGCUGGGCAUGCAUGUUUGGAGAAGUGGAGGGUCCUGCUGAGAUUCUAGUGGACGGUGUUCUUUGCUGUCGUGCUCCUCCUCAUGAAGUUGGUCAAGUCCCGUUCUAUAUUACAUGUUCCGACAGAUUCUCUUGCAGCGAAGUACGUGAGUUUGAUUUCCUUCCUGGCUCUGCGAGAAAGCUAAACACUGCAGACAUAUACGGUGCCUAUACAAAUGAAGCAUCGCUUCAUCUUCGGUUUGAAAAUCUCCUUGCUCGCAUGUCUAGUGCUCAGGAACACAAUGUAUUUGAAGAUGUUGGGGAGAAACGAAGAAAGAUCAGUAGAAUCAUGUUGCUAAAAGAUGAAAAGGAGUCCUUCCUCACAUCGACAGCUGAGAAAGAUUUAACAGAGGUGGAAGCAAAGGAGCGACUUGUUAGGGAAGAGUUUGAAGAUAAAUUAUAUCUAUGGCUAAUCCAAAAGGUGACUGAAGAGGGGAAGGGUCCAAAUGUACUAGAUGAAGAGGGACAAGGUGUUCUGCAUCUUGCUGCAGCGUUAGGGUAUGAUUGGGCUAUAAAGCCAAUUUUGGCAGCAGGAGUUAGCAUCAACUUCCGAGAUGCAAAUGGGUGGUCUGCUCUUCAUUGGGCUGCAUACAGUGGCAGGUAAGGACUUUAGACUUUAUGUUUCUUCAGUUACUUUUUUUUUUUGUCCUAAAACGUCUUUACCACUUACCUUGGAUUUGAAAGUUCUCAAGGCCUGCGGGUUUGGUUCCUUCGGUUAGUUUUGAAUCGGUUUAGUUCGGGUUGGUUGAAAUCUGGUCAAAGUGAACCGAAAGAAAUUUGGUUCGGUUCGGUUUUUGGUUAGUGUGGUUUCAAAAUUGUCUACCAAAGUUUUUGGUUUUGGGUUAACUUUUCGGUUUAAAGUUAAUUAAAUUUUUAAAAAUUUGGUUAAGUUCAGUUUUUUUUUUCUGUUAGUUUGGUUAUUAUGGUUCGGAUUUUGGUUAGUUCAGAAUUUUGCUUAAGAUUAAUUUUUUUUUCUUAUUUUUUUAGUUGCCGAAUUGAACCAAAGCUUCCAACUGAACUGAACCGAAAAUCAAACUUUUCGGUUCGGUUUGGUUGAUAACCGCAGGCCUAGUUAUCAGUCUUCUGACCAUUUCUCUUUGAAUUCUCGACUAAACUCUGACAGUUAGUUCUUCUCUCUGUUUAUUGUUAUACUUCAGGGAGGAUACUGUCGCUCUACUUGUCUCUCUAGGUGCUGACUCUGGAGCAUUGACAGACCCAUCUCCGGAGCUUCCUCUGGGCAAAACAGCAUCUGACUUGGCUUACGGAAACGGACACAGGGGAAUCUCAGGGUUCCUUGCAGAGUCUUCACUCACCAGCUACCUCGAGAAGCUAACUGUGGACGGCAAGGAAGACGCCUCCACUGACUCCUCUAGAGCAAAAGCUGUUCAAACAGUAGCCGAGCGAACAGCUACUCCCAUGAGUUAUGGCGAUGUGCCUGAAACACUGUCGAUGAAGGAUUCUCUCACUGCCGUCUUGAAUGCGACGCAAGCAGCUGAUCGUCUUCAUCAAGUGUUUAGGAUGCAGUCGUUCCAGCGGAAACAGCUGUCUGAGAUUGGUGAGAAGAACGAGUUUGGUUUGUCGGAUGAGUUGGCUGUUUCUUUUGCAGCUGGGAAGAGUAAGAAGGCGGGAGGACACAGUAGCGGCGCUGCUGUUCAUGCUGCUGCUGUUCAGAUUCAGAAAAAGUACCGUGGUUGGAAGAAGAGAAAGGAGUUCCUUUUGAUCCGACAAAGAAUCGUCAAGAUUCAGGUUUGAAUCAUUUCUCAAGGCUUCUGUCUUAUGUCUGUUUUUUUUUACUGAUUAUUACCUAUUUAGGCUCAUGUGAGAGGACAUCAAGUGAGGAAACAAUACAGAGCCAUCAUAUGGUCUGUAGGGUUACUCGAGAAGAUCAUCUUGCGGUGGAGACGCAAAGGUAGCGGCCUACGCGGUUUCAAACGCGAUACAGUCACCAAGGCGCCUGAGCCUGUAUGUGCUGCUCCCACACAAGAAGAUGACUAUGAUUUUCUCAAGGAAGGAAGGAAACAAACCGAGGAAAGGCUUCAAAAGGCUCUCACCAGAGUCAAGUCUAUGGCUCAGUAUCCAGAAGCACGUGCUCAGUACCGUAGGCUAUUGACUGUUGUCGAAGGCAUCCGCGAGAACGAGGUAACAAUUGUGUAUUUUUUUCUUUCAAGUCUCUUUAACAUUUACUUGAUGAGAGACUCUUACUUUGUUAACAGGCUUCUUCUAGCUCAGCUAUGAACAACAACAACAACAACAACAAUAGCAAUACAGAGGAAGCUGCGAAUUACAACGAGGAAGAUGAUUUAAUCGACAUUGAUUCUCUUUUGGAUGAUGAUACUUUCAUGUCUCUUGCAUUUGAAUGAUGAUGGAUCCACUCACUGUAUGAUGAUGAUCACAAUGCUUUUUUUUUCUAACUUCAUUUAGGUUUUGCUAUGUAAAUACAGCUGGAAGAUCUCUACAUAGUUGGAAGAAUGAUGGAUUUGAUUUAUUAGUUUGGGUAUAGAGACGUGUUCUUUUCAAGUUGUAUGUACCCUUAUAAGAAGUAUAUGGCUUGUGCAUAGUUUCAGUGCGCAAUGCCUUUUGUACACAAACUGGUUUGUUUUUGCCCUUUGUACACAAACUGGUUUGUUUUUUUUUACAAAUUUACAUGGUGAUUGGUCUUUUUUUUCUUACUAUUUACAUAUGUGGUUUCUUCUUGAGAUUGGUCUGCAAAUUUAUUAUUAUUAUAAUGCUACUAGAGCCCGUGUCCGCGCUUCGCGCGGAUUACAUGUUUAAUUAAAGAACAGUUUAAUUAAAAUUGGAAGUUUUAAAGUUUCUGAAAGUGUAAGUUAAGUUUUGUUUCUUUUAUAAUGCGAAGACGUUGGAAGCGGUGAUCACUUUUUUUUAUAAACUAAAGUAAGUUUGAAUAAUAAAUUAUGUUGAUGAAUUUAAUAUUCGUAAGAAAAAAUAGUAUUUGAGUGUGCCUAUUUAAUUGACGUAGAAAGCUGUAACGUAAAUUUUAAAAAAGUUGACUGGUGUCGUUUGCUAUGAGGCUUAGGAUAGAAAUUUAUUCCUCUUUUGGAAGCGUUGUAUGAUAUCAAUAUCGUUGUCAAAGUAGAAGCACGAUCCAGGUGUGGUUGUGAGUGAUAGUUUCCCUGAAAAAGUGAAAUAUUUGUAAAAAUUUAGUUUGACAUAAACUUUAUGUUUAGUUUAUUACCUUCAUGUAACCGUAGAAUGAUACUUGUGAUGAUUACGAUUUAGUUUUUCCUGGUAGAUAUGCGAUUUUACUCCCUGAAAUUAGACGUCUCAUUGUCCCACAAAGUUAAACGUACCAGUUAUCUACAAAUAAUUAUUGUAUUAUAUUUCAAAUUUUUUAUAUUUUUUAUAUAUCUAGAGUAUUAGGGUCAUUUUGGGCAUUUUGCUACAUGUCAUCUCUACAAUUAAAAAAAUAAACAUGAGACGGAUAAUUUUAUUUAAUGUUGGUAAUAUCUUAUGCAUCAUCUAUAAAAUAAAUAUAUAUUCAUAUAUACCAUUCCAGAUUUAGUAAUAUUAUUAUUUUUAUAUAAUUAUACAAUUUGUAUUACUAAAGCUUUUAAAAAUAUGCAAUUUUUAAACAUCUAAUAUCUAAUCGUAUGAUAUUUAGUUUCUUAUAUUUCUACAAAAUUUUAAAAAUAUUGUUUAGGCCAAAUGUUUGAUAAUUAUACAAUUUUAUAUCAUUUUUAUUAGUUUUAUAUAAUUUGAUAUAAUAUAUAUCAAAUCUAUAUUAAAUUUUAUUAAGAUAAUAGUAAAAUCUAUAACAUUUAAUAAAAUUUAUUUUUAAAUAUAAGUUAGAACAACACUAAGAACCUCAAUUGAAAUAGUAUAAUAAUGGGAUGCGUGAGAAGCUUUGUGAUUCAACACGCCUCCGGUCACUGUGGCGAAAGACUAAACAAAAGCAUGUAAUUUCAUAAAAUAGAAUGAGCUUCUUAGUUUCUUGGUAUCAUAUACCGUAAAUGGAUAUUGGGCUGACUUCAGUAUUGACUGGGAUUUAAAUAAAUUGUUUGGGCUUCGUAAUUGACAUGGAUAUCAGCCCAGUUUGAGAUGAGCUGUUAGAUUGAUUGGCUAGGAAUUUUUUGCAUAUGUGGCACACUUUAGAAGCCUUUAAAAUAGCUCCUUUUAUAUAGUAGGAUGUUGUCUUUCAGUUUUGAUUGACAAAAUAAAACGUGUUAAUUGACGCAAAUAACGUGUUAAUUAAAUAGCCAUACUAGUGGUAAGGUUAUUCUACUUUGUUGUGUAUGUCAUCUUUUCAAUUCUUUCAUUUCAUAGAUUAUUAUAUCCAUAUUGCAAUUUUGGUUAUUUUCUCCAAUGCCAACCACUAGAAGUUUACUAGCUACUAAAUAAAGAUUUCGAAUGAUAACCAUUUGAUGAAUGGGAAAAAAAACUAAAUAAAGAAUUAUAUUUAAUUAAAUAAAUAAAUAAAAAUAGGAAUAUUUAACUAAUAUUUUUAUCAAAGUAAAAUAAUUUUGUUAAAAGAAUUUUUCAAUACAUAAGAAAAUGAAAAAUGUAAUGCAUUUUUUUUUAAAAGUAACUUAACUAGUAUUAAAUUUGAGACAGUAAAAUGAAUACACAAGUGACAAGCCCACGCGGCGUGUAUAUAUAAUUACGUGGGCUUUUUGAACUUGUGUGAGCCCAAAUAAAUGAAACCUGGCCCAAACAAAAGAACCGACUCGCUCGAUUGGUCAAUUCCAAUCACUUCAUUUCCUUUGUAUUUAUUUAUUUAUUUUCCUGCCUUUAACUAGAUAAACCCUAGUUCUCGCUCGCGUUCUUUCCUUCCCCAUUUUCAAUCUCAGGCGAUUCCGAUAAUCUGUGAGUUCAUCCUAUCAUCUUGAUUACGUUUUUGUUUGAUCUGUUUCUAAUCUGAUCGAAUCUAUAUUGUUUUCGUUGUUGUUGAAGAAAGCUAUCUACCAUGGCGGAUCUAGAUCCAGAGAUCGCCAAAACUCAGGAAGAGAGGCGUAAGAUCGAAGCGGAGCUCGCUUCCCUCACUUCCGUGAACUUCGAUCGCGAUCUCUACGGAGGCAACGACCGUGAUUCCUAUGUAACCUCCAUCGCGCCGAACGACGAGGAGGAUUCGAAUCUGGACGCCACCGGCUCCCUCGUAGCUCAGCGUCUCGCCUCCUACACCGCUCCCAAGUCGAUCCUCAACGACGUGGCUCGCGCUCACGUCGAAGAUGACGACGACGGAGGGUUCAAGCCUAGGCAGACUAUCGCGGAGCGCGAGGGUGAUUAUCGUAACAGGAGGCUUAACCGAGUUCUCUCUCCGGAUAGAGUUGAUCCGUUUGCUAUGGGGGAGAAGACUCCGGAUCCGAGUGUUAGGACUUAUAAUGAUCAUAUGAGGGAGACGGCUGUGCAGAGGGAGAGGGAGGAGACUAUGAGGCUUAUUGCUAAGAAGAAGAAAGAAGCGGAAGAAGCUGCCAAGGAGCAGAAAGAUUCUGGUGCUCCUGCUGCUUCUUCCAAGAGGAGGAACAGAUGGGACCAUGCUGAAGAAGAUGGUGGUGGUGGAAAGAAAGCUAAAGCUUCGGAUUCGGAUUGGGAUGUGGCUGAUUCAGCUCCAGGGAUUGGGAAAUGGGAUGCAACUCCAGGGAGAGCUGGUGAUGCCACACCAUCUGCUGGAAGAAGGGGGAGGAACAGAUGGGAUGAGACUCCUACUCCUGGACGUGUGACUGAUUCUGAUGCUACACCAGGUGGGGGUGUUACUCCAGGUGCAACUCCUUCAGGUGUUACUUGGGACGCGACUCCGAAAGGGUCCGCAACGCCGACACCGAAGCGUCAACGUUCUAGGUGGGAUGAGACACCAGCCACUAUGGGGAGUGCUACACCUAUGGGUGGAAUGACUCCUACUGCUGCAUACACUCCUGGUGUCACUCCGUUUGGGGGGAUUGAUAUGGCUACUCCAACUCCGAGUCAGCUUAAUCUGCGUGGUGCUAUGACUCCGGAGCAGUACAAUUUGGCGAGGUGGGAGAAGGAUAUUGAAGAGAGAAACAGACCGUUGAGUGAUGAAGAGCUUGAUGCCAUGUUUCCUACAGAAGGAUACAAGGUGUUGGACCCGCCUGCUUCUUAUGUUCCCGUCCGAACCCCUGCUAGGAAGGCUAUGGGAACCCCGACACCUAUGACAACUCCUGGCUACGUUAUCCCCGAGGAACACCGUGGGCAGCAGUUUGAUGUGCCUCAGGAGCUUCCUGAUGGGCUACCGUUUAUGAAACCAGAGGACUAUCAGUAUUUUGCAGCGCUUUUGAAUGAAGAGAACGAAGAAGAGCUGUCUCCUGACGAGCAGAAAGAACGCAAGAUCAUGAAACUGUUGCUCAAGGUAAAAAACGGAACGCCUGCUCAGAGGAAAACAGCUCUAAGGCAGCUUACUGAUAAGGCUCGUGAGCUUGGUGCUGGUCCAUUGUUUAAUAAAAUUCUGCCGUUGCUCAUGCAACCCACUUUGGAAGAUCAGGAGAGGCAUCUUUUGGUGAAAGUUAUUGACAGGAUUUUGUACAAACUUGAUGAGCUGGUGAGGCCUUUCGUCCACAAGAUUCUGGUUGUUAUUGAGCCUUUGCUGAUUGAUGAAGAUUACUAUGCUCGUGUUGAAGGGAGAGAAAUUAUUUCGAACCUUAGCAAAGCAGCAGGCUUAGCCACGAUGAUUGCAGCUAUGCGUCCUGAUAUAGACAACAUUGAUGAGUAUGUGAGGAACACAACAGCAAGAGCUUUCAGUGUGGUGGCUUCAGCUCUGGGAAUCCCUGCGCUCUUGCCGUUCCUGAAAGCCGUUUGCCAGAGUAAGAAGUCAUGGCAGGCACGGCACACUGGGAUUAAGAUUGUCCAGCAGAUUGCCAUACUAAUCGGCUGUGCUGUUUUACCUCAUUUGAGGUCUCUGGUGGAAAUUAUCGAACAUGGUCUCAGUGAUGAAAAUCAGAAGGUUAGGACCAUUACCGCCUUGUCACUGGCUGCUCUUGCCGAAGCUGCUGCUCCUUAUGGUAUCGAGAGCUUUGACUCUGUUCUGAAGCCUCUGUGGAAAGGUAUUAGGUCUCACCGUGGAAAAGUCUUGGCUGCGUUCUUGAAGGCGAUUGGUUUUAUCAUCCCUUUGAUGGAUGCUAUAUACGCGAGCUAUUAUACAAAAGAAGUGAUGGUUAUCUUGAUUCGCGAGUUCCAGUCCCCUGAUGAAGAGAUGAAGAAGAUUGUCCUCAAGGUGGUGAAACAGUGUGUAAGCACAGAAGGGGUUGAACCGGAUUACAUCCGCAGCGAUAUUCUGCCUGAGUUUUUCAAGCAUUUCUGGGUUAGGAGAAUGGCUCUAGAGAAGAGAAACUACAAGCAGCUUGUUGAAACCACCGUUGAGAUUGCAAACAAGGUUGGCGUUGCUGAUAUCGUGGCGAGGGUUGUUGAAGAUCUUAAAGACGAGAGUGAACCGUACCGCCGUAUGGUUAUGGAAACCAUUGACAAGGUUAUCACAAACUUGGGAGCAUCUGAUAUUGAUUCGAGAUUGGAGGAGCUGCUCAUAGAUGGCAUUCUUUAUGCUUUCCAAGAGCAGACAACCGACGAUACUAACGUGAUGCUUAAUGGGUUUGGUGCUGUGGUGAAUGGUCUUGGUCAGCGAGUGAAGCCUUACCUUCCUCAGAUCUGUGGUACCAUCAAGUGGAGAUUAAACAACAAAAGUGCAAAGGUAAGACAACAAGCCGCUGAUCUUAUUUCCAGAAUUGCCGUUGUUAUGAAGCAGUGUGGAGAGGAACAGUUGAUGGGACAUCUCGGUGUUGUUUUGUAUGAGUAUCUUGGAGAAGAGUACCCUGAAGUCUUGGGAUCAAUUCUCGGAGCUCUAAAAGCAAUCGUCAACGUGAUUGGUAUGACAAAGAUGACUCCUCCUAUUAAGGAUCUGCUUCCAAGACUGACUCCCAUUUUGAAGAACAGGCACGAGAAAGUGCAAGAGAACUGUAUCGACCUUGUCGGUAGGAUUGCUGAUCGUGGGGCUGAGUUUGUUCCAGCAAGAGAAUGGAUGAGAAUCUGUUUCGAGCUUCUCGAAAUGCUCAAAGCUCACAAGAAAGGUAUUCGACGUGCCACUGUCAACACUUUCGGGUACAUAGCCAAAGCCAUUGGACCGCAAGACGUUCUAGCCACGUUACUGAACAAUCUCAAAGUCCAAGAGCGCCAGAACCGUGUAUGCACCACAGUCGCAAUCGCCAUAGUCGCUGAAACCUGCUCUCCAUUUACUGUCUUGCCCGCUCUGAUGAACGAGUACCGUGUUCCAGAGCUCAACGUCCAAAACGGUGUCCUCAAAUCCCUCUCUUUCCUCUUCGAGUACAUUGGAGAAAUGGGCAAGGAUUACAUAUACGCGGUCACGCCGUUGCUCGAGGACGCGCUCAUGGACAGAGACUUGGUUCACAGACAAACCGCAGCUUCAGCGGUGAAACACAUGGCGUUAGGUGUAGCUGGUCUGGGGUGCGAAGACGCUUUGGUUCACUUGCUCAACUUCAUCUGGCCCAACAUCUUCGAGACAUCUCCUCACGUGAUCAACGCUGUGAUGGAAGCCAUUGAAGGGAUGAGAGUCGCGCUAGGUGCAGCUGUUAUACUGAACUAUUGUCUGCAGGGUUUGUUUCAUCCAGCUCGCAAAGUCCGUGAAGUGUACUGGAAGAUUUACAACUCGCUCUACAUUGGUGCUCAGGACACGCUUGUUGCUGCUUACCCGGUCCUUGAAGACGAGCAGAACAAUGUUUAUAGUCGACCAGAGUUAACGAUGUUUGUGUGAAGGAAACGAUAAGAGACACGUACUCUUACACCCUUUUAGUCUCUUUGUUAUUUGGUUUGCUUUGUAUAAUACUCUUGAGACACGGAAAAACGCUUCUCUUUCUAUUUUCAGCAGACUAGAAAACUUAUUAUGUUAAAACGUUUUGGUGUCUCUAUUGACUUUUAGAUUCAUUGUUGCCAUUACAGCUGCAGGUUCAGGAAAUAACGUAAAAGCUUCGAAAGUGACAGAGCUUUAAAGUCUUUCGUAUUGUCUGAGACUUGUGAUUAUUACAUUAUUUGCAUUUGUUUGGUGUUUUUAUUUGACUUUUGGAUUUAUUUGGUUAGCUGCAGUUUCAUGAAAGAUAACGUAAAGGCUUUCAACGCUCGAAAUAAAAAGAGAAGAGACCAGAGCUCCAUGUGACAAAUCUCUGUAUAUCUAUGUUACAAGGAGUUGUCGUAUUUUCUAAUCGCAAGUAAAUGAAAAGGAGAGGAAACAAAAACCCUCCGAAACCAAAUGAUGAACAGAGAUUUUAACGUCGUUGUAAGCUUCAAAUAACAACCAACUUCUCUUAAUAGAGACCCAAAAACUUCCACCAGAAAGUUCCAACUACUCCCCAGAUGAUAGCAUUAAUCGUAGCCAUCACAAAUCCAAUCUUGAAUACAUCAGGUAGAUCAACAUAACCAGCUGCAAAAAUGAUGACCAAAAUUAGACUCUUUUAACAUCAAAAGAGAAAGAGACAGAGAGAGAGAGAGAGUUUCUGUUUAUAAGAUACCUCCAUAGUAGACAGCGGCUUGACCACUACUGUAAUGAGUCAAAGCACCAAAAAGAUUGGUGUUAUACGCCAAAGCAAGUGCAGCUAAUACCCCUGGAACACCUGCUGCUAUAUUCAUAGCUAAGAAAGCUGAGAAGAGAGCUCCAACAUGACCCGUUUGGCUUGCGAAAAGAUAGUGAAUGAAGAAGUACGCUGCUUGGAGAAGACCAAACGCAGCAGGCCAGCUCAAGGAGAGGGACUGUAAAACUUUGGCUACACAAUCAGACAUCCAUGUAACAACACCGAGAUUCGUGAGCUGUCCUGCCAUCCCCACCAAGACCGCAAACCAAGCUAAUGUGUCCCAAGCUGAUUUUUCACUAAGGCAAUCGUCCCAGUUAAGAACACCAAGGAGAAGAAGUAUGGAGAGACCGAUCAUUGCAGCUACAACACUUGGUAUCCCAAGACUCUCUCUGCAAUAUAAAACAUUACAUUAACCAUGGAGAGUGUUUUAAUCUAAACAAAUGCUAGGAUUACUAUUAUCGAACACUUACCCGCAGAUCCAAAGAGUGACAGCAAGAAGCAUUGUUCCGACCAUGAUCCACUCGUUUUUAGUGACGGGACCCAUCUCCUUGAGUUUCAAAGCAGCAAUGCCAGGAGCUUCCGGUGUGUCUUUGGUUUCUGGAGGGUAGAGCUUAUAGAGGAUAAGUGGUGUACAAAGAAGCGAUAUGAUUGCUGGUAGACUAGCUGCCUUGAACCAAGACACCCAUGGGUUUGCAAUCACCACUCCAAGCUCCUCAGCUAGCUUGAGACACAGUAAAUUUUGAGCUGCGGCUGUCAAGAACAGAGCACUAGAGUUUCCAGCACACUGACAAAAGAUCACAGAACAUAAAUAGAGAUGAACAAGUCCGGUUAAGGAAGACUAAUCCGGUUCAAGAUAGGUGCAAAGGUACACAUGCUCAAGAACACAUUAAACCAUAGCCAUUGUUCUAAAAAUCAGUAUAGGUGGCAACAAAUCAGUCAUAAUCGAAAACAAUUUUUUAAAAAUCCAAUUUAUACAAUUCAAACCGGUAUAAAACAUUCUAAAUCGGUUUAAACCAAUUUAACUUGAUCUAAAUUAAAUUAAGUAACAAUGUUAGUAUAAAUAAAUCCAUAAUUUUAUCUAAUUUCUUUUGUUUUUAUAGCUAGUUUUGAUAAUUCAUCAAAAUAAUUUUAUAGUUUUUUUAGGAGAAUUCAUCAAAAUAAAAUAAAUAAAUAAAUCAUUCCGUACACAUCACAAGCACUAACUAACUAAGAACUAAUCCAGUUUCCGACAUAAGGACAUAAACAAGAACUAACCUGAAACUGGUUUUGGAUCAAGUAAGAACCUAACUUCCUCGAAGAAGAAUCUCCCGGUUUACUCCCCGCCGACAACGAAAGCGACUUGAUGAUCGGCAAGAAAAUGCCGCCGGCUCUAGCCGUCGUACUCGGCAUCGCAGGAGCAAUCAAAGCUUCACUAAUCGUCAACCCGUAAGAGAGACCCAACGUGCUCUUCCCAAGCCACUUCACGAAGUAAGUAGCGAUCCUAUCACCGAGACCUGUCUUAACGAACCCGCGAGCGAAGAAGAAAGAGAUGACGAUCAGCCAGAUGACUUCGCUCGUGAAGGCGGAGAACGCUGCUGAGAAGGAAAGCGUUUUGGUGACGAUCGAAGCGGUGAGGCCCAUGAAGGCCCAAGCUCCGACGGGAAGUGGGCUGAGGACGAGGCCCGCGAUUGUGGAGAGGAAGAUGGAGAGAAGCUGCCAGCCUUGCGGGGUGAGACCUUCCGGUAGAGGGACGGCGAAUCGGAGGAUUAGACCGACGGAGAGGGAGAGGAUCAGAGGGAGGAGCUUCGCUCCUUGCGGUGGUUGAGAGGACGGUGGUUCGGAAGGUUGAGAAGGAGGAGGAGGAGGGAUGUUGUCGCGUGGUGCGGCGGCGAUCCGUGCGGAGAGACGAGGGAUUGGUUUGAGGAGAGGGAAGGUGAGAGGCUGAACGGAGUGAGAUCGGAGAGAAGGGAGAGAGAUGGUUGGUGGCGGAGAUCUCGAUGAGAUGCGGCGGAGGAGAGAGAGGCGUGAGGGAUGGUGGGAGAAUGAAGCGGCGGUGGUGGAGAUAGAGUGAAGUGCGAAGCUCUCCAUCGCCGGCGAUUAGAGAGAGAAUGUGUGACGUGCGAAGUGUUUAGUUUUUGUCAGUGGCUGUGUGUUCUGUUCUGUCGCCGAAGAGCUAUUGAUGAUGAGUGGAUGUGAAGACGACAGUUAAAUUAUUAAACAGAACCUAAAAAAAAAAGUCUUCGGUUCUUUCUUUAAACCGGAACCAUACUCGACUAAACCGAAUUAAAUUAAUACUUAAUUUGGUUCAAUUAUACAAAUCCAGAGAUUAACUUUUGAGACCUUUAAGAGAGCAAUCGUUUACAUCAUUGCUAACAAACGCACAAACCCACAUGGAAUACUCUUUUGUGUAUUUUUUGAACACGUAAACAUUUAUGUUACAAUGCGUCAUCCAAUCAAAUAGUGGAUGAUAAAAACUCUUAAAUGUGCGGUUUGUAUCUCAUAGGAGUGGGUUGCCACUCAAAUAAUUAUAAUACCAACAUAUUUUUAUAGUAUUACAAUUAUCAUAUAUGCAGAAAGCUAUAUGUUUUGGAAUCUUUGAUUCACAUGAAUUGGUAACAUGGGCAUCAUCGUUAAACCAAGCUAUCAAGAUUCUGAUUAGUAACAUGAUGUCAUGAAAUCACAUAAAUAAGCUACAGAAAAACUGACCGAGGUGUAUAUCUUAUACAAUAAAGGAGGCUUGUCUCUCUCCUCCUUCACCCACCUCAUCAUAUAGGAUGGGGCAUUUUAGGACACGUGUACACUGUCGAAAUUUUUUCUCAAAAUUGUGUUUUCAAUUCGGUUUGACUUUUUAAUGGACUUCAGUGUUAAGUUUAGCCCACUAACCCAAUACGAGAAGUUAGGGUUACCUUUCCAGAAACAAACUGUGCAGAGAUGAAUCCAAGCCACGCCUCUUGCCUCUGUCGUUUCGCUUCACCUCCCACAAAGUUUUUUCUGCAAAACAGUUUUUAUAGCAAUCAAUCAUCAUUCCCCACUGCUUUUGCUUCAUUGCUUUUUACUUCGUUUUCAUCGUCGCUCAUGCCGAUAUAUGGAGCCGUUCUGUGAGGCUUCACCGAGAAUCCAACUCUCGAUUCUUAAUUAGAAAACCCUAAAUCGUUUUAAGUUAGCCCCGAGGAUGGUAAAUCAACAGUUCCAUUUAUUUGAGCUCAAGGCUGGUCGCUCAUGCCAAUAUAUGGAGCCGUUCUGCAGGCAGAGUGUUGUCAGGAGGCUUUUCGGGUUCUGGAAAACUCGAAAUGUGAAGAAAGGUGGGGAGUUGAUGGGCUUCAUCUGGUACUGCUAGAAAGAAAGGUAACAAAUCUUGGUCUUCAUUUCGCUUUAAUAACAUGUACUCAUUCCGAAAUAAGGUGAUUACGUGCUCUGUGGAAUGGUUCGCAGUCCACCUUGAUUCAUCUCUGAAUCAGUGUACAUCGGCUCAAUACUUUUAGAAACAUAAGCAAUGCAGACUGUAUGAUCUAAGUGGGUUUGAUGUAACGAAGACCAACCAAAGCUUCCGCCUUUCAGACUCCCAUGUAUCAAUUCGUUUUACAGAGCAGACAAAAUUUCAUGAGUUGCCUGAGAACAGGGGCUUGAUCCCGAUGGAACUCUUCAGGUUCGGGGAUUUACGAUCAUUCAAUGUUGUUGGCUAACACAAACACUGACUUGCCAGGUUGUUCAUUAUUUUCCCCAUUCAUAUCUUUCAUGUAGUCUGUAUAAAUGUCCAUUUUAAUUGCCUGCAGAUAUUGUUGGUGACGUGUUUUGGAGGUAAACGUUUGUCUUAGUAUUUUUGUCAAUCGUGCUAUGCAACUCCUUGAUAAAUUGGUUAUCCACGGCGUGGAACCACGGGUUAUUGCAGCUACCAAUAUCAAUCCAAAAUUGGCUGGAGGUAUGCAUGUCCUGGAUUAGUAAUAUGAUUUAUAGUUUUACAUACUAAAUCUUUGACCUUAUUGCAGGACGUCCUUUCCUAAAUCCAGCCUCAGUAACCCUUUUCUAAUUUGCCGGUGAGUGUGAGGCCAUCACAAGUUGCAUCUAAGGGUAAGAGUUUAUGCAUUUAGUAUUUUUAUCAUUUUUGUAAAGGUUUUAUUAUGUGUAGACCCAUCGUUUUUCCUUUUAUUCAUGUUGGUGAACAUUGAUGAGGGUUCUUCCUCUUCACCCAAAAAAUUUACAGUGGUCAAAAAUUUCGAAUCAUUGAGUGUUUUGGAACUGAAUUCAUUUGUCCUAAACUCUCCUCCGCAGGUAAACCUUUGUAAUGAAACCCAUCCUGCUUAUUAGCUUCCUCUGUCACACUGCUGGUUCUGUCAAUACCACUUGGAAUCACAGUAGAAGUGCAGGUUGAAGACCUCCAAUGAGAAAGGGGUAAAGAUAAUGGUCCGUGUCCGGCUGUAAGAGAUGACGCUCCUUUCGAGGAGUCCCCUGUUGAAGAUUGUGGACCUCUACAAAGAAACCACGUAAUAGUUGAACUCCAGAAGAUCGAAGUGAAAGUUGGAGUCUGGUUUCACAACUGCUUCUUUUAUCUUUAAUUCCCAGCGUUUAAUAAGUUGUCAUUGAACUAUAUUGCAAUGUUUUCUGUUCUUUUGUUUUCUUUUUAAAUCAGCCUUACUAAUUUCUCAACUGCAAUGCAGUAUUUUAAACCCCUAUUGAAUUGUUAUAAUGUUAUGAAUAUUAGUGCCAAUUAUUUCAUAUAAUGUUUCAAUUAAGCACUUGGCUUGCCUGGAAUAGUAUUCUUAUUUCCUCUUGACAACCUUCAUAUGUCAGGUCCAUGUAACUUUUUUUUUGGGCAAUUUUUUUUUUUUGGGGGCAAAGGUCCAUGUAACCUUUUCUUUAUUCCUUUAAGAUUGUCGUACUUGGGGCAAAACAAUGUCAUUGAUAUUAAUACCAAAUCCUUCGUACAUAGUUUUCAGGCAUCUUGCUGGCUUAAAGGUAAAACGUGGUAUUUACAAUUCUGCUUGAAAGAUUGAAAACCAAAAUAGAUUAGUUUGCAAUUUAUGUUACUAUGAUAAACAAAUGAGGAAAUUUGUACCUUUCUAUUAGCCUCAACUUUGAAACAAAGUAAUAUAUUACGGUCGCUAACCACUAUCAAAUGGAUUGGAAAAAAUAUUUUCUCUUUCAACAUAUUUUUAUUUUUAUAUUUUUGAAUAAAUUUUCUUUACUAAGACCACAAAAUAAAUUAUAAAUUCAUUUAAAAAUAAAACAUACGAAUCCGGCGCGUAGCGCCGGAAAACCACUAGUUAUUUAUAAAAUACAUUUGUUUAUAUACUACCACUUGAGACUUAACUGUCUUUGGAUUAUUCUUAUUUCUUAAUUAAUCUGUAGUUUUAAACUUUUAAUUAGCUCAUUUCCUAUUUUCUAAUUAAUAAAAAAAAAGAGUUAAAUGACAUAUUUUGUUAAGCAAAAUUCACUUUUCUUUGUUUUGAAAAGAAAAGUCUAUAAAAAGACGACCGCGGCGUUGGGAGGAAGACAAGAACCAAGCAAAGUGGUGGUUCUGUCUUAUCCCAUCACCGAAUCAUAUCCAUUCUUUUAUUCUCUAUCCUUUUUCACCAAUUCGCGCCGCCAUUAGAAUAAAGCUUCUCUCAUCGCCAUCGUCACCUAACCCACUCUUCUCCGCAUCUCCUUCUUCAUAAAGCCUCGUCAUUUCUCGGAGAUCGUAACCCAAAUUAUAGAUUUUGCGAAAAGGGUUUACUUUGAUUCCAUCCACGAACAGAGAGAGAAACAUGUCUUCGAUCAAUCUAACGUCUUCCUCUCCUUCCACCAUAUCUCUCUCCCGCUCAAGGUCAGCUUCCUCUCUUCCUCAUCUCAAAGAUUAAAGCUUUAUUUCUUCCCUUACGUUUAAUGCCAAUCUCAAAUGAUUUGAUUUGAUGAUGAUGAUGAUUCCAUGUGCAGACUUAGCCAAACCUCUACUACUACAUUGCUCCACCGUAUCACUCUCCCAUCAUCAUCCUUCUCAAUUAAAACCACUUCAAAAGUCAAAGCUUCAGUGAUCUCUAGAGAAGAUGAUCUCCUCUCUUCUUACAACACCAAUGGUUCUCUCGUUGACCAAGACUCCUCAUCCCCUGCACCACCCAAUGGCUUCGUAGCUGAAGACGAUGACUACGAGCUGGAUCUACCCACACCUGGCUUCUCUUCAAUCCCUGAAGCCAUCGAAGACAUACGCCAAGGAAAGGUUGGCUCUUUUCUUUUUUAAUUAAAAUAAAGUUUCAACCUUUUUUUUUUUGGUUUCCUUUGAUUGAUUUGGUUGGUAAUGUUUGUGUGUAGCUUGUGGUGGUUGUUGAUGAUGAAGACAGAGAAAACGAAGGAGACUUGGUAAUGGCUGCUCAGUUAGCUACACCUGAGGCUAUGGCUUUUAUUGUCAAACAUGGAACUGGGAUUGUUUGUGUGAGUAUGAAAGAUGAUGAUCUCCAGAGGUUGAACCUUCCUCUGAUGGUUAACCAGAAGGAGAACGAAGAGAAGCUCUGCACUGCAUUCACAGUCACUGUCGUAUGUCUUUCUUCUCCUCUCAAUAAAAAGUUCCCAUCUUAGUGCUGAGUUUUGGAGAAUCUGUUGCUCAUUGUUUUGUCAUGGUUCCAAAAAUUUGUAUUGGUUUAAACCGAUUUAAACCGUUUUAAAUCGGUUUAAAUUGAUCUAAAUAGUCUAAAUAUGUUAAAUUAAGUAAUACAAAUCCAUAAAUUUGUCUAAUUACUUUUGUUAAAGAACUCAAAACUAAAAUAUCUUAUAAAAAUGUAAAAUAUAUAUUUAAUAUAAAUUAAAAAUUUGUUAAAAUCUAGGCAUAGUUUACUGCCUAGCAAUUUUUUGAACAUUGUGUUUUGUUUGCUUUGUAGGAUGCAAAACAUGGUACAACGACAGGAGUAUCAGCACGUGACAGGGCAACAACGAUACUGUCACUUGCGUCUAGAGACUCAAAGCCUGAAGAUUUCAUCCGUCCAGGGCAUAUCUUUCCUCUCAAGUACCGAGAAGGCGGAGUUUUAAGAAGAGCUGGACACACUGAAGCAUCUCUUGAUCUUACUGUCUUAGCUGGACUAGAACCUGUUGGAGUACUCUGUGAGAUUGUUGAUGAUGAUGGUUCCAUGGCUAGAUUACCAAAGCUCCGCGAGUUUGCAGCUGAAAACAACCUCAAAAUUGUUUCCAUUGCAGAUUUGAUCAGGUUAGGCCACUCUAAAGUCUUAAGGUUUUGUGUUUUUUUUUUUUUGUUUGGGUAAUUAAAAGGUGGUUUUCAUCUCUUUGCCGGUAAACCAAUCAAUAUAAAUAGUUUCUCCCAACGAGAAUUGAACCCGAGUGCUUACUAGACACUUCUUUACCACUAGACCGACCAACAGCUUGUUGGCUUUGUGUCUCUUUGAAGCUGAGAGUCUAAACUUUAUGGUUUCUGUUAAUGAACAGAUAUCGAAGGAAGAGAGAUAAGCUAGUGGAACGUUCUUCUGCAGCUCGGAUUCCGACAAUGUGGGGACCUUUCACAGCUUAUUGCUACAAGUCUAUACUAGACGGUAUCGAACACAUUGCAAUGGUUAAGGUUAGUAGCAACAUCUCUUGUUGCUUUGGACUUGAGAACAAGAUCUCAUUUGUCUGAAACUGUGUGCAGGGAGAGAUUGGUGACGGUCAAGACAUUCUAGUGAGGGUUCAUUCAGAAUGUCUCACGGGAGACAUAUUUGGAUCAGCAAGGUGUGACUGCGGGAAUCAGCUAGCUCUUGCGAUGCAGCAGAUUGAGUCUGCUGGUCGUGGUGUGUUGGUUUACUUGCGUGGACAUGAAGGAAGAGGGAUUGGUUUAGGACACAAGCUUAGAGCUUAUAAUCUGCAAGAUGCUGGGAGGGAUACAGUUGAAGCUAAUGAGGAGCUAGGACUUCCUGUUGAUUCUAGAGAGUAUGGUAUUGGUGCACAGGUACUGAGGGAUUUGGGAGUGAGGACGAUGAAGCUGAUGACGAAUAAUCCGGCUAAGUAUGUUGGUUUGAAGGGGUAUGGAUUAGCUAUUGUGGGGAGAGUGCCUCUCUUGAGUCUUAUCACAAAGGAGAAUAAGAGAUAUUUGGAGACGAAGAGGGCCAAGAUGGGUCACAUGUAUGGUUUGAAGUUUAAUGGUGAUGAUGUUGUAGAGAAGAUUGAUGAUUCUGCAACCACCGAGUCAUGAGUUUUAAGUUGGAGGAACAAACCGAAUCGAACCGAACCAAACUGGGGAAUAAAUAUUAGAUAAUACUUUCAAGAAAACACCAGAAAAGAAACAGACACAGAAGAGCAAGCAAUGAAAGACUUCUGAUCUAUCUGAGGAGUUUUAUUGGAUUGGUUUAAUGUAUCUUGAUUUGAUUUUUUACAAUACUUGUGUUACAAAAUUUUCAACAUUGUUGUUACUUGUUAUGUACUCUUGGCUGAUUAGUUUCAUUUGAUUUGUGAAACUGUGAAAAGAUGAAGCUUUGAUGUACAUUUUCAUCCUUUGCUUAGAUUGCUAAUAAAACCAUUACCCUUGGGAUCUUUGGAACGUUCUAUUUCGUUAAGAGGUUUCAAAAAUUCUUCUUCUCUUUAUUACUUAUUGGGCCAGUUCAAAUCGGGAAAGUAAUCUUAUUACGAGCCCAAAGGAAAUGACUUUAGGUUGUGAUCCUGACCGUUAGAUUUUAUCAUACACUUUAACGGAAGGACAGCCGUCAGAUGAAUAGAUCCGGUCUAAUUGGAUCCGACAAUUUUACACGUGGCUUUCACCACCACCAAUCCAUCUGAUGCGAUUUGUGUAAUAAGAUCAUACUAUAAAAAACAUAUUGACCUCAUAUGUUUUAAUCCCUCGUGAAAAUCUAAUCAAUAUGUGGCCAAUAUGUAUGUGGAAGUAAGAGUUAUCACGAGGUGAUUGGUUCUUGGAUAAGACCUGUUCCUUUAGUACAUUGCGAUCGAUCGAUUCACUUUUAAACCAAAGUGUAAUUAACGAAAUUAGUUGUAUAAUUAACGAAAUUAGUUGUAUAAAAACGUGUUGUUAAAAAAAAAGUUGCAUAAAAACGUGUUCCAAUCAACCUAAUCUAUAAAUUCGUUAGUGAUAGUCAAGAUUAAUCUUAUGCACAACCUACUGCCAUAACGAUUUUAAAAAAUAGGAAAUAAAACCAUAGCUAUAAUAACAAUUUGAUUGAAACUUGUUACGCAAAAAAAAAAAAAAAUUUGAUUGAUACACUCAUCCAUCUAUCUGUGUGUGUAUAUAAUGCACAUAGCUGACAUUCUUGUGGAUCACUUCCUUCUUUCUCUAUCUCCAUUUAUGUAUGAACGAACAGCCUUUGUUUUUAAUGGUCUCUUUUAAUUUUCCUCCAACUUCUUGCUUCCAUUUCACUUGUCAUUAACCAACUACCAUUAAAGUAAUAUCCAAAGUCAUAAGUUCUCAAGGAUUUAUUCAUAAUACAUUUGAGUAUGAUCUAGUUACGAUGAUGCAUCAUUUUCUCUAGUAAGUAAUCACUUUCAAACUAUCAAAUCAAAGUAUUGCUGGAACAUUUAAGAUUAAAGAAUGAAAGAGGAAUCCUACUAUAUAAAAGGAACUAAAUUUGAGACUCAUAGACUAUGCCACAUCACCCAAAAUAUUUAUAUCCAAUGAAAGUGCCACAUCAUCAAGAUAUACAUGUCAUCAUCUAACCUCAUGAAAUCUGUAUCCAUUCCCUUCUCUAACGUUCCCGGUAUAACUCCUAAAGACAAUCCAAAAACUUUAAAGACAACCGUUCAGCAGCUCCGUAACGACCACUUAGAUUCCUGAAAGCCUUAUUUAAUAAUAAACAUUCCAAUGUCAGAUGCCCCUUCGAUAUCCCCAGCUCUAUUAUAUAUAUAUUUCUAGGGUUUUCGAUCUUGCACUAUUCCAUAGGCCAGCAAAAAAAAUUCCAGAUUUUAUGGCUUCAAAAUCAACCUUCAUAGUUCCAUCGGCAGUUUCCAGUGAAAUUUGGGACGCUCAUUGGCGUUGAGCUGCUCUUCCUUGACGAUAAGGUACAGCCUCAUAUUCUCAAACCAAUAAAUUUGUUCCCCUUAAUUGCAAUUGAUAUGAAUUAGUGACAAUGUUCUUGAAAUGAUUUUUGGUAUGUGUUUAAAUUCCUUGAGAUGCUUCAUAUGUUAUCAUGACUCUAUUUUUGGUAAUGAUAUUAUCAUGACACUUUCUGAUGGACCUUUUGUUUUUGCAGGCAAAACCUUGCAAGAGUCUAUAAGUGGACAGAACAAGCCUGAGUGUCUCAAAUGAUGACCUGAAGGUAUAGUUUAGUAAAUUUAGAAAUCGAGGAUUUAGGUUUCUCUGGAAACACAAGACACAGCUUUCGUUGAUUAUUACGAGAUUGACGAUACUCUACAGACAAGAAGCACGAAUGUCAAGCAAAUGGGUGGUAGUUACUUGCAUGAUUUUCUUCGACCACAAACCCCAGGUAGUAAGAUCUCUUAUGACAUAACUUUUGAUAAUCAAAAACACUUUAACAACAUAUUUUAUUCUGAAAUAAAGUUGCAUUUUAUUUUACCUUUAAGAACAAUGAGCUGGCUCUUACGAUAACAUGCAUUGUAAAUUAUAAAUCGCAGGUUAAUUUUGAAGUGUUUAAAGUAGUUUGUCUCAUGUUGCUAAUGAUAUGUAUCUGUUAUAGUUGUUUUGAUGUUUUAUUAUAUGCUUACAGUAUCCACACUCGUAUGAAGAUGCCAAAGGAGAUGACCACUCAAGUAAGGUUUUGUGGAUUCUUUUUAGGUGAGAUCAAGAGACAAACAAUUUUUUUCAAUGGUGUCAAAUCAGACUAAUGCAAUGAAAAACUGGAUUUGGGAGUCAUUUGUUUAUGAAAAAUGCAGAAUUAACAAAAGUGGUUUACUCAUCUUGCUCUAAUAAUAUCAGCAACAACAAACAUGUAUGCAACUUCUCUCUUUCAUCCCUCUCUAAAUAAUAAACACAUUAACAACUAACGUAGUUUCCACCCCAAACAUUGUCCACGUCUUGAAAGGCAACUGUUACUCACGUGCCUGAAACCAAACUUCUUAUACAGUCUCACCAAUUUCUAUGCAACCACUCAAGCAAAGACAUGUUCAAGUCUACCAUUCUCACAAUAUGAUUCAUUGACAAAAUCAUCUUUAAAGUAGUAUCUAAUUAAUGAUAUUUUAAACAAUCUCUCAAAAUAUGCUACCAAAGAAAUCAAAAGAAAAAUAUCUAAAAGUUUUUUUUUUUGCUAAAAAAAAUAUCUAAAAAAUUAAUAGAUAUAUAUACUAACUUAUCGAAACUAACUUCAAAAGAGUCCAACAAAACAAUGUUAACAAGUUUUAUUUUACGGUAGAUUAGAUGAGAAUCAUACUCCCAAACUAAAUUAGAAUAAAUAACAAAUAAAAACCAUCAAUAAGAAAUUUAACUUGAUAUGGAAGCUCUUUGAAAAAGAAACAUGAAAAGCUUUAGCUAAUAGUUUUUUUUUAAACAUUCCUAAGGAAAGCACAACUUUAAAAUAGUCAUAUUUAUCAAAAAGAAAAAAUCAAUGUAAAAGUAAAUUAGAAAAGGAAAAUACUAUCUAAAAUUAGUUGAUAUCUAUGCUAAAUUUUUGAAGAAAUAACAUGAAAUAUUUUUAAAUGAAUCAUAGAUUAUGUCAAACAUACGGAAAUUGAAUAUAUCAAAAUAAAAUAAUAUUUGUCAAUAUAAUUAACCUGAUAAAAUUGAAAGAGAAAAGAAGAUACAUGGAGAAAAUAUUGAAAAUAAAAAAAAUAAAAACAUCAAAUUAUUAAACAAAUAAAUAAAAUUUUGAAAUACAAAAUCUAUCAAUAUAACAAUGUUUUAAAAAGGGAAAUACCAAAAAUACCACAUUCUUAAUACUGGGUUUUUGGAAUAUGAAAUUUAGGAUUCGAAUAAAUAUAUAAAUGAAUCAUUAUUUAGAAAAAUAAAAAGUAGUUUCCAAAAGAAUUUUAAAAUUUCAAAAGAUAAUUAAAAAACAAAUUCAAAAAAAUUAUUAGAAAGUUCGAAUUUGAAAAAGUAUAAUUCAAAAACAUAAUUUUUUAUUUAUUUAAAUAAUUAUUUAUUUAUUUAAAUAAUUAUUUAUUAUAUAUACAAAGCAAGGUCUUUUGAUUCUUAAUGAUGAAGGUAUUUUUGAAAAUGUCUAUUUAAUGAAAAUAAACAUGAUUAAUGGUACCAAUAAUGUAGUAAACAUGGAAAUUUUUUUUUUUUAAAUGUCUUUUUAUUGAAGGUAAACAUGAAUAAUGUACCAGGUGGUAAAUAUGAAAAUUUCCUUUUAAAAAUUUUAAUGAAAUAUUUCAUCUAUAAUCACCUGCAUUAUUGCUUUAAAAAUUUCAAGAAUUUUUUUCUCUAAAUUAAUUCAAAAUAAUUUUAAAUGUUCAAAAUAGUUUAAAAGUUAAAUUGUUUAUAAUAUAGAAUCCGCGCGUAGCGCGGACACGGAUCUAGUAGCUUGAAAGAAAGCAAGAGAAAAUAUUAAGGAAAUGUACUAUAUGAAAGCCUCAAAGAAGAAACAUGAGCAGAGAAAGAAAGAAAUAAUUAAAUGCCAUUGUACAUAGAGAUGGCAAAGAGAAGGAACAAGGCUUUGUCAUAGUUUAAUGACACUCACUCUCCAACUUGUCCCCUUCCGUUUUUAGCAUUUUCAUAUAUAUAUAUAUAUAUAUAUAUAUUUUGAUCAACUUCAUAUAUAUUUUUUAUAAAACCAAAUCAUGUAUUUUGUUUUCUCCUCUGAACCAACUCAUAUCUUCACUGAAAAACAUGUAGCAUCUGUCAGGAACUCAAUAAUUCUAAAUGUAAAAUCUAAAAAGAUAGGAUACACUGCUCAUUUACAAGAUUACAACACAAAAGUAGAAAGAGUUAAAUUAAAUAAUAAAUGAUAACUGAGAAGCAGAGUGUUUUAAGCCCAUUACUUCACAGGCUGUAGAUAUAUAUGAGUGACUUUGGUUUUAAAUUCUCUCUGAGAAAAUAGACAAUACAGAGAAAGCUUCCAAAUCUCAUAGCAUCCCAUGUGGGGGAUACUAUCUCCUUUCUCUUUCAUCUUUAUAAUCAAAUACUCAUCAAUCUCUCUUUUCUCUGAGCUGUUUGUUUCAAAUCACUCUUCUCCUCUCUGUCUAGUAUCUUCUCUUGGUCAUUUCUUGCUUCCAUCACAAAGAGUUUGUGAAUGAUGUGGGAAUCUGAGAGUGACUCCGGGGUUGUAGGAGGAGGAAGAGAGUAUGGUAACGAAGUUUUGAGUUCUAACAAACAUGGCAGCGUCAGGACUGAUGGGUUUGAGCUUAGAGGCCAAUCUUGGUAACAUCCUCAACCUUUAAAACACUAUACACUCUCCUAAAUAGUAUCUUUCCUUGUCAAGGAAGUUAGGGUUCAUUAAUAAAACCUUUGUUUUGGUUAGGUUUGUUGCUACAGACAUCUCCAGUGAUCUUCUGGUUAAAAUCUGCGACAUGAACUUUCACCUACACAAGGUAAUCAAGUUCUUGACUCAAUAUUAUUACUCAAGUCAAUAUUAUUAUUUAAAAAUAUAUUAUUACACUUAAAGUUUUAUGUUUUUUUUUUUUUGAUAAAAGUUUUAUGUUUUUAACAUGUUUUUGUUUAUUUUCUUCAGUAUCCUUUGCUGUCACGUAGCGGUAAGAUGAACAGAUUGAUCUACGAGUCACCACGCGAACCUGACCCGACCAUACUCAUUCUCGAUGACUUACCUGGAGGACCAGAAGCGUUUGAACUCGCAUCCAAAUUUUGUUACGGAGUUCCCGUGGAUCUCACUGCAACUAACAUAUCAGGUCUACGUUGCGCAGCUGAGUAUCUCGAAAUGACAGAGGAUCUUGAAGAAGGGAAUCUAAUCUUUAAGACAGAAGCUUUUCUCAGCUACGUGGUUUUGUCUUCAUGGAGAGACUCAAUCUUGGUUCUAAAGAGCUGUGAGAAGCUCUCACCUUGGGCUGAGAAUCUUCAGAUUGUGAGGAGGUGUAGUGAAUCUAUCGCUUGGAAGGCUUGUAGUAAUCCUAAAGGGAUUAGAUGGCCUUACACAGGGAAGUCACCAUCUCUAUCUUCAUCUCCAAAGACCACUAAUAACUUCGCGAGUUCUAGUCCUAAAUGGAACGAGACAAAGGAUUCAAGUUUAUAUUGUAGCCCGAGUAGGAACAACAAUAACAACCAGCAUGUUCCUCCGGACUGGUGGUUUGAAGAUGUCUCUAUCUUGAGGAUAGAUCACUUCGUUCGUGUAAUAACUGCAAUCAAGGUACAUCGAUACUUCUCUUUCUAGAAUGUUCACAAACACUUUGGUGUGCAUAUCUAAAUCCUCCAACUAGGCAUUCGGGUUCGGGUUGGACCGGUUUAUUCGAGUUGGAGUGUGUAGAACCUGUUUAGGAACCAAACAUAUUUUUAUUAGACUGGUUCGGGUAAUGUCGGGUUAGGGUCGGAUUUUUAACUUUUUAUAAAACCCAAAAUAUGACUGAACUAGAAAUGAUUUGGAUUUGAUUCGGGUUUAAAGCCAAAAAACCUAUAAAAACGAAAACCCGAGGAAAAUCUUGAAAACCAAAAUGGAUAAUACCAAUUUAUAAAUUAUAUUUUAUAUAUAGUUAUACUAAAACUAAACUAUUAAUAUUUUAAAUUGUAUUUUAGAUAUUUAAGUACCGUUCUGUUUACGAUUCGGUUCCGCUUGGCUUAGGUUUUUCGGGUCUAAAGAAGUAAAAACCAUUCAAAAUUUUGUUACUUUCGGUUCACUAUCUGUUUUUUUGGUUCGGUUUCGGUUUCGGUUCAGUUUCAAAUAAUAUGACUACAAAACUCUAAUGAUCGAAACAGGUGAAAGGUAUGCGAUUUGAACUUCUCGGAGCUGCAAUAAUGCACUACGCCGGAAAAUGGCUUCCGGGUGUGAUCAAAGAAGGAGCUCCAGCACCGUCCACCACCACCGGAGGAGGAGGAGACGAAAUGAGCGUGAGCUGCGGAAGCAACAGCAGCGGAGGAAGCUCCAGUCACGACAACUGGAAAGGCGGUCUCCACAUGGUCCUCUCCGGAAAACCUAACGCCCAUCAAGACUCCACCGCUUACCUUGCUGGACACGUCACCAGCCCUAAAGAGCAGCGAAUGAUCGUCGAGUCCCUAAUCAGUAUCAUCCCUCCGCAGAAAGACUCCGUCACUUGCACCUUCCUCCUCCGUCUUCUCAGAGCAGCCAGCAUGCUUAAAGUAGCUCCGGCGCUGACCACGGAGCUGGAGAAGCGCGUGGGGAUGCAGCUCGAGCAAGCGACUCUUCAGGAUCUUCUGAUCAAAGGGGAGACGAUGUACGAUGUUGAUCUUGUUCAGAGGUUGUUGGAGCAUUUUCUUGUUCAGGAGCAGACGGAAGGGUCGAGUCCGAGUAGGAUGUCGCCGUCGCGGGGUAUGUACGCCGAAGCAGGAGUUCCGAGAGGGAACAGCAUCAGUGGUAAUAAUAGUAAUAAUAGUCAGAAUGCGAAGAUGAGAGUGGCGAGGCUUGUGGAUGGUUAUCUCACUGAAGUUGCUAGAGAUAGGAACUUGCCGUUGACUAAGUUUCAGGUUUUGGCUGAGGCGUUGCCUGAGUCUGCAAGGACUUGCGACGAUGGGCUGUACAGAGCUAUCGAUUCAUAUCUCAAGGUACGUACAUAUAAGCAUGCGGUUUCGGUUUAUUCGGUUAAAUCUGUUCUGGUAAUUCGUUUUUUGGUUUGUCUAAAUCUCACAGAAGUAAAUAAAAAAAGACUGGUUCGUUAUCAUUUUGGUUUUUAAAAAUUCUGCCAAAUUUAUAUUUGACAUUUUUCAGUUUCAUUUAAAUUUUGGUUUAAAUUUGUUAAAAUUCGAAAAACCUCGAUUGAGUUUCAAUUUGGUUCAAAUUUUUGGUUAGUUUGGUUUGGGAUUUGGAACCAAACUAAGCUAUUAUCAAACUGAACCAAACCGAUAAUCAGUUUUCUUAUGAGAUUUAAAUUUCGGUUUAAAUUUGUUAAAAACUCAGAAAAUUUUGGUUACAUUCGGUUAAUUUGGUUAUGUUUCUUGGCUAGUUUGGUUUGGAACCAAACUAGCCUACGACCGAACUAAACUGAAUUGAUAAACGUUUUUUAAAAAGCUUGCCACUUUGAACCGGAACUCAUAACCAAUUUCUGUACUGAAAAUCAAAAAUUACGGUUCGGUUCGGAUAUAAAUCCCAAGGCUAAGUAUACAUUAUAGAGCUGAAGUACAGUCAGACCCGUCCUAGCCAUAAGGCACAUAAAGCAUUAGCUUUAGGCCACAUCUAUAAUUGAUAUUUUUAAGGCCACAAAUCUUAAAUUGUGUAAUGGUCAUAGAUGAUUGUUCAAAACCUCGAGAUUUAAUAUUUAGUCAUUUUAGUUUUUUCAUACUUUCUUAGUCUCUGUUUCUACUAUCUAGACUAAUUUUAAUCUAUUUGUCUGAAUUUAUAACUUAUAACCAUUUAUAUUUCAUUUUAACUAUCAUUUAUUGUAAUGUAACUUACUAUAGUUAAAUUCAGUGAUCUUUUAUAUUUCAAACACAGUUAGUAAUAUGCAUUUUUGUUAUAUUUGUAUGAUUUCUUUGGUUCUUUAUAUAUUUGUAAAAUAAUUUAACGAAGGUUCAGGUUAAAAAUUACAGCAACAACUUCAUUACUAAACAAUUGAAUUUUUUUAAAGAACAUAAAAUUAGUUUUAAAACAAUAAAUUUUUCUAUAUAACUAAAAAUAUUCUUAUGUAAAAAAGUAUGUUCAUAUUAGAGAAUUAGUAAUGAUAAACCAGAUUCAAAAUUUCUGAAAAAAAUUAAAGGCCACAUUUUUUUAUAUUGCUUUAGACCACCGGAUAUUUCGGGACGGCACUGAGUACAGUAGCUUAUUUUUACAUUCUUCAUUGAUAGUUUGAUCGUGUUUGGUUUGGUCUGAACGACAGGCGCAUCCAACAUUGUCGGAACACGAGAGAAAACGGCUAUGCAGAGUGAUGGACUGUCAAAAGCUAUCAAUGGACGCGUGCAUGCACGCAGCUCAGAACGAGAGAUUACCAUUGCGAGUGGUGGUUCAAGUCCUCUUCUCGGAGCAAGUCAAGAUCAGUAACGCCUUAGCCAACACGUCACUGAAAGAGUCAACUACGUUAGGAGAAGCCAUGGGUACUACUUAUCAACCUAUGAUCCCAAAUCGUAAGACACUGAUCGAAGCAACACCACAAUCUUUUCAGGCAAGUAAGAAGAAGACUCAUACACAAACAUUCUUCUACUUUUUUUUUGCUAAUGAAAGUUUGUGUCGUUUUGAGGAACAGGAAGGGUGGGCUGCGGCUAAGAAGGAUAUUAACACGUUGAAGUUUGAGAUAGAGACGGUGAAGACGAAGUACGUUGAGCUUCAGAAUGAGAUGGAAGCGAUGCAAAGACAGUUUGAGAAGACGGGAAAAGUGAAGACCAGUACUUCGUCUUCUUCGGCUUGGAGUAGCGGUUGGAAGAAGCUAAGUAAGUUCACUAAGAUGACUGUACCGGAGAGUCCAGAUGUUUCUAGAGGAGAACAAGCUGGUGGUGUUGAUCCUCAACCAGCUAGGAAACCAAGACGAUGGAGGAACUCAAUUUCUUGAGACAACUUUGUGUUUUCUUGAUUUGAUUCUUUGAGAGAAAGAAAAGCUUUUGUUUGGUCCUAAUCUGUGAUGCUAUGUCCCUAAUGAUAUAUCAUUACAAAACCCAAUCAUCUUGACAAUACAUGAACAACGAACAUGCAUUAUUACAGACACUAAGACUAAUUUGGUGCAGAGGAUACGGACCCUAAGCCACUUCACACGUGAGGAUCUUCAAGCCUUAUCUGUCAGUAGAUAUCUUAUUCUCCAUGUUGUCCUGUUUACAAACAAAAUGUGGUGACUUGUGAGUUGUGACUGGUGGAGGUUUUUGUUUAGCAGCAGCUCUUAAUCUCUGUAGAGAUUAAUUCUUGUUUUAAAAAGAGUUACUUUAGUUUAACAAGCCGUCUUAGCUCAGUGGUAGAGCGCGUGACUUUUAAUCCCGUGGCCGUGGGUUCGAUCCCCACAGACGGCGUUCUAUACAUAUAUUUUGCUGUAAAAGUAGCUUUCUUUUUCUUUACCAACGACCCAACAGUAAAGAGAACUCAUAUAAUAACAGCAAGAAAACAAACAUACAUUCGGAUUGAAACAAGAGACGGGUGGGUCUAUUAUUUAUGAUAAAAAUGUUAGUGGAUAGAGUUUUAGAAGAACACUGAGAAGUGUGACAAUCACAAAGUUUUGUUUCAACGAAAUCACAAAGUUUUGUUUCAACGACAUCACAGAAGCAAGAUAAAAGGCUAAAAGCUUAAAAACUUAGCAUUCAAGUUUUGCUGUGCUUUUUUUUUAUAGAUCAAUAACAUUCCCACUGUUUUGUUUUGAGCUAGAGAGAUCAUCAUCAAUAUCAUCACUUCACGCUGAGUACUUCGAUUUCAAAGUCAAGAACCGAGUUAGGUUGGAUUCCCCAUGCUGGAAACCCACCAGCACCAUAUGCGUAAUCCGGUGAGCACUGACAGAAACAGAGAAGCAUGGAAAAUUAAAUAUGUUAAAAAACCCACACACGAAUGGUUUCUCUACCCAUAACAAGCUCUAGACAGCUGUCAAUAGAGACAAGACUAUGGUAUCAAAGAGAGACAAGAAAACUUUAAAAGGAAUACGAAAGAUGUAAAGAAUCAAAUCUGUUUUGCAUGAUGAGGGGAGCAGAGUCUAACGUACCCGCAAGCGAGCAACCUCUCCAAUUUGCAUUCCCAUAACGCCUUCAUCCCAUCCUGUAAGCCAAAAACAUUUCAAAAAUUAAUAUCAACUCCAAAUAGAUAUGAUAUGACAUGAUGAAACCAUGCAAGAAACAGAGGAAGAGUUUACCUUUGAUGACAUCACCUUUACCGAUUUGGAAGGAGAAAGGUUCUUGCCCAGCGUCCUUUGUACUAUACACCAAAUGAUUUAAAUGACGAGAGGAUCCUUUUUACCUCCAGAACUGCUGGGAUAGAUCACCACCUUUCCCUAACAAACAAAAACAAAAAACAUUACGAAUAACGUUUCUGAAACAAACCUCACAAAGGAUCAUUAAACCGUAUAUAGAGAGAGAGGGUGUUACAAUCUCAAACAAGAAGCUGAUAUUAUUAUUAGACAUCAGGCUUCUCCACUAGAUACUUAAAAACGACUACAGUGAGUUAAACAAGAGAUUUGUUUAAAAAAUCAACAAAAUUACAGAUUAAUUAUGAUCUAUAUCAGAUUUGUGUAGAUCGAUUACAAAACCGUUAUGUGGAAAUUUAAACCAAAAGAAGAUAUAGGUUACCGAAUCCGGUACAGUGGACGGUGACUGUUUGACCCGGAGUGGGUUUGGGUCCGGUGCCGGGUCUGAUGACUUGCUUCUCCACGAGAAAUACUUGGGUUCACCCCCUAGGGUGAACCUCUAGGUUCACCAACCAAUAGUGUUUGAGUAUUUGAUAUUUGAUAUCUUUUAAAAAAGGAAAUAAAAUUGAAUAUCCAAAUUAGAUUAUAUCUUUAAAAUCAAAUAAUAAAAAUACAUAAAAAUAGUUACAAAAAAUAAAUAAAUUAAUAUUAUUAAGUCUUCAGCAAAAUAUUAAACCCUAUACCCUAAAUCCUAAACCCUAUACCCUAAACGUUAAACCUUAAACUUUGGAUAAACUUUAAACAUUGGAAAAUCUUAAACCCUAAAUUAUACAUUAAAAAUUAAAUUUUAAUAAAACUAAACCCUAAAUCCUAAUCACUAAACCCUAAACCCUUGGGUAAACUCUGAACCCUUGGGUAAAUUCUAAACCCUUGGAUAAAUCAUAAACUCUAGGAUUUAAUUUUAAAUAUUUUUAAUUUAGAGUUUAUGAUUUAUCCAAGGGUUCAGGCUUUAUCCACGGGUUUAUGCUUUAGUGAUUAGGGUUUAGGAUUUAGGGUUUAGUCUUAUUAAGAUUUAGUUUUGAUGUAUGAUUUAGGGUUUAAAAUUUUCCAAUGGUUUACGGUUUAUCCAAGAUUUAAGGUUUAUAAUUUAGGGUUUGGAGUUUAGAAUUUAGGGUAUAGGAUUUAGUAUUUUGCUAACAUUUUAACAAUAUUUAUUUAUUUAUUUUUUGUAACUAUAUUUAUGUAUUUUUAUUGUUUUAUUUUAAAAAUCUAUAUCAUAUUUGGAAAUUCAAUUUUAUUUCCUUUUUUAAAAGAUAUCAAAUAUCAAAUACUCAAACACUAUUGGUUGGUGAACCUAGAGGUUCACCUUAGGGGGUGAACCCAAAAAUUUCUCCUUCUCCACUCCCAUCGCUAUCUCUCUCUCUCUCUAGCUCUGUCGCAGCUCCAGAUGCUUAUGCCUUUUUAGUCUUUUCUUAUUUGUAAUGUUUUGGGCCUUAUAAUACUCUACUCUAAAGCCCAAGUUGAUAAACAUUUCGGCCCAUUAUUUAUCCUUUCAAACAUGGUUAAAACAAAACCAAUCAAAAUCAGACUUGAAAGCUAACUUCACUAAUCAGAAUUUAAGCACCACACCACUAGCAUUGCUCUAUCAGGAUGUACCUACCUUUCUUCUCAGACCAUUCCAGUUUAAGCAAUGCCCUUUAAGACCAAACUAUAGUAGUAACACGCUGUAACUGAUCCCUCCCUAACUUGAAAAAAAAACUAUAUGAGAACUAUUAAGUUCAUAAUUCAAAUGGUAGCCUCGAAGAAGUGGCCAUUUGGCUCAUCAGCACAUGGUGUCGAAUUAAAAAAAUAGUAAUUGUAUUAUCAGCACAUGUUGGAAUCCAUUAAAUUAAAGAUUUAAGAAGCCAAAACUACCAAGAAAUGAAGAAAAUGAGUUGGCAAAUGAUUCCUUUACGAACAAAUAAAUAAACCAAUUCUCUAAACCGAUCACUGUUCUCAUCAAAGCCACCACCAUCUUGGUUCCGUGAUCGAAACUUUAGAAAAAGUCUUGUAAGGAUGAAUAAGAGCAUCUCAGACAACGGAGAAACGGUUGCCAAGGGAUCGAUCUGUGGAUAUGAUUCGCUGGAUCAACUCUUAUCCGCAAAUCUGAAGCCUGAGCUCUAUCAGGUGAAACUAGUUUGGAUUCUUGGUUUUAAGUUUGCUAUGGUCUCGUGAAGUUUUGCUUCUUACGUUGACUUUUCUGAUGUGUGUUACUUACUAAGAUCAUGGUUCUUUAGUUUUAAAAAAAAAAUGUUUAGUUAGUUUACUCUAAACUGAGACUGUAAGAAAAGGGGAAAAAAAAAACUAAAACUAGAUCGUUAAUUGUCUGAUAUGCAGGAGGUAAGUCGAAUACUACUUGGAAGUAACUGUGGCAGACCACUUGAACAUAUUGUUAUACCAGCUUCUGCAAAAGACCUCUCUUCAAAACAUGAUUUUGAUCUCCAGGUUAAUACUCAUUUUAGUUAUACUAUACGAUCAAAUCAUUUGAGUAAAAAUAGAGUUUUGAUUUGAUCUUUUGGCAAAUUACUUUCUAGGCUUUUAGCUUUUCAGCUGAUAAAGAGCAAAUGAGAAAGCCACGAGUGGUCAGAGUUGGUCUCAUUCAAAACUCCAUUGCUCUUCCAACUACUGCUCCAUUCUUGGACCAAACAAGAGGAAUACACAACAAGUUGAAGCCGAUCAUCGAAGCAGCAGGUGUUGCUGGUGUUAACAUACUCUGCUUACAGGUUUGUCUCCAUUUUGCUCUCUUCUACGAUAAGCUUUGUAGAUUAACUUUGGGAUGGUUCUGCUUAUAGGAAGCUUGGACUAUGCCGUUUGCGUUCUGUACAAGAGAGAAGAAAUGGUGUGAGUUUGCAGAGCCUGUUGAUGGAGAAUCGACAAAGUUUCUUCAAGAACUAGCCAAGAAGUAUAACAUGGUGAUUGUGAAUCCUAUCCUCGAAAGAGAUAUGGAUCACGGUGAAGUACUUUGGAACACAGCUGUGAUUAUAGGGAACAACGGAAACAUCAUUGGCAAACAUAGGAAGGUUAACUUGCACUACAAGUCUCUUUUUGCUUCUGUGUUUUCUCUUGUGAGCUAACUUGUACUUCUUGGUUUACUAGAACCACAUACCGAGGGUGGGAGAUUUUAACGAGAGCACGUAUUACAUGGAAGGAGACACUGGACAUCCUGUGUUUGAGACGGUGUUUGGGAAAAUUGCAGUCAAUAUAUGUUAUGGAAGACACCAUCCUCUAAACUGGUUAGCUUUUGGUCUAAACGGUGCUGAGAUUGUCUUCAACCCUUCAGCUACUGUUGGUGAACUCAGUGAACCAAUGUGGCCUAUUGAGGUUUUACUUCUAACUCUCCAUUUUUCACAAAUAUUUUAAAUUAUUUAAAACUAAUUAUCAAACAAAUAUUUUAAAAUUAUUUAAGAGCUAAAUGAUAUAAUACAUAUUAACCACUCAUAUUUUGAGACUAUAUGCAAAUGUUUCAUCUCGCUAUGCUCAGGACCGGUUCUAUUUACUUUCUCUAUCUAUAAACAACAUGGUCUGAUGUUUCAUUUGAAAACCUCAGGCAAGGAAUGCAGCAAUAGCAAACAGUUGCUUUGUGGGAUCCAUCAACAGAGUUGGAACCGAAGUGUUCCCCAAUGCUUUCACCUCAGGGGACGGGAAACCGCAGCACAAUGACUUUGGUCAUUUCUAUGGUUCAAGCCAUUUCUCUGCACCGGAUGCUUCUUGCACACCGUCUUUGUCACGGUACAGAGACGGUUUAUUGAUCUCGGACAUGGAUCUCAAUCUGUGUCGGCAGUACAAAGACAAAUGGGGGUUUAGAAUGACUGCGAGAUAUGAAGUCUAUGCUGAUCUUUUGGCUAAGUACUUAAAGCCAGACUUCAAGCCUCAAGUUGUCUCUGACCCAAUGCUCCACAAGAAUUCUUCAUAACAAAAAAGUUUUUAUUGCUUUACUCUUUGGGUCUUAGUAGACUUUGGUCAUGGUAAAUGGAAUAAGCUCCGAGAAUGUAGGAGCGGAGCUAGGUUGAAUGUUUCCAUGCUUGUUGAAAGUCCUCUGAACAUGUAGGAGGCGAGGCAGUUGCUUCUGUAAUCAGUUAUUUAAUGUCACUCAAGAAAUAAGAAUUAAAGCAGUUUAUAGUUUCUCUGUUUAAACAUAUGCAUCGUCUGAUUCACACCUGCUCAUGCAAUUAGUAACUAAACUAAGCCGCUAUAACCGGAUUGAUCCAUUGUAACUAGUGAAUCUUAUAUUAAUUAACAAAUGGAUUUGACUGAUGCUUAUGAGAUUCUACUAACUAUCAAGGGGUUGUUGAUUGGCAAAUGCUUUAGAAGUACGGUAAGAUCUCUCUACCGCCUAAAUUAUUUUUACAGUCCAAAUUUUUGUCAAUCAUGCUUUGUAAAGAUUUUUUAAAACUACAUAUUUAUCUUUCUUUUUUAUUUAUUUUUAGCUGUGGAAAACCAUAAAUCUAGAACACUUAUUUUUUGCUUUAGAAAAUUUAUAUGUAAGUCUUUGAAUCUUUUUAAACCUACAGCUAAUAUUCUACAGCAAAAUUAUCUACAACCACAACAAAAAAAGAUUACGGUUUUAUUUCUAAAGCAAAAAUAUAAAGCUACGGCUGCUUCCAAUCAUUUCAAGUCUUUGAUUAAGAUUUUUUCUGAAAGUGAAAACUAUUUAUAGAGUUAUUGAAUCUCAAGAUUGAAUAUACCGGUCCAAUAAAGUUUCGGUUUGAUCUUGCCGGUUUAACAAAAAAACAGAACACAUAACUUCCUCGGCGAACGUUACGAAGUCUGAAACUAUCUAUUUUCCUCGAGAAAUUGAAUUAGAUGGACCUGUAACUGUGACACCUAAAAAGGAAAGAGAAUUGAUUGGGCCUGUAACGAAGCCCAAAUUUGAGGUUUCCUAAUAUAGAAGUUAAGAAAUUAUCAACUUACAACGAAUAAGAACCGUACACGUGUCUACAUCUCCGCCUCGUUUUGACCAGAUCUUAUAUUAAUAACCGCCUCCCGAGUCGGUGCCGGGUAUAUUCUCUCAUUCCGAUCUCUAUCUGCCUAAUCUCUAUCCAUUUUGUUUCAUUUCUUCUUCCCAAUCACAAAAAUGGGUCGCCGUAGCUCAGGAGGUAAGGGCUUCUCUCUCCUCUCUCCCCCGAUUGUUAGAUCUAUUCAAUUCUAUCACUUUGGAUGACGACGAAACUGUUUUGUUUGGGUCUUUGGUUGUUAUUUAUUUGCGUGAAUCACAAAUCUAGGGUUUAUCGGAUGUUUAUUCUAUGAAUAUACGAUUCAUAGGGUGGAAUAGGCGUAAUUUGGUUCUCAAUUUCUAGAAAGUUGGAGAUUUUUUUUUGUUUGUUUGUAAUUUUGUGUUGUGAUGGUGAUUUGUGUGGGGGUUGCAGGAAGAUCUGCACCUCGUCCUCGCCCUGCUGCUGCACGUGCCCCCGCUCCUCAACAUGGUAUUAUCUUAUUGCUCUGUGGAUUAUGAUUAUUCAAUCCAAUCUAAUCAGCUGUUGAUUUUUGUUUUUUUCAGUAAACCGUGCACCUCCUCCAGCUCCAGCUCAGGCGACCAGUGGUGGUGGCAUGUUCUCAGGCAUUGGUUCCACCAUAGCUCAGGGUAAAUUGAGUCUAAUUUGUUAUUUGUCUAGACCAAACUUGUUGGUUUUUAAAAACGUCUCUCUUAACCUCUUUGUUUGUGUUUUUUUUUUUGGAACUUUCGGUAGGUAUGGCUUUUGGAACCGGAAGUGCUGUUGCACAUAGGGCUGUUGAUUCCGUCAUGGGCCCACGUACCAUUCAGCAUGAAACUGUUGAGGCUGCCUCUGCAUCUGCCGCUCCUGUCGGAAGCAGCAUGUUCUCGAGCUCCUGUGACAUUCAUGCUAAGGCUUUCCAAGAUGUAAGUUUUUAAUCUCUCUCUCUUUUGUUCUGUUAUUUGUCAGGAGUGAAUGAGAACGGAACUUUUUGAUUGAAUUCAUUCAAAGGUGUAUGACGCUGAUGUUUUUGUUUUUGUUAUUGGGUGGGUGCAGUGCAUCAGCAGCUAUGGAAGCGACAUUAGCAAGUGUCAGUUCUACAUGGACAUGUUGUCUGAGUGCAAGAAGAACUCCGGUUCCACUAUUGGUGCCUGAAUCAAGCUUGUUUCAUUUCUUAUCUAGCUUUGUCUAAACAUUAUGCAGCUGUUAUAUGCUGAGGGUCUGGAUAUCAAAUAAACAACAUUUCAGAUACUGCAUGUUUCAAGUGUUUGUUGGUACUUUUUUUUUUUUUUUCCAUCUAGAAAUUUAUAUUAAACAGGGCUAAAGUCCAAAAGUUUUACAAAGCCCAUACAUAUUGGAUACCCAACAAAUCAAACCGGCCCAAAGGCCCACAAACCAGAAAACCCUAGCGUCUAAGACGCUCUGGCGCCUCCGCGCUCCAUCUCUGUACGAUCAGGUCGGAGCACGAACCAAGGAGGCUCCAAUCGAGGAGAAGACUGCUCAGUGAGUGCGACACACAACACAACCGCCUCAACUUGUCCAUCUCCGCCACAGCACUGCCGGAACAAUCAUCAAACUGAAAACGCGUUUUAUCGGAUCUCAGAAACAGACGAGCCUCCGACGAAACCAACCCCGUUCGACACCCCCCUGUCUUCACGCCGGGAGAUUCCAUCGAUCUAUCGAGAUCUCCUCGGCCUUUGAACCACUUCAAACCCUAGACAAGUGAAUCGCGAACCGGAGCAUAAAGACCCCAAACCCUAACUCCACCGACGCUUCAUUCAAAGGGAUAACUCCCCAUCGACGCCUCAAACCGACACCGAGACUCCACCCACAAACAACCGGAGCAAAACGAGCCUCCGCCUUCCAAGAUAACUAAAGCCGCCCGUUCACCUGAGUAAGGAGCCACGGCGGUAACAAAAGCCGACCGUUCACCUGAGAAAGGAGUCACGGCGGUUACAAGAACCGAACGUCCGCCUCGAGAAAAGCGCAACGCCGGAAACGCUAGAUCUACUCAAAAAAAAAGAAAAAGCCUUAGACUAGGAAACAAAAGAACGAAAAACAGAGGGGAACAUGAGGAAACCGGGCCGACGGUGGCAUAAGGAGCCCACUCCGUCGGCCGGCCGAAUGGGCACGGUGGAGACUUUUUAGAGAGAAGGCAAGUGUUUGUUGGUACUUAACUUCUUAUUUUUAAAAUAAACUUUGAAGUGUUGGUUACUUUAUUUGUUUCAAAAGUUGCUACUAUAUUACAUUCUUCUAGCACACCAAGUCACCAAUUUUUACUUACCGGACAACCUUCGACAAUGACGACUCUAGCAGUUGGACACUUUGCUAGAUUACAAUGUUCACCUCUUCUUGCACACCAAUUCAAAACCGCCAUAAACGCUACACCUGCGACCAUCGCAGCUUAAAGCAUGUUGCCACCAACUUUUCCUGUACCGGAACACAAACAAGUUGAAUAUCAUCCCGACCAAGGUCAAUGAAUUGUAGUUCACAAGUGGAACCAAGAACCUUUGGAAACGUUCUGUGGCAUAACCUCACUAUUAGCCGGUCCUAUCACACCACACCACACCACACCACCGAUGGAACUUCUUCACACCUGCUGCCAAUCUCUCUGCAACUUAGUGAAUAUGAAAGGAAACUAUUGUGUAAUCAGUUUCAAGUCUUCACGAAUCUGUAUAGUGUAGCUAUCACAAGUCCUUUAAGAACAACAAGGGUCUGAACUGAAUCAGAGCUAAGAUCGUUGUAACAUCAUUAUUAGACUAAAAGUUCUAGGCAACAAACGCAACGGUUUCGUGGUGUAGUUGGUUAUCACGUCAGUCUAACACACUGAAGGUCUCCGGUUCGAACCCGGGCGAAGCCAUUUUAUUUUAUUUUUAAUUAACGGGCUUCAACGACGUCGUUACGUAAACUGCAACGAAAUGACCCAUCGCUCAAAGCCCAUGGCAAGGCCCAUAAUUAAUCUGCCAUGACCACCGAGACCCUUCACGUCGGCGGGAAGAGUUAGUUUGCGAUGGGAGAACACGAAGCGCGCGGCUGGAUCCGCAGCGACGAGACCGCGAAGCAGAUGCUAUCGAGAGUUCUCGGAGACCGUGCCUUCCUGCUUCUUCCACCACUCCACCGCGUGCCUCUACGCGCAGGGAACGUAGUCGAGAUCACUGGCUCGUCCCCGACUGCGAAAACUCAGAUCCUGAUUCAAGCCGCCAUCACUUGCAUCCUCCCGAAGACGUGGAACGGCGUCCACUACGGAGGAUUGGAGAAGCUGGUGUUGUUUCUCGAUCUGGAUUGCCGAUUCGAUGUGCUUCGUUUAUCUGAUAUGCUCAAGAAUCGCCUCCUCGAAGCUUACCGUAUGCAAACUUCCUCUUCGCCUUUGCUUACGUGUUUGAGUAGAGUCUUAUAAGUUUAGGAUUCAUCACGUUGUGAGCUUUGGCCUUUGGGAUUUUGAUUUUGAGUUCAGAUUCAUGAAACUGAGACGGUCUUAGAUAGAUUGAGAUGGUUGAGUGUAGUUGUUUCAGCGUAUCAGGGAUAGGCAAUGGAGCAUGGUGGCAGCUUGAAGAGUCUAAUGUUAAGACUCAAGACAAGUCUAAGAUUGUUUAUGAUGAGGAGUUGUAUGUUUCGUGCAUGAAGAGGUUCUUGUAUCUUCGCUGCUAUGAUAGUCUCGAGCUUUUGUCUACUCUCAAGGUAUUGUUUUAUGUAUAAUGGAUUACAUUGUGAGGUUUGUGUUGGAUUCUUGGACAUCAUCAUCUCAUUGCGUUGUAGACAUUGCAUUAUCGGAUCAGACUGCAGGAAGCAUGUGGAAGCCAAGUAGGAGUGCUUAUGAUUGACAGGUGUGUUUUGGAAAUGCUCUUUUGUCUUCUAAGAUUCUUUGAAUGCUGAAAGUAAUUCACUAUAGGUUAUGAAUACGUAAAGUGGCGCUAUAAGUGAUCACAUAUUGGCUAAAGACAAGAUAACAUACUCCAAUAUAUCUGUUGGGGAUACUUUGUAGGGUUUUAUGCUUGCUACUUGACGAGUUUGAGUUAACUAUUCUGCAAUCUUUUCACCAGCAUCGGCGCUUUCCACUGGACUGAUCGUCUAUCGUCAUCAUUGGCAUUGGAUAAAAACAACAGGUAAGAUAUCUACAUAAACACUGUCUAAACUAAAGGACACUCUAGUUACAGUCUCAUCUUUAUAAUUCUGCUUGGUAUAAAGUCCUGCCUUCAAUAUAGUUUAUCAACAUAAGGAGACAGCUUCUCUGUUUUCUUUACCAAUUAGGCUGCUUUAGUUAGAUCAUGUGUCUUUUAGCUUACGUAAUUCAAGACGUUGAAGAGUUUGGGGGAACAUUGAGUCUUGAUACUUUUUGUUUGAGACUCUUAUAUUUUUCUGAUAUACAGGAAAAGUCUCUCUCUUACGAAUGUGGUGGAGACGAUAGUGCAAGAGAUGAAGAAGCUAAUGCAGGUGCAUUCACUGGUAGUAAUUGCCACUAAAGCUACAAUCUACGAAGAGAAGUAUCCGACAAAUGAGAAUAAUCGGUUAGUUGGUUAAUCGCACGCUUUCUUCUAUGUAGUCACAGUGGCUUCAUCUUUAACUUCCCGCAAAUUUCAGGAACAUCUCCUCACACAGUGAUCUGUUUGGGAAUCCUUCAAGUAAAGCUCAGCAGCCUCCAUUCCGUGAAUUCAUGCCUUCUUCUUGGCAGGUCACUUUCUGAUGUGAACCCCAAAAGUCUCUUCUUAGAGCGCUUUGUAGAUGAUUUUUUGACACACAUAAUUAGUAUAAUACCAUUUUCAAGACUACGAUUUUCAAAGGAUGAUUCUUUCUCACUAACACACCUUUGUGGUCAUUGCAGGCAUUCGUGACACAUAAGAUAUUCAUACGAAAGUCAGGUUUGAUAUUCUUUUCUCGGUCUUUUCGUUGAGCUCUUUCGCUUUUGUUCAGUCACGUUUAUGAUCUCUGCAGACGAUCAUCAUAAGUCUUUGGGACAACAAAAUUUAUCAGCAUAUUUACUUGAAUGGUUACAACCACAACUUAGUAGCAUUGACCGAUUCAUAGUAGACGAUGUAAGUAAACUCAGCCAUUUGCAAGUCUUACUCUAAGCACACUCAGAUUUUGUUUCAUGUUUCAUCUUCUCAUGCAGUCUGGCAUUGUCAUUGUCUCUAUUCUAAGCACACUCAGAUUUUGUUUCAUGUUUCAUCUUCUCAUGCAGUCUGGUAUUGUCAUUGUCUCAUGACUUAGAGAUUCCGUUUCAGGUAUUCUUUAAUGCCUCUCUCUCUCUCUCUACUAGACACCACACAUUUACUGACACUUACGCUUGUAAUUCUGAACUCUGUAGAAAUCAUAACUAUUGUAAGGUAGCUAUUAGCUAAGCAGCGUGCAGCAAAGUCUCCAGAUGUAAAGUUAAUGCAGAGUUUAUUUAUUUACAUCAGAAAGAGAGAGAGAAAAAAGAAGUAAAAGACAGAAAAGUUAACCUUUAAAAGUAACUUUGUUCCUUUUACUUGAUAAGGUUAUUCUUACAAUAUGUGGAUAACCUUGUCUUAGAUAUAAAAAUAAAAAUCACACUCGCACACAUUUUGGAUUUGAAUUGGAUUCUUAUAUCUUUCUAAUAUUAUCAAAUUCUAUUAUCAGGAUUUGGCAUCAAAUACUUGAAAUUGCAACUGCACGUGUUAUCGUAUAACCUUUUUCUUAGAAGAUCAUACUUUUUUUUUUUUAACUUCCGAGAAACUUGAAAGUGAUUCUCAAUGGGACAUCACUAGUCAGGUCUCAGGACUUAGCACUAGGAGUCGUGUUACAAUUUUUCGACGCCAAAAUCAUUUUGUAGCAUUUUGCUUGUGGAACCUGUCUUAUUAUACAGUCAUCAAUGUUUGAUUGAGUGGUUACUUUCCUUUUUCCACAUAGUAUAUCUCGUUUUCACCACAUCUAUCUGAUCUUGGGACUUAGCAGAUAAGACAGUCUUGUCUCAUGUAAUAUCUUCAUCUUAUGGAAGAUUUAUAUGAUCAACUUGGAUUUAGGAAUGAUUAUUGCCUAAUGUAAUAAUUAGGUCUUACCAGGAGUGGAAGUAGUCAAAUCCUUUGGAUACUUGAUGAGAUGUAACAAUUUUUAACUAGUUAUUUAACAAAUAUGACUUCCACUGAAAAAACUUUUAUGUGUUGGAUAUGAUGUGUGAUGUGCAACUAACAAUGAUUCUACUACUUUAGAUUGCAUUGAUUGCCCACAAAUUCUUUCAUUUUUUACAGUCAAUAGAUGAGUUUUGUUGAAAUAGUGAAUUAAAUAUUAUAUGUUCAUUUAGAUGUAAAACAACAUCCAACACAAGUUCAAACAAAAAAACAAACGAAAAGUCAAGCUAUAUAAAAAAAUAGCUAAAAGAAUGGUUAAAAAGCCUUAAAAAUAUUAAAGAUAAGAACUAAAGCAUUUUGCAAAAAGAACAAUUUAAAAGAUCGAAUAUAUGAGUAUGAAGUGCCUUGACGAGUCUGAAUUUGGUUUUUGCCUAACUUCCAUUAGCCUGAUGGUUACGUCUACUGCACACAACAAUUAGCCGAAACUAUAUCCAAUCCAAUCCACUCUACUCUCAUCCAUUAAUUAAAAGUUAAUUAAAUUAAGGCUUUCUUUAUAGUAAAUUAAUAUCGCAAAGUUUGAUUUGCUCAUUGCUUCUUCUUUUUUUGUUAGUAACAAUAUCACACUUCUCAUUAUUAACACCACGUACUCCAUGUUAAUCAAAGACAUUAGUACACCAUUUAUUUAAAAUCUUAGUCUGUUACUAUUAGAAUAAGACUACCUUUUCUAAUAUUUGGUGUCUUUUAAGCUAUCCAAUUGUAAAUUUAUUGUAUUAUUUUAUAUUUCAUCUAAAAUUAAAAUAUUUGGCUAGUUAAAACAGUAAUUAUGUAAUCCAUCUAAUGAAACUAAAUUCAAUUCAUUGUAUGUUUGAUGUACUUUUUGGAUCACUUCAUACUCAUCUUAGCUUUCAAGUUUUCUAUUAUUUUAUUGCAUUAAUAUAAACGCAAACAAUAUAAGAUAAUUGACACUCUAAUGAAAUAAUGAAAAUGUAUUUGAGUGAUAGUUGAGGACAAACUAAAGAAGACAAAGAUCUCUUGAUCACGCGUGUGGCAGUGGGCAUGUGCGUGCGUAAGCGUAAGCAAUAGAUCAUCCAAAGCCCCAAACCCCUCAAUACAAUAUUAUGUAUUUUGACGAUUCUACCCUUUUAUAAAGAAUAAUGCUAUUUUCACAUUUUUAUCAUAUACCAAAAGUAUUUUUUUUGUAACCUUGGAGAAAUCUGAAGCAAAGUUGAGGAGAGCACCAACACACUUCUAGUCAUUGGGGCUUGUCUACUGCUAUGCUCUCCUUUUUUAAUUCAUCUGAUGGAUUGCUUAGUAAGUUUUAGAAACAUGGAAAAUACUAAUAAUAAUAAUUACAAUAACCAGACAAUUGUUUGAAGCAACUAAAUAACAGUAGUGUCAAUUAUUUUAAGAGAGAAGUAGUGGGUCCUAAGAAGAGAAUUCAGUUGAACUCUCAAUCUUUUGAGCAGUCUUUGAGUUUGUGUGGAUCUCAAUUUUAUAACAAAAGCCACUGAUUGCUACUUGAGGGGGACUGCAUAUGAGAAAGAUUGAUAAGUUUUAAAGUUUUCUUCAUACAUAAACCGUUAUUUAUUAAAAACACAUUUUUAGUUUUUAGCGUAUAUAUACAUGUUUUUGUACAAUAUUGUUUCUUUGUCAAAUUUAGGCCAAAAUCUUUGUUAACAAUUGACAGAUGUAUGAUUCUAUUUUGAUUUGUGUGGUAAUCUUGCGGCUAUAGUAAAGCCAAAACACAUUGAUCUACAAAUUUAUGGUUGUAUCAUCCAAAACAUGCGUCAAAAUUUGAUUGGCUAAUUUAUAUUUCUUUCAGUUUUAGCUGCUUGGUCGACAUUAUUAUAUUUGUAUCCUACUUUAAUACUUGUGUCAACUAUAUAAAAUCAUACAAAAUAUCUAAAGAAAUCAUCUAUCUCUUCAUCCAAAAUUUAAGCGUAAUAUUUUCAAUCUUAGUUAUCAGAAUUUCACAUAUCAAAAUUCAGUACCUGUGCAAAUAUUUAUAAGAGAUAUAUAAAAUAUGGAAAAUAUCUUAAAGUUCAGAUAAAAAUAGGAUAGAGUGUAAUAAUGAGAGAGUAUUGGGUACAUACAAAGGUACAAAAUCUCAAAAUGAAGGCAAAGGUAGAGAGAAAAGUGGAGCCUACAAUCCUAUGGUUGACGGCCAAACCCAUUUACAUGUGCGCCACGUGGGCUAUUGCGGGUGCAUGAUCUCAGCAUGAAGUGUCAUCAUCACUCCUCGACCUCGAAAUACUCCUGCCAAAUAUAAAUUUCUAGUAUUAUUAAAAACAUUAUGUAAUAAUAUAGCAUUUUUAUUUUGGUUUGUAGCUAAUUUUGUCUUUGGCGUAAAAUGUGGACUACAUUAAUACAAUAGAAAACUGACCGUUAAAACGUGGCUAAAAUGUCCUAAACGGUAAACAGUGAACACUAUGAUUGAGUUUUUCUAGUUGGUGUUUACAAGUUGAAAGGUUAAAUGCAUUGCUUCUUAUUCCGUUAAAGAACUUAGCAUAUUGUAAAUGAACGUGACAUCAAUGUUUUUAGCUCAAUUCCGAGUACGUAUUCUAUGACGUCUUACUUUUUUUUGUUAGUCUUAUAUUUAUAUUUACCUGGGGAAGUUGUAAAGUAUUCAAAUUGUGUUAUAUUAAUGUUUCAAAACUUGUAAAACGAGCACUAUAAUAUUUUCUCUGUUUCAUCAAGAUAAGAUAAGUGUUUUAAAAAUAAAAUAAAAUAUUUUACAAAUGUACAUGUUUGAUUAUUUUAUGCAAUAUUUAUCAAUUAAUAAUGGUAACUUAAAAAUAUAAUUGUUUUUGAAAUAUUAUUAGUUUAAAUGAUGGGAAAUAGAGAAUCAAAAAAUAAUAUAUUUAUAAUCAAAAUUAAAAGUUUUUAAAAAAAUAUGUGAAACACAAAAAAAAAUACAUUUAAAAGAAACCAGAGAGAGUAUUUGAAAGGGACCCUAUUUGAAAAGAAUAGGAUCUUGCAUUUACAAUUUCUAACGAGUAUUUAUAAAACAAACAUGAAAGUAUUGAGUUUAUGUUUACUACAGUUUAAUAUGUAGAUGUUAACGAAAUGGUCACAUAAUAAGAAGAAAUGGAUAAGAAUCUUCUUCUUAGUGGCUAGGAGGAAGAAGAAAGAAGAUACCCUUUUGCGUGGAAGUAUCCAAUCCUGCCCACCUCUCGUUUCCGCCUGCCUCUUUCUCUCGACUUUUAGUUCUUAAAUAUUAAUUAAUUACCGAAUUUCACAUGUGUAAUAUUUGGUUCAAUAUGACUAAAUAUUAGAAUUUUUUUUUUUGAAAAUUAAAUAUUAGAAAUUCAGAUAUCUAUUCCGUUUCAAAGCUCUGCUACGUUGUGGAAUUGUAUAUUUUUGUUUGUAGUUUUGUGUAUCUAUGUUUAAUUACUAGCAAACAUAUAAAUAAUCAAAUCAAAGCAAAAAGAAAAAGAAUAACAGCAGCCAAAAUUGUAAGAUCCACUUAAGCCGUAAAAUAAGCUUUCAAAUACCUCUUUGACAUCGAUUACUUCCAUUAUUGCAUUUAUACAUCUCCAAUGAAAUUCUAUUUUUUUUCUAUAAUUUACAUUAAAGUAGAGUAAUUCUAUUAUUAUAACUUUUGUUCUAAUAAUAUUACUUUAUUAUAGAGUAAAAUAUAAAAAAAUAUCAUUUUUCACUCUAAAUAUAGAGUAAAAUAUGAUAUUUUUCUACAUUUCACUCUAUAAUUGAGUAACUCUAUUAUAAAGUAACACCAUUGAGCAAAAAUUACACAAUAAUAGAAAUACUCUCUUUUAGUAUAAAUUAUAGAAGAAAAAAUAGAGUCUUAGGACAUCUUGAACCCAAACCUAUUUUUUCUCUAUGAUUCUCAUAAAAAUAAAAUAGCUCUAUUAUAAAGUAAGUUUUGCUCCAAUAGUUUACUCUAUAAUAUAGUUACUCUAUUAUAAAAGAAAAAAUAGAGGGAUUUCACUUUUUUCACUCCAAAUAUAAUAGAGUGAAAAAAUGAAAUCUAUAUAAUUUCUCCUCUAUAAUAGAGUAACUCUAUUAUAGACUAAACUAUUGAAACAAAAUUUACCUUAUAAUAGAGUUACUCUAUUUUUUUGAGAAUUAUAGAGGAAAAAAUAGGUUCGGGUUAGAGAUAGUUUUAGACCAUGAUUAACUCAAGUCUCUUAACUGGAGUUCUUAACUUCGGUUAAGAGAUAUAAGAGUCAUUUCUUAUUUGAAAAAUGUAAAAAAAAUGUCAAAUCAUAAGUUAAGAAUUCUGGUUAAAAAACUGAAGUUAAUCAUGUUCUUAUCGGAGAUGCUCUUAUUAGUUGCUUCCAUGUUACCAUUAUUCUCAAAUGUAUUUCUUUAUUAUUUAAAUAUUUUUUUAAAAAAAAAGUGUUAAUUUAAUGUGUGUUGUGUGCGCAAGUGAAUUAAAGAAGCCAACUUCCUUGUUCCACUUUCUCCUUAAUCUUCUUUUCAUAUCUCCUAUAUAUACCUCAGUUUCCUACACACUUUCUCCGGUUCCACAUCAUCUUCUUUGUAUAUCUACUCUCCUUAUUUAAUCUUCUUCUACACACACACGCAACCACAUGUGUAUGUACAUGUAAAGCAGAUACUGAGAUCAAUAUCGUUAUCAAUGAAUUUACCACCGGGAUUCAGAUUCUUUCCCACGGACGAAGAGCUCGUCGUCCACUUCCUCCACCGUAGAGCUUCACUCUUGCCUUGUCAUCCUGACGUCAUCCCUGACCUCGAUCUUUACCCUUACGAUCCUUGGGACCUUCCCGGUAUGUACACUCACAUGCAUAUCUGAUAUCCCUCUCCAUAUACGCAGGCCUGCAUAUACGUAUCAUGCAACAUAUUUAUAAUUGAAAGCCUUUUUUACGAAUUGUUUUUUUUUUAAUAAUUGACUCUAUCUAUGUAUGCAUGCAUGUGAGUGUGUAUCAUGUAUGUUAUAUGUUUAGUUGACAAUAUGUUGAUGGUUGUCACCAACUCACCAAGUCACCAACUUAAGUAACUAAUCUGUCUUUUCUUUAGCAGUACACUUUUGUUGGGUUGCUCUUUUUAAGGAUUGUUUUUGUUUCCAAAAUCUUACCAUACACACCAAUACUAACAGUGCCAAUCUCUACCUAAUAAGUUUCCUUUUAAUUCUUUUGGAAGGAAUCUAUUAAUUGGUGAACUGUAAUUAUUAAUAUUGCUUUCUUCAUAUUCAUACAUAUGCACCGAUUUAAUCAUUCAAUCUCAUGAUACACAAACACAAUCAAUCAUAUACACACCAAAACAUGUACGUGGACAUAUAUAACAACAAAUACACAUGUAAUUAAUAUACUACUGACAAUUUAUCUUCUUUUUUUUGGCUAAACUUAGGUACUGACAAUUUUUCUUACACUAACUUUGUUUACGUAUGAUUAUAGGGAAAGCUUUGGGGGAAGGGAGGCAAUGGUACUUCUACAGUAGAAAGACGCAAGAAAGAGUGACAAGCAAUGGGUAUUGGGAAUCAAUGGGAAUAGACGAGCCAGUUUUCACAAGCUCCACACACAAGAGAGUGGGUAUAAAAAAGUAUCUGACUUUCUAUCUCGGGGAUUCUCAGACUAACUGGGUCAUGCAAGAAUAUUCUCUCCCAGAUUCCUCUUCUUCAUCUGGUCGAUCUUCUAAGAGAUCAAGCCGUGGUUCUACUAGUUCUAGUCAUAAACCAGUAAGCUCCCUAUAUUGUUCAUAAGCUAACAUAAACUUAGGACCGGUCAUAAACUUACGCAAGUGAAACAUUGACUUAUUGUGCCAAAAUUUAAAAUAAUUUAAAUAAACAUAAACCUUAGAAUUUGUAAAAAAAAAAAAAUAUCUAGAUAUAUAAAAUUCUUAAUAAACUGGUCAAAGCUCCCAAAAUUUCAGGGUCAUCUUGCUUUAAUUUUAAGUUUUCUAGUUAACAAAAUUGAUCUCCACGUGGCAUGGAUAUUUGUUAACAGGAUUAUAGCAAGUGGGUAAUAUGCAGAGUGUAUGAACAAAAUUCCAGUGAAGAAGAGGAUGAUGAUGGGGCAGAACUCUCAUGUCUGGAUGAAGUGUUUUUGUCUUUAGAUGAUCUUGACGAAGUAAGCUUACCGUAAUGAGGACAGAAGCACCCAAAAAGAAAAAGGUUUAGUGGGCAAUUAUUUCUAAAAUCUUUGUAUCAAAAAGAAAAAAUGGAAAAGGAGAAUGAGAAUGACAUCAUUCUUACAAGUUAUGUGUUGUAAGAUUAGUAAUCCCAAUUUGCAAGCAAGAAGCAAAACAAAAGGGAAGAAUCUCUAGUCUUGUUGUAUUUUUUUUUAUAAUUCAAAUAUAUGUACACUUUAAUACUGAAUUAGUUCCCCGAAUUCCCUAGUAUUCCAAAAAGAAAAAUACUGAAUUAGUUAUCUUUGAUUUGAAUUAAUAAUUCUCCUUACGAUAACCACAACAAUAAUUCACGAAAAUAUGUUAUAUGAACCAAUGAAACAAUAUGGUGAAAACAAAUAAUAGAUUUAUGGUCAGUUCAAUCACAACCCUUAAGUUAUUGGUUACUGUAGAUUACCAAUACAAUUUAAAUUUAUAUAUAUAUAUAUAUAUAUCGUCUUUUGCCUAAUAUACCGAAGGUUAGGAGGAAAGCCUCAUCUACUAGUUUGGGAUGAAUUUGCAGCAUACUUUGCAUCAUUUGAACAAUAUUAUAACUUUUUUUUAAUCAAAAGACAAUAUUUUAACCUAAAUAUACUUUACUGGUAGAAACGAUUAGAGUUUUGACUAACAAGAUCCAAAGCAUUAGAACGUUUUGUAUUAAGAAGUGGGAAAUAGUAAUGAUUAUGUUACCACUGGAUGCAUGCAAAUGAGACUUAAAAAAAUAAGCCCCCAUGUUGGCAAAUAAUCAUGGGGAAAGGCUUAUAGUGUGUUUAAAAAGUUAAGAGAGACCAAACUAACUUUUUUCGUUUGUUUUUUUUUUUUUUUUUUUUUUCGUUUGUUCUUUCUUUCUUGAAAGUUUAUAUGAUUUAUAAUUUAUAACUCAACAAAUAUAUAAGAAUAAAUUUCUCCUUUUACAGAUGGAAGAGACCGGCAGCUUGGAAAACAAUGUUUCUAGUAAUAAUAUAUGGUGAUAACAGUCCUAAGUUCUUAAAGGCAACAAAAAGGUUUUAAGAUAACAAAAUUCAAUAUUACAAGCAAAUUAUGUUGAAGUACAUAGUGUGACAUCUACAUUUUUAUAUGUACGUGUGGCCUAAACCUAGUAGGAUUGGUGUUGUGUUAAUUAUUUAUGAGUUUAGCAAUCGAGAGCCUUUUUCUCCAAGUUAUAGCCUCUCUCUUUCUCUAUAGAUCUUUGAUUAGGUUUAGUAGUUGUCUUGUGUUGCCGAGCCAAGCAACAUUGUCUUUCUUCAUCUAUUUUAUAUUUUCAUUUUUUCUAUUUUAUUUUAAUGGGUGCUUGCUUAACAAGCACUGACUCAUGUAUGAUGCAAGCACCUUGCACAUAUAAGUAAUUAAUAAUAAAAAAACAAUAAAACAGAAAAUAUUUUAAGUUGGGAAAGAGUGCGAUGCGAUUCAAAUCAUUGUAUAGUUUGGUUGUGCGUUUCAUGGUUUUGUUGUUUUGGAAUAACGAGAACACUCUAGUAUUCAUUAGCUCAUGGUGGUGGGAACUAAUUCGGGGAACUAAUUCAUGGUUUUGUGCGUUUAAUAACGAGCUUCUUACUUGAUUACACAAGUAACAAAACAACGAGAACACUUCUACUACAUUGCAACAUUCCAAAUCAAUAAUAAAAAAAACAAAGACUUGGGUUCGAGCCAUCGACUAGAUGGUCAAGACUCAAGAUAAAACAAUACAAAACAGAGAGACCCAUGAAUAUACACAGGACCAAAGAGAAAAAGGAAACAAAAAAAAAAAACCCACAACACUAUAUAUAUUACAUAAGCUUUACAUAGAUUCUACCUUUUUAGUGUCUGCUUCAGGCUGCCAUUAAGCAGAGACAUAAGCCCACCACCAUGAACUCUGUCCUCAUGAAUCAUAAAGUCCAACAUGUUCCUCCCAUUGCUGUUGCUACUCUUAUUGUCUGUUUCAGGUCUCUCAGUGUUUGAAAACCUUAAAGAUUUCAUAGAUGGAGGCACAAGAACCUGCAUUGGUAUCAUCACCUUCUGUCUUUUCUCAAGAUGCUGCUGCGGAUAGCGGUCAAUGGAGUCAGUGCAAUCAGAGACCGCACUGACUCCAGACAGAGAAUAAUCAGUGGUGGUAGAGACAAGACCACUAAAAAGUCCCGGUCCAAUCAAACCAAUCUUGCUUCCAGCUUUGUCCUGAGCCAUACUAUUAUGCGCAGCGCAUAAACCACUCUUCCCUCUAGCAAACUUCUCACAUACCAAACCUCCUCCCCACGAGCAGCGUUUACCUCCACCAUGAGCCUUGCACAGCUCAGUUCUACCUUGUGCACUCUUCUCACACCCUAAACACUUACACCGUUUCCCGCCACCAUGCUUCACACAACAAUCAGUCCUCCCACGAGCGCUCUUAGUACACCCCACCACCACACAUCUCUUCCCACCACCAUGAGCUACACAGAAACUCGUCCCACCAUGCACACUUUUAGAACAUAUCCCACCUCCAUCAAACAUACAACGUUUCCCUCCACCGUGUGCUUUACACAGAGGAGUACUACCUUCAGCUCCUUUAGUACAUCCACCAAAGAUACACCGUUUCCCACCACCAUGACCUUUGCAGUAGUUAGUACCCCCUUGAGCUCCUUUUGUACAGUCUAAAGACUGACAACGCCUACCACCACCAUGUGAUAUACAAAGACCAGCUUGUCCCUCAGCACUUCGCUUACAUCCUUCAACCCUACACCUUUUGCCACCACCGUGCUUGAUGCAGAGUCCUGAUUUGCCACGUGCAGCUUUAGCACAUCCUUCAGGGAACCCACACCUUCUUCCACCUCCAUGAGAUAUGCAAAAAUCUGUUUUCCCUUCAGCGCUUUUUGUGCAUCCCAAGUGUUGGCAUCUCUUUCCUCCACCGUGUGCUUUGCAGAAAGUGGUUUUGCUCUCAGCACCUUUGUUGCAGCCUGGUUUUUGACAUCUCUGCCCACCUCCGUGGCCAAUGCAGAGCCCUGAUGCUCCUCUAGCUCCUUUCCCACAUCCCAUGAAUCUGCACUUCUUUGGAUUGGUCGUCCUGUUAUGAGAAGAUGUGGCAGAUGCUGUCCUGUAAGAGAAAGCAGCGCCUAGGGAGAACUCUGACUCAUGAUGGCUCAGCUGUGAAUUAUAAGCAUUAGUGUAUGUAAAUGUCAGUGAGGAACAAUCAAGCCCGCUGAAACUGUCCAUGGUCACAGAAGGAGGACCGAGUUGCAAGAUUGAGUUACCCUCUGAUGAGAGCUCCUGAACCGUUCCACAGGAAGCUGAGACUUUGUUGUUGUUAUUAACACUGACAUUGUUAUAGUACAAGGGAGGUGUUGGACCUAAACCGAGAACCAACCGGCAACCACCAUCAGGACAAGUAGUUACAUCAGAACAAAGGUUAUGGUGGUGGUGAGAGCUCCCCAUUAAUCUCCCUGAGCUGCUUCCAAGGCAUUUCAAGGUGAGAGCAGUAUCUUUGAGAUUGUCUAGGUUUGCAAUACAGUUCAAAUCCAUAUGAAGAACGACAGAAGGGGAAAUAAAAUGGCCAAAAAAUAGGAAUACUUAGAACACUUUGCAAAAUAAUUAUAAACAUAAAAGCAACUUGAGAUAUAAACAUCUCCCACCACUGAUAAAUCCACUUGUGUCUGCCCUGUCCAUCUUCAAGAAUGAGCAAGAGCAAGAACCUUUCUGCAGCAGUUACAAAAUCUAUGUCAGUAGACAGUAGUAGAAAAGCAAUGACGUAAGACUAAAAAUAAUAAAAACUGCAUUGGAGGUAAUAGUGAAAUACAGAUAGCAGUUCAUGGAGUUAAGAGAUUCAAAGUACAGACCAAUAAUUGGGUACUAAAAACUGUGGUUGAGAAGGACAAAAGUACCAACCAAAAUGACUUAUGGUUAGUUUGUAACAACAUUUUUUGUGGCCUCUAAAAAGCAAAAUUCUGAUUGUACUUUUUUCUUACUCAAACAACUAAAAAGCAAAUUCUGAAUUGUUUGAGAGAUCAUUUAUACUUAUAACACUUGUAUCAUCUUUUUUGUUCAACACACUUGUAUCAUCAUAACCUGGAAAUUCAGCUUGUUUGAUAAGUGAUUACAACAAUGUGGAUUUCCCAAACAAGAUCUAAUUAAGGGAAUCAUUGUUUUCUCACAAAUAAAAACAAAAUCUAUAAGAAAACACCAUGGAAGAUUCUUAUGUUUUAACUAGUUUAUAAUUUUCCAUGUAAACCACUGUCCAAGAAUGUUUUUCGGAAUAACCUCUCUCCCGACCAAAACUUGGUUUAAAGUUUAAACAUAUGGACACUUAACAAAAAAACUAGUUUAAAUUUUGAGGGAAGAAAAAAAUAAUUAAACCCACAUCAAAGUAAAAGAAAAGGAAAGAGAUAAAUAAUUCAUAUCAUACUCUUAAAAAACUUAACAGCUUGUGAAGGUGAAACAUCAAAAAAUUAAAACCCUAAUUUCAAAACAAACCCUAAAAAGGAGCAAGAGACAAUAACAUAAACUAGCUGAAAAUAAACCUGCAAGUAAGUCUUUAUUAGCCAUUCAUUCUGAUGCAUCAUUUAUAACUCGAUUGAUCAGUAAGAAAAAAGAAACAAAAAAUUACUAAAAGGAGAAAUAAAAACCUGAUGGAUCUAUAGACAGGGAGAUAGAUUCCUUGAGCAGAAAAAAAACCUUGGAAACUAAAAAGAAUCUCCUCGUCUCAAUAAUAUUUAGGGAAGAAGAAAAAAGAAAAAGACAAAGACUGAACACAUGUGUUGUAAUAUUAUCGAGGCUACAAGAGAAAGAGAGGAGAUAUUAUUAUGAGCGGUUCAUGUCCUUCUCGUUUAUAAACCGAGAGAUCGAGACGAAAUCCCGACGAAUUGCCCAAAAUACCCUCUAUCUGUGUCCGUGGUUACGGUUCUGAUUGGAUGAGAUACUGCCCUAUUUUGGGAAAUUACUAAAACGCUUUUUCUAUGAGAACGACGCCGUUUUGAGGGACAAAGCACUUCUGAAUUUCUGUUGAUUCGAGUGGUAGUGAUGCUGCGACAAGUCACUUCUGAAUUUCUUAUAUAAAAUAAAACUGAUUCCACUCCAUAAUUUAUGACGAGAUCAUAAAAUUUACAAAAACUCAAGUUUCGUUUUUUUGUCUAAUACUAUAUAAUUAAUCCAAGUUUUGGUUGAUGUUUCAACUUUAUUUGUCAUUUCAUGUGCUCGAUUAUGUUUUAAUGAGACAGAAAAAACAAUAUUUUAUCAUGCCAAAAAUAUGGAGUACAAUAUAAGAUUUAGCUGGCAUCAUGAAACCUAGCAUUAUUAAAAUUUUGAAUAAGAUUCCACUAUCCAAAUGCGAAGCACUUGAGGCAUAAAGCUUCUAAAAAUUGUAAGGAUCUACAUGUUAUUAGGAAACAAGAUCAUGUGAUAAAAGGAUUAGGAGAUAAGAACAUACUCCUUUAUCACAAUAUAAAUAUAUGAUCUUAUCUCUUAAUACAUGUCAAGAUUUAUAUGUUAAAUUGGCAUGUUUCUAUCCAUACAAUACACACAAAAUAAAAUAUAAAUAGUUUUCAUGCGCGUCUUCGUUGAUACAAUCUCUAAUGAUGUUUGUUUGAACAUUACAAUAACUAAAUUCAAAAAUAUUAAAAUAUGAAAAUAACUGAACAUAAUUCUAAUGAUCUCGUUUUCACAAUUUAUAAACUUCAAUUUACAUUUUCUUGAAAUGAUAUUUACAUUUUGGCAAAAAAAAAAGAUGAAAAUAAAUGUAAUUUUUCGUUUGAAAUAAGCGAACAUGUAAUUGAUUAGUGGGAGGAAAAUUUUAGAUGUGCUAUGGACAAUUUUUUAAUUUAUAUCAAUUGAUUUAUAGUUGAACAAAAAAAAAACAAUUGAUUUAUAUUGUAGUACGGACCCUUGCUUUAUAUCAAUUCUUGUUGUGACGCGACGGACCACACUAUAUAAAAGAUUAUUUAUUAAAAUAUUUAUAAUAAAUGAAAUUUGAUUUUUGUGUUGUUCCAAGAGGCAAUUCCUACUACGUCAGCCAAUAGUUAAUAUAUUUGUCAACCGUCAGCCAAUUAGGUUCCUUGCAGAGUGGAAGAAUCUAUCAUAUUAUUUUAAUUAUACCAAUUUUAUAUUAGGAAAAGGUACAAAAAUAAAUAAAAUAAAUGGAAUCUUACUAUUUUAUUGUCGAGUCGACGACGAUUCCAGCCUCCGGCUCAAAUCUCCACGCGAAUUGAUGACGUCAACAAUACUUUAUACUUUUCUUACUUUUAUAUUGUUUAAAAUUAUAAAAUCUGAUAAAAUGUGUGUGAAAACACGAAAGCAUUGUUGCAUUAUCUUUAGACAACGUUUAGGUCAUUAGCAUUCAUACAUUUUUAUUUCAGAGCUCUUAAUUACCGGCUGAGAUACUAGUUGGAUUUUACAAAUAUUUAUUUUGGAAAUAAAUAACAACAGCCCCAGGUCCAGUAUAAGCCCAAGCCCACUUGCCUUCUUUUAUGCCUAGUGGAAGCUCAAAAACUCAAGAGAAGAAGCAAAGAGAGGAGAACCCAAAAGUCAACUCAAACACAAUUUGUGGAAGCUUGAACUUAAAGUAACACAAAGAAGAGACUAAAAUACAAACUAAAUAACAUAAACUAUGAUUCUUGAAUGCUAAUAUGGGCCAAAAGCUUGUUGGCUUAUAAAAAAAACUUUGGUUUAUAUUGAUAUAAUUGUAAGAAAAUGAUGUAUAUAUAGAGAAGAGUCACGCUCAUCUUUACAAUUACAAGUCUCAAUGCUUUCUGCAGUAUCUCUUUAACUUCCCACAAGCCCUUUGUACCGAGCAUGCGACAUAAUGAACACGAACAAGAUUACACAACACAUCCCUGUCCCGAUCACAACCUGCAACAACAAAAUCACAUUUACAUUAGUCCUCAGAUUUAUUAAUUAGUAUAUUUCUUUAUCAAGCAAAAUAUCAAGAACUUGGUUACAUACAUAUUUGAACAUGUAUCCAUGGUCAUUGUUCCAUGUGUAUGGAAUGUUCAUCCCGAAUAUUCCAGCGACCAGAGAGUAAAACGAUGAGCAAACGGUUCCAGAACUCAACACAAGCUCCAGCUGCAAGGUUUUAAAAGAUGAUCAAGAAAAGAAACUCAUGAAGAUGAUAGAAAAAUUUCAACAUUCACUUACCUGAAUCAGCUGAUUACGAUGAUUGUCUAGCUGGAUGUUGAUGUAAUCCUCUGUGUCAUCGAUAUACUCACGUAGCUGCACCAAAAAUAAAUAAAAAUUGAGAGCUGGAAGAAGAAAAGUUUUUAAAGAAUAAAAAAAGACACAAUGAAGGAGCAAGAAGAUAACUGUUGUUAAUCUGUUCAAAGUGCUGUCGAUUUGCAUGAAGUAUGCCUCGAGCAACAUCUCAAGCUCUUCAACAUCGUUUUCAUCCCCACGAACUGUGGCUAGACUCGCUCUGCUCGCUCUCGAGAUCUUGGAGCCUAUUGUUGGGGAAGUGAGAUAGUAAUUUGGACUAGUGGACGCCGAGGAAGCGCUGAAGAGUUUCCUCGAAAGGUAAAGAUCCGCCAUGUCAUCAUCAUCAUCCAGCAACUGUUCCAGCUCAUCUCUUACCUUUUGAACUCGAGCUGUUAACCGAGUCAUUGCACUCUUCAGCUUCCUAACUCUAUCCAAGUUACGGCUACUAAUCUACAAAGAUUAAUGUAAAAAAAAAAAACACUGUUAAGAACUGGAACAGUGUUGAUACUUAAACGUUUGAGUGUACCUUACCUUUGAGGUAAGUUCAUCCAAAGCAGGAUAAGCAGCUGUUUCCAACUCUGUUGUUCUUGCAGCUAAGAAGCUGCAGAUUGCUUCCAAGAAAACUUCAAGCGCCCGAAACUCAAACGGGGAUUCUAUAACGCAACAAGCAAGCAAAGAUUUUAAUAAAUUAAAAAUAGGAUUACAAGUGUUUUGAAAAGGUUAGAGCCUGUGGGGGGGAUAGUAUAGGUACCAUCUUCUUCGCCAGCAUCAGCGUCAUUAUGUGCAUUUGAGCUUUCUUUUCCAUCUCCUUGACCAUGGUGUUCUUCGUUUCCAACAGGUAAGCGUCUUUCAAGCUCCUUCACAACGGGAAUAACAUGCUCAUCUGAUGGAUCCCGUAGCAAAACCUGUAAGUAAUGAAAUCAAGUUACUAAUGCAAAGAUGAGAUAAGGUUUUUCAUCUAACUCAAUGUUCUAAAAAUCGGUCUAGGCAGCAAACCGGUCAUAAGCUGUGCAUAAAUGCACGCCUUGAAGUUAAUCCUCUAUAAAGAGUCUAAUUACCGUCUAGCAAUUUCUUUAACAUUGAUAAAAAUCAGUCAGACCAUAGAUGCCCAUCUUAAAGCUAUAAAGAGCCUAUUUACCGGCGGUAAUUAGGCUCUUUAUAGCUUAAAAAUACCGGGGGAUAGCUUCGAGACUGGCAUUUAUGCGCAGUUUAUGAUCGAUUUUAUCAAUGUUGACUAAAUUGUUAGGUGGUAAUUAGGCUUUUUAUAGAGGAUUAGUUUUAAGUCGGGAACUUAUGGUCAGCCUAUGACAGAUUUUAUCAGUGUUGACAAAAUCGCUAGGCGGUAAAUUACCGUCGGUAAUUAGACUCUUUAAGCUAUAAAGAGUAUAAUUACCGCCUAGCAAUUUCUUGAAGUUGCGCAUAAAUGCCUCACUUGAAGCUAGUCCUCUAUAAAGAGCCUAAUUACUGCCUAACAAUUUCUUGAAUAUUGAUAAAAAUAGGUCAUAAGCUACGGAGCCUAAUUACUGCCUAGCAAUUUUUUGAACAUUGAUACAAUCAGUUAUAAUCUAAUGGCCGUCUUAAAGCAAAAUCCUAAUUACCGCCUAGCAAUUUCUUGAACAACUGAUACAAAAGAAUCAAGAAGAAAACCAACCUCUUCGGAAGUGAUAAUCGCCUUGAUAUGCUGCAUCACACCACACACACACACAAAACAAUCACACUGUGAAACCAAACAAAGAAACAGAGAAAACUGAAGAACAAAUUAGAAUGAAUACUUAACAGUCCUCACCUCCAAAUUGAGCACAAUGGCUCUCUCACGGCCAAGAAUAGUAGACGGGUAAGAUAAAUUCGGGUCAAGAAUCCGAAGAUCACGAGCGUGGAUCUGGACACGGUGCAUGAUAGCAUACUUAUCAACAUCUAGCGCCUCGCUCUCUCCCGUCGCGACUAUACUAACCCAACUCCGCGACGAUUGAGGCUUCGUCUUGGUCGCUACCACGUUAACGCUAUUAUGCGCCAUCUCUGAAAACGCACACACACUUCCUCACCGUCCCACUUCCUCCACGCCGUCUGAGUAAAAAUUCAACCACCGUAAACCUCACGCGAAUUUGAGAAAGAAAAAGAGAGAAAGAGAAUCAGACAUACGAAUUCGACGGAGGAGGAGACAAAACCCUAAAGCGAAUCUUCGUCUUGUCUGCUCCUCCUUUUUCAUUAAAAAGGAUUUUCCUUUUCGACCUUUUUCUGGUAGGUUUGGUUUUUGUGUUUUGCCCGGAAGGAGAGUUUUAACAGUUUCAGAUUAAAUCGAAAACGUGUUACUUUAAUUCUGUCUUUUUUUAUUCCCAAAUCAAACCGGAGCUAACCGAAAUAAACCGUUAAUAUAACUAUGAGGAGUAAAGAGUUUAUCUAAAUAAUUCAAAAGAUACUAAUUUCUUUAAACUGUACAUGUACAGUAUAUCGAAUGUCAAAGUUGUUUUUAAUUAAUAGAAUAUCCAAACCUUUUUUUUUUUGUAACUGGAGAAUAUCCAAACUUGCUUUACCCAAAUCUGUUAUUACAUACCUGAAUUACCAUACUAUAUUCGUUUUAGAUAAGAAAAUAUCUCAAAUGUAAUAAUAAAUACUAGGACUAUCUCAAAUGUAAUAAUAUAUACUAUAAAUAUAUUUGGAUACCAUUUUAAAAAAAAAGUUCUUAAACUACACAAAUAAAUUCAGAGUCAGAAUUUAAUGCAAGUGAAAGAAAAUCCAAACUAGCUAAAACCCAAAUCUGAUAGAAUGCAAGUAAAGUCUAAAUUUACAUACCUGAAUUACCAUAUACUAUACUCAGCAUUAAGAAGAAGAAGAAAAAAUGAUGUCAAAAAAAAAAAAUCAUAUUUAUUUAUAUACUUGAACUAUCCUAUAUAUAAAAUGGUAUUAAUAGUUUAAUACCCAUGAAAUUGUCUUUUAAUUUCCGAUAAUUAACAAAAACAAAUUUGGAAAAAACUUCACAAUUUCAGUUUUAUUCCAACUUGCAUAAGCUUAAGCAUGUUUACAAUUUUUUUUCAUUUUAAUUUAAAAAUUAAAAUCCACUAGAAUCAGAUUCUAAUACUCAAAGAAUGUUUCAAGUCACCAACGUGAAGACGAUGCUGACCCAAACCAAUCUUCCUCUUACCGAUCUCAUCAACAACGCUCAGAUCUUUACAGACAUCAACCUUAAACUUAACCACCGCUUCUUCCAUCUUCCCCAAACGAAUUUUCUCAAACCCCAAAAGAUGCUUCCUCGGCGCUCCAUGAACCUCCGGCGGCGUCGUGAACAAAAACACCGUGUGAACCCCUUCUCUCUCCCCACCGUUCCUUACCUUAACCUGAACCUCGAAACCGGAGACAGUGUUCUCGCAGUGCGGUCCAACCGCAUCCAAAGAUUGACACUCCGAUGAUCGGCAAACGUGAUUCUCUUCAAGACGGAGAGAGACGACACGUGGAGCUUUGACUAAGCUGUGGCUGAACUUGGUGUAGCUGAGUCCAUCUCCGAAGGAGUAAACUGUUUCUCCGGUGUAGAACCGGUAAGUCCGACCCGGAUACCCGUUUGAUGUAUCGGGUCUCAUGUUCAUAUUCGUCAUCGGAACUUUCUCCACGUAGGAUUGUGGAUACCACGUCAUCGGUAACCUUCCACCUAUUAAAAACCGAAUUAACCGGUUAACACCGGUUUAAUCUAACCGAAAUUUCAAUCACAAAAAAUGUAAAAACAGUCUUACUUGGGUUGUAACGGCCAAAGAUGACGUCAGCGAUGGCUAUACCACCAGCUUCUCCGGGGUAACCAACCCACAAGAUUCCGGCGAUCUUCGGAUCAUUCUUAGCGAAAGUAAUAUCAAAGCCUCCACCAGACAUGAUCACAAGCAAGACAGGUCCUUUAGCAGCUUUAGCCACUUGUGUCACCAGCUCUUGUUGUUGUCCAGGAAGGUUCAAAUCAACUCUAUCACGGCUCUCUGCCUCUAUAGACUGAUCCGCACCCAUCACUAACAUCGUCACAUCCGCAUCUGCGGCUAGCUUCGUGGCGCCUUCUACAUCCGCCACCGCGCAAGCCACAUUGGAACAUCCUUGUAGAUACGUUGUUGGCACGGUCCCGGCCAAUCCUUGAAGCGGCGUUGUGUACUUGCACGGCGUGCCUUCGUAGUUUCCGAUCAUUGUUUUGGUGACAUUAGCGUUCGGUCCAAUCACGGCUAGUGAUUUGAUCGUUGUAUGAGAGAGAGGUAAGCAUCCGGUGUUUUUCAGCAGGCCAAAAGCGGUAAGGAACCAGUGUUUUUCAGCAGGACAAUGCCUUGUCUCGCUGCUUCUGCGGCUAGCUCUUGGUUCGCCGGCGUGCAAACGUCUUUAGGACCUAGCCCGCCGUAGAUUUGUUUCUUUGGAUCUCCGUCGAAGAAUCCUAACCGCAUAAGGGUCAAAAAGUUGUUUGAAAUAGCUUUGUUGAUAGCUGCCUCGCUUACCAAACCGGCUUUAACAGCAGCUUCUGUGUGUUGACCCAAGAACGAACCACAGUUCAAGUCCAAACCUGCAUUGAUAGAUAUAGCUGCAGCUUCCUCUGGAGUUUUGGUAUAGUGUUGGUUCUUAUACAACACAUCUACUGAAUCACAAUCUGAAACAAUGUACCUAUUAAAAAAUAAAAAAAAUCAGAACCCAAAACUGUUUAGAUUUGACUGGAAAAAGUUAUAAACCUAAGAUUAAAUGAUACUUACGAAACUAAUAUUAUAUGUUGUGGUUUCGGCUUAGAACCUUCUAGUAUUGAAAAAAAGGUUCUAAAGCUGGGUCAGAUAAUAAUUACCCGUAUAACUUCCACUCGCCGCGGAUAACACCAGCAAGUAGAUCCGGAUCAGCGCAUGUUGGUUUACCGUUAACUUGAUUAUAAGAACACAUAACACUAGCCACAUUCCCAUCAACCACACAACUCUUGAACGGUGGUUGAUAUGUAUCGUCCAUGUCUUGUUGAUUCACCUACUCCAACCAACAAAAAACAGAAAAACAGUUAGUAAAAAUGUGACAAAAACAAUACAAAACACUUAAAAAUGUAUUUUUUGUCAUUAGAUUUACGAUUUUGAGUCAUUACCACGGCGUUGAAAUUGUAACGUUCUACGCCUUUCCAAUUAUCAACGUCGUAAGCUGUGUAGUGUUUGCAGCAUGCAGCAACUUUGAGGCGGUUAGCAUCUCCACAGUCAGUUUCUUGGAGACCCUUAACGUAUCCUGAAGCAUACUUGCUAGAAAGCAAUGGAUCUUCUCCAGGAGUUUCUUGUCCUCUUCCCCAUCUCGGAUCUCGGAAUAUGUUGACAUUCGGUGACCAGUAAGUUAAACCAGCUAAUCCAACGUUGUACAUUGCCCUCGCCUCGGUCGAGACAACCUUAACAAUUGAGUAAUAAACAAUGUCAUCCAACAAAUAUUUGUGUGUUCGCUCCGGUUUAGACUAGCCGGAUUGGUUUAAAAUGUACGAAAACGAACUUGUUGAAAAGUGGUUACUUGUAUCACACGUAAGAGAAAAACAAGAGGUCUAGUUUUUUGCAACUUCAAGAGGUCUAGUUGCAUUAAUAAGUGAGAUAUUUCUACAUUAUCCAACAAGAGAAACAAAAGCAAGGACGAUGAUAAUAUUACAAAAAUAAAAGUUUUGAAAAUUGUUUAAUAAAGAUAAAUUUUGUGUGUGUUUUAUAAACUUCUAUUAUUUAAUAAUAAUAAAUUUUAUUUUUAAAAAAAUAAUAACUGUUAUUGAAUUACUAUUGGCUUAGUUUUAUGGAAAUUGAUAUAUUCACAUAAAAUAAUGCAGUUAUUUUUAAACUGUUUUUAAUAUCAUUUUGUGAGUAUAAAUGUAUAUAAAGAAGUGAAAAUGGAUAAAAAAUUAUUUACCUUGCCAAUGGCUUGAAACAGAGAUACGUUAAAAGAAGCGGCGGUGAGUAUGACCUGCGGAAAGCUCGUUGCGCCGGGAACUAGGCCGGAGAAAUGUGUACCGGGUCCUACGUAAGAAACGCCGUGAAGUGCUUCCGACCACCAUUCAUACGUCGGAAUACCAAGCCGCGUCACGCCGUUAGCUUUAUUCACUAAAAACCCUAUCUUUUCUUGUAGCGUGAGCCUCGCGACAAGAUCAGCGACUCUGUACUCGAUCUUCAGAACAGUGUUGCAGAAUCCGUAAGCUGCGAGAGAUGGGUUUGUGUCGACAUCGCAGGCGAAAACGGGCUUGGUUUGAGCGUUAGAUGAAUGUGAGAAACAGAGAAUGAAACAGAAGAAGGUAAGAAGAACAGAGGAUGGUGCUCUGUUUCGCCUUGUUAGUGGAGAAGAAGAGCCCAUUGUGUUGUUAUGUUUCGAGUGUUGGCAGGGGAUAUUAUUUUUGCGUUUAGUGAUAUACUGUUUAUAUAGUAAUGAGCUACUAUGCUCAGCAAGGUUUGUAUAAAUAAUCUAGGCGUGUAUUAUUACUUUGAAUAUUUAUCUUUUGGUCCUAUUAAAAUUGAGAUUAUGUGAAAAAGUGUUGAUACGGUGUUCGAGGAAAGAAAUAAUGAUUCGGACCAUACGGUCUAAUGUGGAUAGUGUUAGUAUUUAUGACCUCUGUUCUUUCAUCUUUGUUAACUUUUUAAUAUAACGAACGAAUCUUGCAUGCGAGUGGGUUUUUUUAACUUUUAGCUUUAUACAUAAGUGCACAAAGAAUAUUCAACGUAUAAAACUGUUUUUGUUCUCUUUUCUGCAUGACCGUAUAAAUACUUUCUAAUUAGUGGUUAUUAAGGUGGGAAAUAAUAUUUCUCUCAAAGGAGAAAAGAAACGUGAGAAAGGAAUCGUGGAUCCCAAUAAGCAAAGAGUGUUUGGUAGUGACCCGUGACGGUGUCGUAUUAUUUACCAAAUGGUAGAGUUUGUCGAGCUUCAUAGUGCAACUUGGUUGCCUUCUCUGUUUCGAGUCCGUGAAUCUUAAUGGUUUCCCACACUUUGUUUCUAUUUGCAUGACAGGCUGUCUCUUUAUUCUUUAUUAAGGCUCUCUCAUGCGCGUGAUUCACUAGCAUUAUAUUACUUCAUUCACAUCAAGAAUUCAAGAUUAACUUUUGAUAAAGCCUCUAUGUGUGUUUAGUUAAUUUGAUGAUAGUAUUGCGCUUUCAAAUUUCAAAAAUAUCUCAAUCUAAAUCAAAAGAACUUUAUUUAACUGAAAACAUAGGAUGGAGGCAAAUGUUUGUGCUACUUUUUUUUUUUUUGUAAAAAGUGUUUGUGCUACUUUUUGAGAAGAGAGAAUAAAAUUAAGCACCACUUGGAUUCAGCUUUACGUAUAUUUGAAUAAUGAAUAUGAUUUUUAUGGAUGAAGUAAUGGUAUUAUCAUUUGGGUGUAUAGUACAGUUGAUCGGGUUUUCAGUAAACGCGUUUCUUGUCAAUGGCGACAUUCACAAAAAGAUUAGAAAAUCUAGAGGUUAGUUUGAUUGUCUGUUUGAAAUAUUUUGGUCAUCUGAAAAAAUGGAUGCAAUUAAUUAUGGACAUUAAUAACUCCCUCCUAACUAAAAAGUAAUAUUUGUUUGACACGUUUAUAAGAUGUUAUUAACUUAAAAUAUAACCAACUUUAUAAAAAAAUACGAGACUGAAGAAGCUAUGUCGAAUUUGAAUUUAAUCUACACUACGGUCAAAGAAACAAAUAUUUAUAAGUAAUCCACUCUAUCAAAAAAAUACUGAGGAAAAUUCAAAAAUUUCAACAUUAUAGAGAACUAGUUCUUUUAUUUUUAUAAAAUAUUUAUCAUAUAUGAUAUAUACAAGCCAUCAAAUUCCACAUCAACAUGAACAUCAACAUCCAAUGCAUGUGUACCUUAAACCAAAUUAGGGUUUUACGUCUCAACUACGUUACGACAAGGUCUCAAUCAUAUACUAUGAUAUAAGCCAAAUGUUUCUGAUUUUUCUCCAUAUAAUUGUUUUUGAAAUGAAUAUCUUAUUUAACAACUAUUAUAUAUAGAAAUAUGUAUUUUUAUAUUACAAGGAAACGAGUAUAUAAGUUUUUUGAAAAAAGAGUACAUAUACUUUUGCCCAAAGAAAAAGAAAGGAGUAUAUGAUUGAAACCCCGAAACAAAUUAAAUAUCCUUCAUUUUCUUUUUUAACAACGGAACACACACUGUUACACCCACAGAAAAAAACGGAACACAUAUACUGUUGUUAUUAGUACCAGUCAUCAUCUGGUUAUCGGGGUUUUAUUUAUUAUUCUACCAUUUUAGUUGUACCUUUUCAAUAUUCCACAUAUAUACGUUAACCACUAGAAUCUUAACUUGUCGGAAACUACUUUCGUUUCUUAUAGUUAUAUACUUUUUAAAUAAAAAAUUGAAUAUAGUUUCUUCAAUAUGAUUUUUACUAUUAAUUACAUAAACUUUUUGACCUACUCUUUGAAUUAUAUAUACAUUAGGUAGAUAUAUAUAUGUGGUCAACUAUUGUAAUUAUUCGUAUUUCAAAAACCCAAAAAAUACUCCUAAAAUACAAUAGGCAGUAUGGAGGAAACUUGAUCAUAACUGGAUAAAUUUAACUUGAUUAACAUAUAAGACUUUCCAAACAUCUAAUACUAAUCAUUCAAUAUAUAUAUCAUAAUUUGAUCGCCAUGGAAAUAGUUCUUUUCGUAUCAUCUAUAUAUAUGGCCAUUAGGACAUGGCAUCGAUUACUCUCACCUGGUUAACAAGAAGUUCCUUAUGUCCGAAGAGUUCGAGAGUAUUUGCUUCCGAGUUUCCAUCCUUACGUUAAAUUAUCCACGUUUGGUCAUAUAUCCAAGAAAAGUUGGCAACUAGUAUGUUAUUGUUAGUAUUAUUAUAAAGCUAUUGUGUUAGUAUUAUUAUAUGUGCCACAAAUCAAAAAGAAUCAUAUACCCACUCAAUAAACUUAUAUGUUAGUUUCAACUAAUGCAAUAAUGAUAAUAGUAAUUGUAGACAUAAUAUAUAGUGAUUAAUGAAUGAUACCAAGUACUAAAAACUUCAUUAACACAAUAACACUGUAGUGGGUUUACUAUAGGUAACCAUGUUCUUCACUAGUUGGUUUGCUCAGUAGUUUAGUUAGAUGAUAAUCAUUAUGGCUUGGUGUAGAUGUUCAAAUUAGUCAGAUUUUUUGAAUAUCGAUAAUGGACCGUCUGGUAACAUCAAUUGCCAAACAAAUGACCUUCAAUAUCUGAUCUUAUAGGUCCCCAUUUAUUUCAUGUUGUAAAUCUAAAACUAAUGUACAGGUAGCGUACAAACAUGUAGUAACAAGACACUAUUGCCGAUAUGUUUUGAGUGAAGAAGAAUAUAGCAAAAGAUAGACCCCAUGGACCCCGAUCGCAGCAAAAUUAAAUGAACAUAUGGUUCCUUUUUUAUUUUUUUUCCAUAUAGUGAUCAAACUUUAUACCUUUCGUUAUAGAUCACGUGGAAUCUAUCAACUUGUUCAUUCAUUAGUCCACCUUUACUCAAGUAACAAAAACAACUUCUACCUUCUAUCUACUAAAAUAAAAAAAUACACUAUUUUUGUUAUGUUUAGAUAAUGAUAUAGUCGUAUAUAGCAGUUGAUAGAACAAAUCACAAGUCACAAGACUCACAACACACAGAACAAGUAGUUGCAUAGACUGUAACGAAAAGAAAUAUUACACAUAUACAUGUGAACUACGUACGAAGAAGAUUAAGGUUGUGAUAUCGGACCUGGGACUUUUCGUGUCGCCAUUGGUUAGGUGUCAAUGUCUUUCAGCAUUUCAACUUAUCUAUCGAUCACUAUUAUAUAUAGAUGAUGAAAUCCAUUUCACUCACUUAAAAACAAAUCAAAGUACUGGAAAAAUCAAAGAAAAUAAAUUUUUAAAUGUGGGAUGAUCUGCAUCACUUAACAAAUGAUUUUUAAUUUAAAAUAAAUAGGUUGCCAUAAAGAUUUGAGGUUUAUUCUCCAACUCGAAUCACAGCUUCUGUUUGGAUCUCUUUAACCUAUUCUAUCCCAAAACUCAUUCACUAGUUUCCAUGUGUCGAAGAGACGAUCGAAACGCUGCGUUUUAAACAAGAGUACCGGUACGAUCAUCACCGGUACACUAUCGAAUUCGAAAUUCCGGAAUUACAAUAAAUAUGAUAACAAAACCGGUGCGCGCUUGGAAACGUGCCACGUUCGUUGACCGUUCCAAGAAAUGUCACCGUUAUAAUAAUAAAAAGCCGGUACGACGUUAACCGGACACAGUCAAUUUCUAAAAUUUCCGGUAAUACAGCAACCGAACCGGUUUUGAACGAGCAAGAAGCUUGAUGUUCGGAGUGAAAGAGACCGUUGUAGAUCUGUCUUCUUCUUCUUCCUCGGAGAAAUGGUGAAACACAGAAGCUCAUCUCGCUCUUCUUCUUCUUCUUCUUCAGCUAGAUUCUUCUCCGUGAAAGCUAUACCUCUCUACUUGAUCUUCAUCUUCGCUUUCACCAUCUGGUUCCUCGUCUUCACCUCCAGAAACAUACAAACCGAUGACCAAAGCCAAGAUCACCAGCAGCAUCAUCAACAUCGAGAUUCAAGGAAGGUUUGAUUAUAAACUUUUACUGGGUUUUUGAUUUAGAUGAAGAAAUGAAUUGUCUUUGAUUUGAUUUUUUUUUUGGAUCUUUCAGAAUUUGCAGGAAAAAACGAGUGAAGAUUUAGAUUCUCAGCUAUGGACUCCUCCUUUUAGCUAUGGUUUGCAUCCUUGUGUUAAACCUAGUUCUAGAUACAAAGGUACAGUCUUUAAAUCUCUGCUGGAUCUACGUUAGAGGUUUUGUUAUGAAAUUGAGAAUCUUUUAUUUGAUUUCAUUACAGGAUUGGUCUUAAAACACAAUCUUCUUUUGAUGUUUUUUGUAGAAUUUAUAGAAUCAGAUCGGUAUAUAACAGUGAGAAGUAAUGGUGGACUGAAUCAAAUGCGUACUGGUGUAAGCAAUCACUAAACUAUAAACCAAUGUUAUAGAGGAUUAUUGUUUAGUAUAAGCAUGUAGUUGUUCUUAUAGAUAGCGGAUAUGGUGGCUGUUGCACACAUUAUGAAUGCAACUUUAGUGAUUCCUGAGCUGGAUAAACGGUCGUUUUGGAGAGACUCAAGGUAUUGUGUUUUUGGAUCUUAGUUUACUUAGUUAUGAGGUUAUGUUCUGUUUGCUAACUUUCACUUCACUAUAUGCCUCAGUGUUUUCUCAGAUAUUUUCGACGAAGAGCAUUUCAUCGAAUCUUUGAGUAGAGAUGUGAAGGUUGUUAAGAAGCUUCCAAAGGAAGUGGAGUCUCUACCUAGGGCGAGGAAGCAUUUCACUUCAUGGGCUAGUGUUGGAUACUAUGAAGAAAUGACUCACUUGUGGAAGGAGUACAAGGUCAUCCAUGUUGCAAAAUCAGAUUCUCGCCUUGCAAACAACGACCUCCCUAUUGAUAUUCAGAGGUUGAGAUGUCGUGUGCUGUACCGUGGUCUUCGCUUCUCUCCUGCUAUUGAAAGCCUUGGACAGGUUUGUACCCUUUUACACCUCUUCUUGACUAGGUUGUAGUGAAAGAUGAUGCAUUUGCAUACACACAAGGUUUCAACCUUGUGUUCUCUUUAGCAGUACAGAUGUUGUGAUGUGUUUGGGGCCUUUUAUUAGGAGAAGAAUGAAUACAUCUAGUUUCUUAACAUACAUAAGUCUAUUAGUAGUUUUAAUGCAUUUAAGAGGUGUCCUAUGGGGGCUUCCUGUAGACUUUGGGUUCUGAGCAAUCAUGACGGUGACACCCACAGAAGCUGGUUGAACGACUCAAGUCACGUGCUGGGAGGUUCAUUGCUUUGCAUCUGAGAUAUGAGAAAGACAUGUUGGCUUUCACUGGCUGUACUUAUGGUCUUACUGAUGCUGAAUCCGAAGAGCUCAGAGUCAUGCGGUAAUUAUUUACUCUCUUGUACAUCUAUUCUUAACUCCCUUGUUUUUAAGCUCAAUAUGUUAUCGGUUUUGAUCACAGGGAGAGUACAAGCCAUUGGAAGAUCAAAAGCAUAAACUCAACAGAGCAGAGAGUGGAAGGGCUAUGUCCAUUGACUCCAAAAGAAGUGGGGAUACUUCUCAAAGGUCUUGGGUAUCCUGAGUCAACAGUCAUUUAUAUUGCAGCUGGGGAGAUCUAUGGUGGUGAUGAUAGACUCUUGGAGCUUAAAUCACGCUUCCCUAACCUAGUCUUUAAGGUUUGUGUAACCACACACCUCUCUCUCUCUUAGUCUUUCAUGUUACUGAGAAUCUGAAGAUUGAUUAUGUACUGAAUGUUUUAUAGGAAACGCUUGCUGGGGAAGAAGAGUUAGAAGGCUUCACAGGCCAUGCGACUAAAACGGCUGCUCUUGAUUAUAUAAUAUCUGUUGAGAGUGAUGUGUUUGUUCCUUCACAUUCUGGAAACAUGGCGAGAGCAGUUGAAGGUCACCGCAGGUUUCUAGGGCAUCGUAGGACAAUCACUCCAGACAGGUUUAAUCUUAACUUCAAGAAGGUUUUGUCUUUUACUCAUUUUGUUAUAGCCCAUGACUAAGUUUUGUUUUUUGUAUUGCAGGAAAGGACUAGUGAAACUAUUCGAUAAAGUGGAGAGAGGACAGAUGAAAGAGGGAGCAAAGUUUUCGAAUCUUGUAAAGGCAAUGCAUCAAGACAGGUGAUUAAAAGAAAUCAUACACAUUUGGUUCUUAGACAAGUCAAUAAACAUGCAAUAUAACGUUUUGCAGGCAAGGUGCACCGAGGAGAAGGAAGGGACCAGCACAGGGGAUCAAAGGACGUGCUAGGUUUAGAACUGAAGAAGCCUUUUAUGAGAAUCCAUAUCCAGAGUGUAUUUGCAGUUCAAAGGAGCACAAAGAACCCUAAUUGAUUUUAUUUUAUUUUUGCCUUUUUAUGUGAAAGUUUGAACCUUUUUUGGUGUCACUUCUACCUAUUAUAGUCAACUUAAUUACAAACGAUAUUUAUAAACGAAUAUUAAACCUUAUAUUUAUAAACGAAUAUUAAACCUUUUAUCCAAACUAUUGCCAACAUAAUGGAAACAAGAAUGAAACACUUAGUGGUAAAUACCAUUCAGACAAAACAUUUCUAAAGUUACAAGAUCGACUGAACAAAGUCGUGUUAAUAGUUUUACACACGAGUCUUCUAAAACGAUCUGCAAAGUCAUCUAAAAAACACCACACCAUUUGAAAUGUAAUGGCUCUUACUCGUUAGCUCUGCUCUUUGUAAGGAGUCCAUAUCAUUUUGCUAACGUCUACAUCAAGACCACCUCGGCCUGCGGCUUUCAAAUGUCGAUCAAGAACUUUAGGAUCCGCACAGAUCACAUGUUGGCCUUUCCUGUACUGUAUCAGUUCCAAGCUCUGAAGGGUGCUUAAUAUAUCUUCUGCUUUGAUAGCUGUCAUGUCGCUCAGCUCCUACAUUAGAGAAAAGAUUGGGAUAUAUGAAACAAUCUGUUGGUGGAUAGGAUGAGUAAGGGUGUAUAUCUAUAUAUACCUUGAUAGAUAUGUUUCCCUUGUGCUUUUUCAAGAUGUCUAAUAGAAUCCGAGUCCAGUAACCUCUGUAACUCACUAAGCCUAGAUCAGAGAGGGGUCUUUCUGGUGUCCCCACUUUGCCUUCUUUCUUUGAGAGUUCAUAGGCUAUAUAUAACACAACAGAAUGGAUAAUUUGUUAUCAACUUCACAAAAAAAAAAGAGAGAAGAGUAUACUUUAUAGAGAGAUGUGAGAGAGGAGAACAAGAGAUUAGAUAGAAAGAAUGCUCACAGAAGGCUAUUAAGAAUUUGCCAUAGCCUUUCCUUUGAUAUGGAGGAAGAGUAAGGAUGCAAGCCAAGUUGUACGCUUCUUCAGAAUGCUUUUCCUGUACGUCAAUAACCAAAACAUCAAUGGUUGAGUUCAUGCUUGUUUUAAUUUUCGAAACUUAUUUCUAGAUGCAUCUCAUAUCACGAGGCAAAGAGUGAUAAGAAUACAAUCAGUAAGAAGUACUCGAUAAAAAUCCUGUCAAAUUACAUGCCACUUACCAGUUGUAACAUAGAUAUUCUAGGUAACAGGACCACAAACAAAUAAAAAGGCUAUGGGUACCUUUGAGAAGUAUCCAACCAUGUGGCAACCCCGUUCAUCACAUUCGCAGAGAAUAUAGAACAGGAACAGAUCGACGUCGUAGUAAAGAGUCUUGUGGUCAAGAAAUAACUUUGCCAGAUAGCAGAGGUUCUGUGCAUAGACCUUGUUCUUUUUGCCAUCCACCUGUAACAUUAGACAAAGAAACUCCAUGAAUUUCUGAAUGUGAGAGAAAAUGAUCAUCUUCCAGACAUGAAACUUAAGUGAUAAAACUGAACCAAUUAGCAUCACUUGCAGGAAUACAAAGACCACAGCAGAUGAUAUAUAUUGAAAAUAUUCAGGAUCUUACCUCAAACAUUGACAAGGUAGAGCUUCGAUAGAUUUCAUCCCCAGGGGGAUGCUUCAGAUCACAUUUCCUCUGCACAGAAACAGAGCCAUUAAAGAAUAGAAAUGUAGAUAUGAAAGCUCAAAAUAUUCAAAAUUAACAGAAGAAUACGGCAACAGCGAAUACAAAUGAUAGAAACGUGCCAGUUGCUCACCAUAUGUCUUUGAAGCUGUUCUUUGCGCUUCAUGAAAUUCAAGCAAAACUCACAGAAAAAGAGCUUCACACAGUCGUUGUACUCAGGUGGAAACGGAGAGAAGUACCAAGUCUCAAUCUCAUACUUCCCAAGCUCAAUCGUUGCUAUGUUCUUCACCUUCGUGAACUCCUCAUGUUCACGCAAACUCGCAGCAUCCAGCUCUUCAUGACCCUAAAUAUACCAAAAGAUAUCAGAACAUAGCCUCCUCCACUAAAGUUAAGACGAUCACAGCUUUACCUCUACAUGUGUCUCAUCAAUCUUCCGUUUCUGGUGACGUGUCAUCUUCAAGCUGGUCACCUAUAACCAACCACACAGUUCUACUCAAUGCUCAAUACAUUAACCAAAGGUCAAAACUUUGACGAAUGGCUAACCUUAUCUUCAACUUUCUCAUCUAAAGCACACUCUACAGAAUCAAGAUCAAGCUGAUCAAGCCUAAUCCAUUCAUCCAGUCUUCUAUUAACUGCAACAUCAUCAACAAUCCCUAAUCAAAAAAUCAAUCCCUAAACCCUAGCUCACAAAAUUGGAAUCGAAAACGAUGAUUGACAUACACUCUGUGUAGUGAACGUAAUACUCAUACUCGUUGUUCCCGUCGCUAUGAUUCUUGCGGCGCUCGAUGACUUUCACGGGAUGGUACUUCCCGUCUCUCCAUAGACACGACACGCGAGUGCCCACCUCGAGAGGGAGCAUCCUCGUUCUUCUCUUCUUCGACGAAUCCAAUUCCGAGGGAGUGUGAGUCGGGUUCGACGCUACGACGGUGGUUGGUGGGUGAUUGUGGUUCGACGACGGAGAUGCGGUUGUGAAAUUCGUCGUCUCUGUGUUCGCAGACGAUCCCAUGUUUUCAAUCGGGUCGGAGAUUUCCCGGGUGGAUUUUUUCUCUCAGCGGGUAAUUAAGACUGUAAGCUCGAAGGAUGUUGGCCCAUUAAUAGCUUGUUAGCUAAUAUGGGUUACAUCUCUAUUAAUGGACUUUAAGAAGAUAUGUGACAGGGAAUGCCAUAUAUUUUUCAGAAUUUUAUCCUAUGAUAUAUUUUAAAUGAAUACUUUUAUCAGUGAAAAUUAUAAACGUGAGUUUACAGAGAAUAACUUCAAUAACUUAGGUUAAAAUAAAUUCUGUAAUAAUAUAUAUUAAUAAACAAGAUAUUAUAAUUAUAUAUCAAAUUCAAACGCAUCUUUAAUUUUUAAUUUUAAAUUAAGUAGUGUAACUCUAAUUGGUGACUAUGUUAAAGGAACAAAAUUAUAGUNNNNNNNNNNNNNNNNNNNNNNNNNNNNNNNNNNNNNNNNNNNNNNNNNNNNNNNNNNNNNNNNNNNNNNNNNNNNNNNNNNNNNNNNNNNNNNNNNNNNNNNNNNNNNNNNNNNNNNNNNNNNNNNNNNNNNNNNNNNNNNNNNNNNNNNNNNNNNNNNNNNNNNNNNNNNNNNNNNNNNNNNNNNNNNNNNNNNNNNNNNNNNNNNNNNNNNNNNNNNNNNNNNNNNNNNNNNNNNNNNNNNNNNNNNNNNNNNNNNNNNNNNNNNNNNNNNNNNNNNNNNNNNNNNNNNNNNNNNNNNNNNNNNNNNNNNNNNNNNNNNNNNNNNNNNNNNNNNNNNNNNNNNNNNNNNNNNNNNNNNNNNNNNNNNNNNNNNNNNNNNNNNNNNNNNNNNNNNNNNNNNNNNNNNNNNNNNNNNNNNNNNNNNNNNNNNNNNNNNNNNNNNNNNNNNNNNNNNNNNNNNNNNNNNNNNNNNNNNNNNNNNNNNNNNNNNNNNNNNNNNNNNNNNNNNNNNNNNNNNNNNNNNNNNNNNNNNNNNNNNNNNNNNNNNNNNNNNNNNNNNNNNNNNNNNNNNNNNNNNNNNNNNNNNNNNNNNNNNNNNNNNNNNNNNNNNNNNNNNNNNNNNNNNNNNNNNNNNNNNNNNNNNNNNNNNNNNNNNNNNNNNNNNNNNNNNNNNNNNNNNNNNNNNNNNNNNNNNNNNNNNNNNNNNNNNNNNNNNNNNNNNNNNNNNNNNNNNNNNNNNNNNNNNNNNNNNNNNNNNNNNNNNNNNNNNNNNNNNNNNNNNNNNNNNNNNNNNNNNNNNNNNNNNNNNNNNNNNNNNNNNNNNNNNNNNNNNNNNNNNNNNNNNNNNNNNNNNNNNNNNNNNNNNNNNNNNNNNNNNNNNNNNNNNNNNNNNNNNNNNNNNNNNNNNNNNNNNNNNNNNNNNNNNNNNNNNNNNNNNNNNNNNNNNNNNNNNNNNNNNNNNNNNNNNNNNNNNNNNNNNNNNNNNNNNNNNNNNNNNNNNNNNNNNNNNNNNNNNNNNNNNNNNNNNNNNNNNNNNNNNNNNNNNNNNNNNNNNNNNNNNNNNNNNNNNNNNNNNNNNNNNNNNNNNNNNNNNNNNNNNNNNNNNNNNNNNNNNNNNNNNNNNNNNNNNNNNNNNNNNNNNNNNNNNNNNNNNNNNNNNNNNNNNNNNNNNNNNNNNNNNNNNNNNNNNNNNNNNNNNNNNNNNNNNNNNNNNNNNNNNNNNNNNNNNNNNNNNNNNNNNNNNNNNNNNNNNNNNNNNNNNNNNNNNNNNNNNNNNNNNNNNNNNNNNNNNNNNNNNNNNNNNNNNNNNNNNNNNNNNNNNNNNNNNNNNNNNNNNNNNNNNNNNNNNNNNNNNNNNNNNNNNNNNNNNNNNNNNNNNNNNNNNNNNNNNNNNNNNNNNNNNNNNNNNNNNNNNNNNNNNNNNNNNNNNNNNNNNNNNNNNNNNNNNNNNNNNNNNNNNNNNNNNNNNNNNNNNNNNNNNNNNNNNNNNNNNNNNNNNNNNNNNNNNNNNNNNNNNNNNNNNNNNNNNNNNNNNNNNNNNNNNNNNNNNNNNNNNNNNNNNNNNNNNNNNNNNNNNNNNNNNNNNNNNNNNNNNNNNNNNNNNNNNNNNNNNNNNNNNNNNNNNNNNNNNNNNNNNNNNNNNNNNNNNNNNNNNNNNNNNNNNNNNNNNNNNNNNNNNNNNNNNNNNNNNNNNNNNNNNNNNNNNNNNNNNNNNNNNNNNNNNNNNNNNNNNNNNNNNNNNNNNNNNNNNNNNNNNNNNNNNNNNNNNNNNNNNNNNNNNNNNNNNNNNNNNNNNNNNNNNNNNNNNNNNNNNNNNNNNNNNNNNNNNNNNNNNNNNNNNNNNNNNNNNNNNNNNNNNNNNNNNNNNNNNNNNNNNNNNNNNNNNNNNNNNNNNNNNNNNNNNNNNNNNNNNNNNNNNNNNNNNNNNNNNNNNNNNNNNNNNNNNNNNNNNNNNNNNNNNNNNNNNNNNNNNNNNNNNNNNNNNNNNNNNNNNNNNNNNNNNNNNNNNNNNNNNNNNNNNNNNNNNNNNNNNNNNNNNNNNNNNNNNNNNNNNNNNNNNNNNNNNNNNNNNNNNNNNNNNNNNNNNNNNNNNNNNNNNNNNNNNNNNNNNNNNNNNNNNNNNNNNNNNNNNNNNNNNNNNNNNNNNNNNNNNNNNNNNNNNNNNNNNNNNNNNNNNNNNNNNNNNNNNNNNNNNNNNNNNNNNNNNNNNNNNNNNNNNNNNNNNNNNNNNNNNNNNNNNNNNNNNNNNNNNNNNNNNNNNNNNNNNNNNNNNNNNNNNNNNNNNNNNNNNNNNNNNNNNNNNNNNNNNNNNNNNNNNNNNNNNNNNNNNNNNNNNNNNNNNNNNNNNNNNNNNNNNNNNNNNNNNNNNNNNNNNNNNNNNNNNNNNNNNNNNNNNNNNNNNNNNNNNNNNNNNNNNNNNNNNNNNNNNNNNNNNNNNNNNNNNNNNNNNNNNNNNNNNNNNNNNNNNNNNNNNNNNNNNNNNNNNNNNNNNNNNNNNNNNNNNNNNNNNNNNNNNNNNNNNNNNNNNNNNNNNNNNNNNNNNNNNNNNNNNNNNNNNNNNNNNNNNNNNNNNNNNNNNNNNNNNNNNNNNNNNNNNNNNNNNNNNNNNNNNNNNNNNNNNNNNNNNNNNNNNNNNNNNNNNNNNNNNNNNNNNNNNNNNNNNNNNNNNNNNNNNNNNNNNNNNNNNNNNNNNNNNNNNNNNNNNNNNNNNNNNNNNNNNNNNNNNNNNNNNNNNNNNNNNNNNNNNNNNNNNNNNNNNNNNNNNNNNNNNNNNNNNNNNNNNNNNNNNNNNNNNNNNNNNNNNNNNNNNNNNNNNNNNNNNNNNNNNNNNNNNNNNNNNNNNNNNNNNNNNNNNNNNNNNNNNNNNNNNNNNNNNNNNNNNNNNNNNNNNNNNNNNNNNNNNNNNNNNNNNNNNNNNNNNNNNNNNNNNNNNNNNNNNNNNNNNNNNNNNNNNNNNNNNNNNNNNNNNNNNNNNNNNNNNNNNNNNNNNNNNNNNNNNNNNNNNNNNNNNNNNNNNNNNNNNNNNNNNNNNNNNNNNNNNNNNNNNNNNNNNNNNNNNNNNNNNNNNNNNNNNNNNNNNNNNNNNNNNNNNNNNNNNNNNNNNNNNNNNNNNNNNNNNNNNNNNNNNNNNNNNNNNNNNNNNNNNNNNNNNNNNNNNNNNNNNNNNNNNNNNNNNNNNNNNNNNNNNNNNNNNNNNNNNNNNNNNNNNNNNNNNNNNNNNNNNNNNNNNNNNNNNNNNNNNNNNNNNNNNNNNNNNNNNNNNNNNNNNNNNNNNNNNNNNNNNNNNNNNNNNNNNNNNNNNNNNNNNNNNNNNNNNNNNNNNNNNNNNNNNNNNNNNNNNNNNNNNNNNNNNNNNNNNNNNNNNNNNNNNNNNNNNNNNNNNNNNNNNNNNNNNNNNNNNNNNNNNNNNNNNNNNNNNNNNNNNNNNNNNNNNNNNNNNNNNNNNNNNNNNNNNNNNNNNNNNNNNNNNNNNNNNNNNNNNNNNNNNNNNNNNNNNNNNNNNNNNNNNNNNNNNNNNNNNNNNNNNNNNNNNNNNNNNNNNNNNNNNNNNNNNNNNNNNNNNNNNNNNNNNNNNNNNNGGUUGGAACAUCCAUCACCUAGAUUCGAUUUGUCUUACCAAACCGCAGUUUUUUUGGAUUUUCAGGGUUAUUAAAAUAACUUUUUUUUCUAUUUUUACUGUUUAAGAAAAACAAAUUAUAGUAAAUUUUGUUUUUAUUCUAAAAUUUCAUUAUUUAGAGGAAAAUUGAAUAAAUCAACUAUGUUUAUUAUCAUGCUUUUUUCAUAAAUAAGCUUCUUUUACGUCCAUACCAAAAUUACAGAGAAUUAUAAUUUCAAUUCAGAGAAUAAAAAACGAGAAAAAAUAACAGCCAAAAAGAGACAUAUCAUCUUAUUUUCUAUUAUCCAGAUAGUACUUUCUUAUAUAUUGAGAUUUUUUGUUUUAACUUGUGGAUAUCUCCAAUUUAUGGAAGAGUAUAUACACUAUGUCUUUGGCUUUUGAGCAAAAUAAAAAGUUCAAUGCUUAACUUUCCCUAUAGUAAUAUUUUUUCUUAAAUUCUGCUGGAUUAUACUGUAACACCCCAAAACCAGCCCAUUAAAAAUUUUUUUAAUGCUAUUGAGUCCUCUGCAGCCCAAUUGGAAAACCCUAGGGUUUUCCCUAUCUCUUCCCCUAUAAAAGCAAGCCUCCACUUCUUCUUUUCUCUCAUCAGAAAUCUAGAAGCGAAGCCCUGCGGAGAAUUCCCGGAGACUGGAAGCCCUAGCCGUCGACUCUCUCUCUCUCCUCGCGCCGCCUCUCUCCUCCUUCUCUCUCUUCGCCGCGUCUCUUCUCUCUCUCUCUCCUCUCCGCGUUCCCUUCUCUCUCUCUCGGCCGCGUCUCUCUCUCCUCGCCGUGAGCAGCCGCGAGUGGUGGUGGUGGCCGCGUGGUGUCAUAGAUCGCAGAUCCCGUUUUCUCUUACCUCCUAUUCUCAGAUCCAGAUCCAGAUCUAGGCUAAGGUGAGGUGUUCUACCCAGAUCUGUUCUAUGAUCUUUUAUAUUGUUGAAUGAGUUACUAGGAUUGAUUAGAUCAUGUAUGUUGUUAGGAUGAUAGAUCAUAUUGCAUUAGAACUCUCGUACUGAUUUAAGAUUCUAAAUAGACUGGUGUGUUGGUGAUUGAUUGAUUGUCUGAUUGGUUGAAGAUCUGUGGUUGUGAUUGAGAGCUAGGCUGGUUAGAAAGAAAUGAACGUAGGAUAAUAAGUGAACUGUUAACCGGUCUGGUUAGAUGAAUGAUAGGAUAUCUAUGAAUGAUUGUUAGCUGGAUUGAGUGUGACACCGAGAACGGGUGGCGUCUAAAAAGGAAAGUAAUAAAGAGUCUAAGGGUUUAAGGAAAAGGAAAUGAUAAGGAAAAAGGAAAGGUUAAAUGAUUGAAAUACGAACCACCGAGGAACUGGUGGGGAGUAUGGGAAAUGAAUAUAAAUGGAAUACGAACCACCGAGGGACUGGUGGGGAGUAUGGGAAAACGCGGCGGCCGUAGCGUUCAAAAACGGCAAGUAAGAAUAGAGGCGCCGGUAAGAUUGAGUCACGCCGAGUCUUGGCGGGAAGGGGUCGUAAGACACUGCAAGGGGUAUGGACUAUAUCCAAGGGAACCGGAUGCCGGGUGUACCAGAGCAGGCGACCUCAUAGGGAUGCAGCAAGAAAAGGGGAGGGUUGGUCCGCUUGAGCUGUGUAGGUCCUAGAGUUAUAGGAUGAAUGGAGUCUUAAAUAAUAAACCGAAAUGUGUGAGUUGAGCGAUGACUGAGUUCAUUGCACUGUUUGUUUUGUGAAAUGAAUCCUUAAUACUUAGUUAGGAAAUGGGUGUAGUGACUAGUCGGUUCUCGUAACGCAUUGAGCGGUAUAAAAGCUCAUGGGGGAGACUGGUCUAGAAUCGCUUCACUGAGUAUUAAUACUCACCCCUCUUUUCCUUCUCUCAUUUUUUUGCAGAACUAUAAGUGGAAAUGUCGACGGUAAUGAAGGAAAUGCACCUGAAACUCAUGGAACCAAAAACGGGACACACGGAAAUGUCGGAAAAGUAGACAUGUGUGUCCUAAACCCUGCACCCUGGAACCCCGGUUGGAAAUGGGGAGGGACGGGUGUUUCAUAUACAAACUUGUAGUCAUCAUUAAUUAAACAUCUUACGAAAGUAAAAUUAAUAUUUUGACUCUAUAUUCCAACUUCCAAAGUAUUAAAAGAACUGUUAUGAAAUAUGAAGUCAAGAUUCUUCCCGCAAAAUCUACUUUUAUGACAAUAAAUUCGGAAAUAAUAUUUCAGUCAAAAAUUUAAAUACCAUUAUCUUUUUCUUCGGUUUUUAUGGACAGUUUUUUUAAAAAAUUUUAUCUCGAAAACGUUGAAUAGUGAUGAAAAUAAAUAGAAUUAAAAAACACCCAGCUUUCUCAGCACCACCUUGUGAAGGUUGGUGUAGUGGCAAAGAACUCUUUUCGAAUCGAAGCUCGAAAAGGACCAGCAUUUCCCAGAAAAUUCUUGUUACCAAGAAACGAAAAGAGACUGAAUUUUUCGAAAGGUUCUAUCUUUACGCAUGCCCAUGAAUCGAUCUUAAUUCAAGAUUUGACGGAGGUUUGCUCACUCCGAAACCCUAUAGAUUUAGCCAAGUUUGUUGAUUUAGACACAUGCUUGAUUUUUCAUUUUGCAGAUCGUGAACUUUUUUUUUUUGUCUAGAGAGCUUGAAAGUUGAAUUAAUGACUGCUUAAUCUGCUUCUGUUAAUAAAGAAUAAUGUAAUGGCUACUUUAUGUUAAUUUGCUUGAGUUAAAAAAAUAUUGUAAUGGCUGCUUCAUGUUGCUUCAGUUAACCAAUUGUAGUAAUGGCUGCUUAAUCUGACUAAUGGCUGCUUUCAUCUGCUUCUGUAUAUAUAUAUAUUUUAUAUACUUACUAUUAAUGGUUUCUUUCGUUUGGAUUUCAUGCAAUUGCUCAUGCUCAGGUACAACCUGCUGAAUAAACUUAUUUAGUUUCAGACAUCAUUUUGUCAUGUCUUUUGGUAUCUUUCUUUUUGUUUUUGUUUUUGAGUUGAUCUCAGCAUGUUUUUGGCUCUUCUAAUAUCUGAAAGGCUGGGAUGAUAUGUGAUCAAACUGAUUAUAAAUUAUACAUUCUCCUCACUCAUGUAUCACAUUCUCACUUUAAGCCUAAUACCUUAAUUUAGCUGCAUCAUCAUCAUCAUUAGUUUAUGCAUUUUUUCCUUCUUGAAUGUAAGCUUGGAUCAUAAUGAUUUUUUUUUUUACAUUAUUGAAUUCACCUUCUACCUUUGUUAAAGUGUUGUGUUACCAUAAGCUUGUUCCACUUAAUGUUUGUGACUGACAUCUUAUUACUGUUUUCACUGCAGGAGCUCAUCUGUUUUCUCUGUUAAGAGUAUAGUACUUGAUACAGUGUGGUCCAUUUGCCUUAUUGGAUCUUUGAGUUGUCUUGUCUAAAUGAAGGCCUCUUUAAACGGCUACAUCAUCUAAGUGAACUUUUAGUGUGGUCUUGUGAAGAAACAGAACUUUUAUUUCGGGUGGGCUUGAUGGGUAAAGAGAAUCAGUUGGAGACAGCAAACUGUGGAGUCAAUGAUCACGGUUCUCCACCCGUCAAGAACAACGAGGAACUAGCAGCAGUUGAGGCGCGUUACAGUACAGACAGUGGUGACUCUGGUUUGCCAACUUGUCGUGUAUGCCAUUCUACAGAAUCCGACAAACGAGGAGAUGCUGCCUUAGGACUUUUGGAGAUCACUCCUCCUGUUCCAGAAGCUCGUAAAAGCAAUGCAGACGAAGCUGGUGAUGCUAAGGCUGAGGCUGAGCAGAAGAGUUCCAUCGUCAAGAGCAACAUUGAUAUCGAAAUGGGAAUCCAGCAGCAUCAUCAAGAUGCAUUGAUUGAGCUUGGAUGUUCUUGCAAAAACGAGCUUGCGUUGGUACACUACGCUUGUGCGCUCAAAUGGUUCCUCAACCACGGUUCUACAGUCUGUGAGAUCUGCGGGAAUGCGGCGGAAAAUAUAAAAACUGGUGAUUUCAACAAAGUGGUCAGUGCCUUGAGAGACUACACGGCGAUAAGAGAAAGAACAGAUCCAAACUCUGUAUUACCGUUGAGUACAGAUGAAGUUGCUGUCAUUAGAAGGCAACGACUUAGUGAGAUAUCUUCAUGGUUUAGUCCUCAUUCCCUGAACAACAGCAACAGCUCUGUUGUGGCUUCUCAGGAACAACCUUUAGGUGUUGUGAGCUUUGACAUGUUGCCUAUGGAAAACCAUGCAACUAAAUGGGCUGUGGAAGGUACAGGGAUUCUACUUGCUACCGGUUUGCUCACUGUUACUUUGGUCUGGCUCAUUGCUCCUCGUGUUGAUAAGGUAAUGCCAUGGACUAAACUGUGUGUCUAAGCCUCUCUAAUGGGUAUUAUUGGUUAACGUUUCUUUUUUAAUUCACGCAGAAAACUGCUAGGAGUGGAAUUCAUAUUCUUCUUGGUGGUCUAUGUGCUUUAAUAGUAGUCAUCUUCUUCAGAUUUGUAAGUAAAUAAUCUCAUUUUUACAAAUUUUCUAGACUUUUGUUUUUACUAAUCCACAAAAAACUUGGAAAACAGGUUGUGCUCACUAGAAUUAGGUAUGGUCCUGCACGCUACUGGGUAAUCUUGUUCAUCUUCUGGUUUCUUGUGUUUGGUAUUUGGGCUUCUCGUUCAAAUGCUCACAAUGACACUUGAAUCCAUCUCUCUCUUCUUUGUAAUCUAUUGUUAAGAGAAAAAUGUACAUUGCUUCAUCUUAGAAAAAUAAGUUCAUACUCAUUGAUUAUGAUGAAUGUAUAUGGUUUACAAUCGUCAAUGUUGCUUUUUACAUUUCCUCUGUUUUUACUUCAUGUCAACGCACUUGACACCUAAAGCAUGAAACUCACUCAGUACAUAAACCUCAUUCUAUCUCCUCAAUCACCACCCAACCUUUUCUGAUAUGACCUUUUCUCCUUCACGUCUCCAAAACACUUUGUAAUCAUUGAGCUCAACCACCAAGUUCUUCUCUGUCCUUACGGAUGAUUCCAAAACUUGCCCACACUUCCGGAGUCUGCUCAUCAACCCAACACAUCAUGAAGAACAGUUUCCUAUCUGCAAGCUUUAGCUUUUUUCAGAUCACGCCCUGUUGAUUUCACUUGGCUCAUAGUCUGGUCCUUAUGGGCCUUCAUUCAAAUAAGCGUGUACUAUGUAGGCCUGGCAACAUAUCCCUGGAACCGAAAAACGAAUCAAACUGUACUGAACCGAGAACCGAGAUAGACGAAACUGAGACCUAAUCAAAUUUCAUAAAUAUUCAGAUAGAUUCUAUAUCUCUUAAACGGAGAAACCGGAACUGAAAACCAAAUGGAUAUCAAAAUUUUUAAAUACAUAUUAUAUAUGGUAAUUUUCUCAAAUAACAAUUUUUAAGUUUUUAUCACAAAAUAGUUUUCAAUAAAGAAAAUGAUUAAAAUAGCCUCUUUUUUAUUUUGAAAACUUUAAUUUUUAUUUUUUAUUUUUUAAAAUUUGAAACUCUAUCCUCAAAACCCCACCGCUUAACUACUCUAACUCUAAAUUAGUUAACCAUAUGGUAUAAAUGUAUUUUUACUCUUUAAUAAAACGUUUUUGGUCAUUUUUUUUAUUGUGAGCUAUUUUGUGACAAACAUUUAAAAGAAAUUUUUGUAUUAUAUAUCUAAACUGUCAAUUAUAUUUAGUUGCUAAAUAACAAAAUACUAUUUUUAAACCAAAUUUCCCGAAAAUUCAAAUUACAUGAAUAGUUUUUUUUAUUCGAAAUAGUUAAAAUUAUCUGAAUAACCCAGGUUUUAUCCGAACAAUCCGAUAUUUAAAGACUUUUUAUCUUAUCCAAAAUUACUUAUAUUCGUUUUUUAUUCCUUUUUUUCAUAUGAUCCAAUCCUCAAUUUUGUUAUCAGAAUAACUGAGAACUCCAAUCGAGUAAAAAAGUUGUAAAUAACCGAAUGUUUCAUAAAAUAUCUAGAACCGAAACCGAACCAAAUAUGUACCGAUAUCAGCAUCUGGGCCUUAGUGGGUUUGAAGAUAAAAUAUAUAGAAGAUGGGGAUACAAUAAGAUUUGGACUGUACUGUGGAUUAGCUUUUGGGCCUUAUGGACCUUAAUUAUAAUAAGCGGGUCGAAUACUCAGGUGAAUAUAUCCGACCCAGAAAGCUCGCCUCGAGUGUUAUAUGAAUCUUCACUUUCCGCAUUCUUCCACGAACAGAGGAACCAAAAAAAAAUGAGAUCCCUUCUCUUCACACUAUCACUCCUCUGCUUCGCCUCGCAAACAUCUCUCUCAUGGAAGAAGGAAGAGUUCCGCAGCUGCGACCAAACUCCCUUCUGCAAACGCGCUCGCUCCCGCGCCCCCGGAACCUGCUCCCUAAUCGCAACCGACGUCACCAUCUCCGACGGAGAUCUCGUCGCGAAGCUAACACCCAAAGAUAACGACGAUCACAUCAAUCCGUUGAUUCUCUCUCUAUCGGUUUACCGAAACGGGAUCGUGCGCCUGAGAAUCGACGAGGAUCACUCGCUAAACCCGCCGAAGAAGAGAUUCAGAGUUCCCGACGUGCUGGUCUCCGAGCUCGAGGCGAAGAAGAUCCGCCUCGAGAAAUUCGCCACGGAGAACGAUCCUCCCUCUUCGGUCGUUCACGUCGGAGACGGCUACGAGGCGGUGGUGCGGCACGAGCCGUUCGAGGUGUACGUGCGCGAGAGAUCAGGCCGUCGAGUAUUGUCAUUGAACUCUCACGGAUUGUUUGAUUUUGAGCAGAUGAGGAAGAAAGGGGAAGGAGAUAACUGGGAAGAGAAGUUUAGAACUCACACUGACUCGAGACCGUUCGGUUCUCAAUCGAUUAGCUUCGAUGUAUCGUUUUACGAAUCUAGUUUCGUCUACGGGAUACCUGAACACGCUACUAGCUUCGCGUUGAAGCCCACUAAGGGCCCAGGAGUUGAGGAGUCUGCUGAACCGUAUAGGUUGUUUAAUCUCGACGUGUUUGAGUACGAUCACGAGUCUCCCUUCGGGCUCUACGGUUCGAUCCCCUUCAUGGUUUCACAUGGGGGAACUGGUAAAAGUUCUGGUUUUUUCUGGUUGAAUGCUGCUGAGAUGCAGAUCGAUGUUUUAGCUAAGGGAUGGGAUGCAGAGAGUGGUGGUGGAGAUAGUAGAAUUGAUACAUUGUGGAUGAGUGAGGCAGGGAUUGUGGAUACCUUCUUUUUCGUCGGCCCUGAGCCUAAGGAUGUUGUGAGGCAGUAUGCUAGUGUGACUGGUACUUCAGCUAUGCCUCAGUUGUUUGCUACUGGUUAUCAUCAGUGUAGGUGGAACUAUAAAGAUGAGGAGGAUGUGGCGCAGGUGGACUCGAAGUUUGACGAGUAUGAUAUUCCUUAUGAUGUUCUGUGGCUUGAUAUUGAGCAUACGGAUGGGAAGAGGUACUUUACGUGGGACAGUGCGUUGUUUCCGAACCCUGAGGAGAUGCAGAAGAAGUUGGAUGUGAAGGGGAGGCGGAUGGUGACGAUUGUGGAUCCUCAUAUCAAGAGGGAUGACUCUUACUUUUUGCAUAAGGAGGCUACAGAGAUGGGGUAUUAUGUUAAGGACUCGUCUGGGAAAGACUUUGAUGGUUGGUGCUGGCCUGGUUCGUCGUCUUAUAUUGAUAUGUUGAGUCCGGAGAUUAGGGAGUGGUGGGGUGGGAGAUUCUCGUAUAAGAACUACGUUGGUUCAACUCCCUCGUUGUAUAUUUGGAAUGAUAUGAAUGAGCCUUCCGUGUUCAAUGGUCCAGAGGUUACUAUGCCGAGGGAUGCGUUGCAUGUGGGUGGCGUUGAACACAGGGAAGUUCAUAACGCUUAUGGGUAUUACUUUCACAUGGCGACUUCAGAUGGACUUGUGAUGCGUGGAGAAGGGAAGGAUAGGCCUUUUGUAUUGUCGAGAGCGAUCUUUCCUGGUACUCAAAGAUACGGAGCGAUUUGGACUGGAGAUAAUACAGCGGAAUGGGAACACCUUAGAGUUUCUAUUCCAAUGUUGUUGACACUUGGUCUUACUGGAAUCACCUUCUCAGGUACAGUAACAUUAACUGUAGGAUUGUUUUUUUUUUGCCUGGACUGUAAUGGAAGCUUUCUUUUUUCUUUUGCAGGAGCUGAUAUUGGUGGCUUCUUUGGGAAUCCUGAACCAGAACUACUAGUUAGAUGGUACCAAGUCGGUGCCUACUAUCCAUUUUUCAGAGGUCAUGCUCAUCAUGACACCAAAAGACGAGAGCCUUGGUUGUUUGGGUAAAGAUGUUAUUUAAGUACUUGUUUUUUUUGUUCUUGUCAAGCCUUAUUAUUCGAAUAUAAACGCUCCAGGGUAUUUCAUUUUGCUUCAGUGAAAGGAAUACAGAGCUCAUGAGAGAUGCUAUACACACACGUUACACGCUGCUCCCAUACUUCUACACGUUAUUUAGAGAAGCAAAUGUUACGGGUGUGCCUGUUCUACGUCCGUUAUGGAUGGAAUUUCCACAAGAUGAAGCUACUUUUAGCAACGAUGAAGCUUUCAUGGUUGGUAAUGGUCUGUUGGUUCAAGGUGUUUACACUAAGGUACUUAAUUUCUACUUUCGCUAUCUUGUCUCGUUAACACAAUCAAAUCAUCUACGGAGAAAUGAUUAACCGGUCAUAUAACUUCUUAUGGUCUGUAUGCAAAAAUUAGGGAACAACGCAUGCUUCUGUUUAUUUGCCUGGCAAAGAAUCAUGGUAUGACCUGAGAAAUGGAAAGACAUACGUUGGAGGCAAGACUCACAAGAUGGAUGCUCCGGAAGAAAGCAUUCCUGAAUUUCAGAGGGCAAAGAAAGCAUUCCUGCAUUUCAGAGGGCGGGUACUAUUAUCCCGAGGAAAGACAGGUUCCGGCGAAGUUCAUUUCAAAUGGACAAUGAUCCUUAUACUUUGGUACGUACAACUAGUCCAUUGUCAUCUGCUAUAAGUUCAAUGGACAUCUCAGGAACUGAACUCUAUUGAUGAACUAUGUGAUCUAACAUAUAAUCUGUAGACAGUGAAGCCUGUGAUUAGUUAGUAACGGUCUGUAAUCUUUGCGUUCUUUUUAUAUUAGGUGGUAGCGUUGAACAGUUCUCAAGAAGCAGAUGGUGAACUCUACAUAGACGAUGGCAAAAGCUUUGAAUUCAAACGAGGCGCGUACAUACACCGCCGCUUCGUCUUCUCAAAUGGUGUACUUACAUCAACGAACAUAGCUCCUCCAGAAGCUAGUCUCUCUUCCCAAUGCUUGAUCGACAGAAUCAUCCUCUUGGGACACUCCUCGGGUCCAAAUUCUGCACUGGUUGAACCUUUGAAUCAAAAGGCAGAGAUUGAGAUGGGACCACUGAGAAUGGGUGGGCUUGUAGCUUCCUCAGGUACAAAGGUCUUGACUAUCCGCAAACCAGGUGUUCGAGUGGACCAAGACUGGACCAUAAAGAUUCUCUGAUUGAACCAUCUCUCGUGGCCAUAUCUUCUCUCACUUUUUUUUAAAUAUUUUUGGAAUUUUAGACUUGAGUAGUUGUAAGAGCAACCAGUUGCAUUGUUGUUCAUCUUUGAUAGAAAAAAGUUAAAAUUUUUGAUAGUUUUAUAACGCAUGGUUUCAUAGUUAAUAAAAUUUGCAUGCGUAUUUUAGUCUUAUAAUUACAUAAUGCAUGCUUUGUUCUUUAUUUCUUCUUUGAUUACUUGGCGAAAUAAAACACUCUAGAGUGGAAAGUUACAAAAUACAAAAAGCAAAAAGCAAAUCCCAAACUUGACAGACGUACUAGUACAACCAAACCUUAAACCCCAUAAGAGAUGAUUGAUAAACGUUCCGAGACCAAACCAAACACAAAAAGACAAUAAAUUGUCCCAACUCAGAUUCGUACACGCUUAGCAUCAGUUUGUGGUACACUGAUAUCACCACCAUUGCCUUCCUUUGAACCAUUUACAGUUUCAUCAGGAACAACCGCAUAUCUCUCUGAUGGUGACACCCAGCUUUUCCCUAUAGCAAGGCAAUGGAGAAACUGAGUUAUUAGCUCACUUGUGCUAUUAAAGAAUAGAUUUCCUUUUUACCUGAAGAUGGAUCGAAAUUAGAAGAUUCUAUCUGUUGUCCACUUGCUCCAUCCACGCUAAGUGCUUCUAUAAUCUUGGGGGAAUUCCUAUAAAGCCAGAAAGCCAAAACAUCCAUUUCACAUUAUCAACGAUGGGUACUGAAUCGGAUUGUGAAGCAGUGGGAUUAGUGGAAGCAGCGAUAUCAAUGGCCAACCUUCAAUCAUAUCUCUGUUCAUAAAACCAAAAUGUAUGCAAUCUAUGAGCGUCUAGAUGAUCACAACUUUUACCUGUCAAGCGCUUCUCCAAUGCCGAGCUGUCCAUUUGUACCUCUACCCCAAGCAAACACAUUGUUUCGUUCAGUCACAGCCAAGGUAUGUCUCCAUCCACAUGAGACUUGUACUACUUUCUAUGAAAUUCCAACAAAGAUUUGUGUGCGUUAGAAAAGAAAACAGUAAACUGAGAGACGUGAGCUGAUUAAUAUAGCUGGCGAACAGUGUGACAAGCUGUCUGGUUAAAUUUUCGUAGGGAUCAUUAUAAGAUAAGCAACAUGCCUGGUCAUCAGGAAACCGCACUUGCACAGGAGAACACUGGUCUAUAUUAUCUCCCACUCCUACUUGCCCAAACUGCAUGCUAAAAAGACUGAAAAUUAGAAGCUUGUCCUAUUGGAGGUAAGUUACUAAAGUAACCCAAUAUAUGGAUUGCACGAUUUUUCCUUAAAAUACUACCCAAGUGGAUGCAUAAAGCAAUGUGUAGAUGAUAGAUUGUGUUCUAUACAUUCCUGCGAAAUAAUGUCCAGAUAAAAACAAAAAGUAAGACAUUCUUGACCUUAUUCCAACCCCAUCCAUAGAGUUUUCCAUCUGAAGUCAACGCCAUUGUAUGUCUCCAACCUCCGGAAAUCUGGAAAAAAAUAACCAAGAAAAUCAAAAAGAUGCUGAGCCAGAAGAACACAAUCAGCAGAUACAUAUACAAUGAGAAAAGCCUUCUUCAACAGGCAAUAACUGUCAGAAACUUUUACUACUUUAACCCCAUCUGAUGGAUAUUUCAAAUGUCACCUGGGAUAUAACACUGCUGCCCAGCGCUUCCAGUUUGUGAGGAAUAAGGUGAUCCUCCAAGUCACCAUGUCCUAGCUGUCCAUAUUUGCUCCAUCCAUAAGUAUAUAAUGCUCCAGAGUAAGAAACUGAUAUCGUGUGCCGCCAUCCACAAGCAACCAUCGACAUCUUCUCAGCCUACAAGUGUAGUUCCCGCAACCAGAAAAAUGUGAAUCAUUAGAGCCGAAAUAAAUAAAAGAAGUGUCAAGCUAAAAGGAGCAUACAUGACAUCAAUGAUCCAUGUAGGAUACCCCAAGGGCUGGUAAUACACAAAAUAAUUUGUCUUCGAUUAUAGAAUUCUAUAAAGAUUUAUGGUCCCUUCCCUGACACCGAUCAAGUGAAACUAGCUAGCAUAUAUUUGUGACUCCAUCAAUCUUUACAGCUAAACGGGCAUAGUGCAGCGCACAUAAUCAAGGGCAAGGCUCACUGAACUAUCUUCGGUUAAUUUCAUGAAUACUGAAUUUCAAAGGCAAGUUUGAACAAGUAGCAGGUGUUUAUAAUAGUUCUAGAACAAGAGUCUGAUAGCUUACACCAGCAGAAGUAACCCUUUCAGGAACCAAGCGGUCAUUCCGGUCACCUAAUCCCAAAUUUCCAUAUCUUCCCCAUCCCCAUCCAUAAAGAUCACCAUCUUCUGUAACCGCAGCAGUGUGUUCUGCACCAGCAGCAACCAUUUUGAUUCGUAUUCCCUGCACCCAUUAAAAUUUGAAAGUGCUGAUAUAACACUGGGCAUUAAGCUACCUAAUUACAUAAACUUACAGUCUCCACAGAUUUUUAGCUAUUUUUAGAUAUUAUUACCCACAGUUGUAGCUAUUUUUAGAUCCCCCCCCCCCAAAAAAAAAACAAAAAACAAAUAACUAGUUACCAAUCCUACAUACGUUUAACUUUUAUGUUGAAAAUUUCUCCACCAGAUGUGGACCCUUAACUAAUACUCGUCUCUUUAAGAAGAGCAAGUUUUGUAAUUGGACCCAAGAUUGACCAAUUCUUAAGCAGAUUGUCUUUGGUGAGUUCAGGAAGCUACAAUGACAAAAAAAAAUGUUUUCAUUAUGCUACUAGAAGAAUAUAUAGGGACACAAACCUCAAAGGCUUGAAUCUUCCGAGGAACUAGAGAAUCUUCAGUGUCCCCCAGACCAAGUUGACCAUUCUGGUUGCGCCCCCAGCUUUAUACACAGAAGAUACGUUGGAAAACAAAACAAAAAUGUACACGAUAACCAACAAAACUACACUUGAGUGAAAUACCUCUGCACCUCUCCUUCCAUAGUCACAGCCAAACAAUGACUAUCCCCACAAGCAAUCUGCUUUAUCCGAACACCGUGCAAUGCUUUGAUUGGCAACGGAGUAAACAAGUCGCUCGAGUUCCCAUGGCCUAAUCUCCCAAAAUCACCCCUGCAAAAAACACAUGGAGGGAGAGAGAUCAGAUCCAGGCUUAACGUCUGUGCCAAUGAGUGUUCUCAAAUACAAAAUCCAGAAGCAUACCAUCCCCAACUGUAGACCUCCAUGCGUGAUUGUGAAUAAGCAACCGUGUGGUCAGCACCACAGGUAACCGAAACGAUUUGGUGGUCAUCCAAGGCGCUUAGCUGCGUAGGAGAAGGCCGAUCCUCUGCAUCUCCAUGACCUAAUUGUCCAUCCUCUCCUCUACCCCAUGAGCAAACAACAUCCCCAGCUACCAAAUAUUCAAAAUCAAAAUCAAAAUCAAACAUCGAAUCAUUGCUUCCUCGCAAGCCGCCAUUAAACGGAGACGAAAUAAACUACAGAGACGGUAAACUAACGCCGGCGAUUCUACAGUUCCGGUGAUCAUCUAUCUCCGUAACCGAUAACAAAGAGUGAGAGACGUACUGAGUAGAGCGACGGAGUGACUAGCACCGGCUGAAAUGAGGAGAACCUUACGAGGCGGAGCUGUAACUGCUUCAUCGGCCACCAUCUCCUCCUCAGCCAUCGAUCACAGUCUCUCUCUUCUGAACAGAAGAUAUUUAUUUAGGUCUAGAAAAAUCUAAUUUCAAAUUUUGCUUUAUUAAAAAAAAAAAAAAGUAUAUGAAACUUCUAUUUUUGUGAUAUAUUAGGAAAAUUUGGAGCUUCUCUUCCACUAUCCGUAAGAGAGAGGGGUAAUAAAGGCGCGAUGGAGAUUGCUUUACUGAUCGUAUUUUUUACAGUGAGGUCAGAGGUGGUUAAAAACUUAUAUUUAAUGAUACUGAGAAGGCCCAGGCCCCAGCUUUUUGUAAACCGCGCGGUAAAUAAUAAAAUGUCGUGUUGCACGGAAGAGAAAGAGUGAAAAAAAGUACAGAGGCUUUAAUUGCAGAGGGGGUCCCUCCUCACAUAGUAUUCCAAAUACGGACCUCACCGGUAAGUUUAUUACUUGAAUUGACCCGUUCAUUUACCUCUUUGCAUUAAAUAUCUUUCUUCCCCAUUUAUGUUUUUCUUUUAUUAAACAGAAAAUACAUUGUAUCCCUCUACUACUCCGUCUAUUCCUAUAUCUUAGAAACAUAUAUAUUAAGAAAACUAAUUUUUAUCUAGAAAGUAUCAUUAAAACUAUAAAUUAAUGGUAUUCAACCAAUUACAAAAUAGAGUAUUAAAAUAUGAUUGGGUACACAGUUUUUAAUAAAGUAAAAGUUACCUAAAAAAAUGAAAACAUCUUAUAUAUUGGAACAUCAAAAUUCUGCAAAACAUCAUACUUUCAGGAACAGAUGGAGUAUUAGUUUUUGCUAAAAAAAGGUUUAAAAUCGAAAUUAAAAACCAACAUUAUAUGCUUGCCAAUGACAAGUUGUCACAUCUCUAGCUAGGAAAUUAGGUGAAGAAAGUUAGGAGAUGAAAUGAAUGAAGGCAUUAUUGCAUUGCCUAAUACAUCAAUGAUUCAUAGGUAUUGUCCUAUUUUGGCAUUAAAGUCAACUACACAAACUUCUAGAUUAGUAUAGUCUCUUAUUGUGACAUUUGUUGUCACCUUAUCACACAAAAUCACAACUACUUUUAUUGCAUAAUUUUUUUUUAAAUAAACAUAGUAAUGAUUCAUGGAAAAGUGAAAACUAUAUGUGGAAAUCACUGGGAGCACCUACAAUUCAAGGUAUGUGACUUUAAGAAAGUUUCAAAAGUUUUAUUAGAGAGACGAGAUAAGACCUUAUAAUAAUAUAGGCUUGACAUGGAGGUUUCAACUAUUAUUGUUAAGAAGCUAGCUCUGUGCACAUGAAAGCAUUAAAAACAUUGAGGUGAGUACAUGUCGAAGUUUGUCGAUGAACAAGGUACACAGUAAAAACCCAACACCCACGUGGGUUGGUGUGACUCUUUUGUAGGUUUAAUCACUUUCCACUUCGACUUAUGAUUUGGCAAGUCAAUUCAAGCUUAAAUGCUUUUGGUUAUCCAUUACAAGGGUCGACCUAAGUAACAUUUCAGGUUUGCAAAAUGUCUAACCAUAUAUAUUGGUGUUGAGAAGUGAUGAUAAUGGGGAACACUCCCACCAAUGGCUCUGUUCUGUUACUGAGGCAUCCCUAGCAAUUUUUACCAGCUCUGCAAUCAUUAGUUGACACUCUCGUUAAAACCUAAACAAAAGAUCCAAGUCCAAAGGCAAGAGCUCGAUUCAAAGAACUAAUGUCCAAAGGAGAUCAGGGUUUCUAUGUUUAGUAAAAACGUAAGAACUAUGAACUAAAAUGAGACUGAAGCUAGUUAAACUUUACUUCUAUACCUCAGCAUUUCUUCUGUGUCCUGAAGUAUUAAAUCCAUAAUCAAAUAAUAAUUCUCCAAAUGUGUCAACUUUAACCAGAAUUGAUUUACACUUGGUUCCUUUUUUUUUUGUAAAGUGAUGAUCAAUCAUAAAAAAAAACUGUAAAAACUUCAUUACAAGAUUCUCUCCUCUUUCAACUAUAUUCACGAUCUCAGCGUCAGUGACUUGCGUGUUCCUCGUUGGUGUCCAAUGCAGACUUAUCCAUCUCAUCAUCAGAAUCAAUCACGUUUUCAAAGUCAUAAAACGGAUUUGCCUGCAUGUUUAAAAGAAACAAAUGUCACACUAUAUGAAUCCAAACAAGUUGUUCAUUACAAGAAUGGUGAAGUAACUAACUACCUUUGGUCGUGGAGUAACUGCUUCAAAACUUCUAAACUGAGGAUCAGUGAAGUCAGGAGCCUGCAGUAUAAUAUAAGCUCCUUUGUUUCUAUACCUCUCCUCCGUUGCCUGUAUGACACCAACAAUCAGCAUAAUCUCCUUGUGUCAGUCAACAUUACAUUAGAGAACUACCUGGAACUGUGGAUAGUCUGGAGCACUGAAGAUAGUAAUAAGCUUUCCGGAUUCAACACUGUGAUCUAUUGUAUAUCCUAUGUCCAUUCCACCUAGGCCGUCUCUCUUCUCUCUAGCAUCUGGACCUUCAUGUGAUCUUAUGAUUAACUUCAGUUCACACUUCUUCAAAAACUCCUCUGUACAAUCAGGACCCCAAAGAAGACCAAUGCCUCUCUGUUCAUUCGGCGAAAGGCCAGGACUCAUUGAAGGAUCAGACCACAGAACAUCUCCGGGGAUCAAGUUGGAACCUUCCCAAGGAGGAUCAAGAACUGAUCUUCUAGCUUGCAUCAACUCUUCUAGAGUACCGAGUUUCAAUGAGCUCGUUUCAGGCUCUAGAAGACGCACCUUGCGGUUCUUUUUACCCCUUGUUCUCUUAGGCAAGAUAGGGCUGCGGAAAAGGCCUCCGUGCGCUGUGUAAACACGUCCUGCGAUGAUUGAAGCCAAAGGAAGAGCUUCGAAGCAGCCUAAGCAUUUGCGGUACACAUGCUUUCCCUUGUCACCGUAUUUUGUAAGCACUUCCUUCUCGAAACCGUACAUAGAUGUGCAGUAUUUGGAUUCAUGGUUGCCACGGAGAAGGAAGACUUUGUCAGGCAUCAAAACCUAAACAUCCAAAAAGAUAUGAGCAUUAACACAAGGGUAAGUAGCCCUGGGCAUUUUUUCGUUUUUGGGUUCUAGAGGUUUGGGAUCUAUUCGGGUAUUUAGAAAAUUCGUUCGGAUAACAAAGUUAGGAACCGGCUAAUAUCCUAGAUAAUUUUGGAUUCUGUUCGGUUUUGGUUUUUCAGUUAAUUCGGGUUAAAAGAUCAGAAAUUCAAGUUUUUCAGAUUAAAUAUCAGAACCUUUUUCAGAUAAAAAUUUGGAUAAUUCGAAUAAAAAAAUAUGGUAAUUCAUUUUUGAGUUUUUUGGUUUACAAAUAGUAUUUUAAAAUUAUUUAACUAUUUUAAAACUAAAUACAGUUAAUAUUUAUAAGUAUAUAAAUUAUAUUAUAGAAAUUUGGAUAUCCAGGUUUGGUUCCGGUUUUUUUGGUUCUAGAGACAUAGGUUCCGCUCGGGUAACUGGUAUGAUCAAAACCCGAACCGAACCUCCUUUUUUUGGUUCGGUUCUUCAGCCUAAGCCUAAGGGUAUAGUUAGUUAAGAGUUUGUUGUUACCUUCCAGGACAAGAGGACGAGGAAAGUCUCGAGACCCCAAGCACCACGAUCCACAUAGUCCCCGUUGAAGACGUAAAACUGGUUUUGAGACGGAAAGCCAGCGUCUUUUAACAAGAAGAGAAGGUCAUGGAGCUGACCAUGAACGUCACCAACGACAACAACUUUGGAAUCAGAGUCAAGAUCAUCGACAUGGACAAUGUUCCGUUCUUUGUGGAGGAUUUUGGAAGCGGUGAGGAUGAGGGAGUCAAAGACGUUGACGGGCAUCACCGAAGGUAACUGAGAAGGAGGGAGGUUCCAUGAAGACCAUUCGAAAGAUGACAUGAGGCCGUGGACCCACUCGUUCGUGAGAGUCCCACCGUUUGGCCAUGUAACAGGUUCCAUUGGAGGUAACUGAAGACUAUAACUGUAACACACAAUCCAAAAGAGAACAAGCAAAGUCUUGAGAGCCUUUACUAAGAGGUUACAAUGAUUGUGGAAACAGAGGAGCUAGAAACCAUCCAUAAGAACAUAAAAAAUCGAAUCUUUAUAAUACAUAUCGUUAUAUAUUUGAUUCAUCAGAACAACAACAGCUCAGAAUCUAAUCAUGCCAAAGUAAUUGAAUUACCAAAAUCGAAAUUCACCUGGUUCAGAUGUGGAGACGAUUCAGAAUUUUUAAAGCUCCGAUCUUGGAACUAGCUAGUUACUUUGCUUCCUCCUCUCUCUCUCUCUCUCUCCAGACAGCUCCGUCGUCGAGAUUUAGGAUCUGUCUGGCUGGCUUUAUGGGAUUCAUUUCCUUUUAAAUUUAGUCUAAACUAUUGCUUCAACCAGCCGAAGGAUUCAAAUCAGAUUAAACCGACCGGUUUGUUAGCUAACCGACCUUGUAAGACACUAGUAGUUUGAGAAAAAGAAAGCUUCUGCGGUUCUACCGUUUUGAUUUUGGAUUAGCAGGAAAUGGUCAAGUGGUUUAUUCUGGUUUUGAUAACCAAAUUGAGACGAGUGUAAACUGGUUUGUUUCGGUUACGUCUCAAUUUCCAUUUGGUCUGUGAUAAUCUUCUUCCUUCUGUACGAAUUUCGGUUCGAUUAGUCAAAUUAAAACCGGUUAGAUCGGUUCGAUUUAGAGAGAGUUUGAAAGCUUGAAGCAAGGUAAGCAAUGCUAUUAAAGCGAGGUGGACCUUGAUGAUGUUCAGAAACUUAUAUGGAUGAUACUGCUGAUGCUAAAGCGUAUCAAGAUGUGAGUCCAAACUUUGUUACCACUUUUGAAUCCUUCUUUGUUGGACUGUGUUAGCAUUUGUUAGAUAUUCAGGAGCUGAAUGAUAUUCAUCUCCCUCUCCUUGUGAUGGUAUUGUUCGAUUUUGCAAGAACCUAAACUCAAAACAUGUGUUGUUCGGUCUGUUCCUUUCACUCUGCAGUUCUUGAAGAACCUUUGGCAGCUUGAGAGCAGGAAGAAACUGAUCAACAAAACGAUUCUAUCAUUCUUGAAGCUUACUGUAUUAACGUGAAGUCUCUGUCAUUUGUAAAUAAACCAAUCCAGAUUAUGACAAAGAGUGUUACAUCUCUUUAUUUAUACCAUCAAACAAUCUGAAGAAACCAAACUUUCUCUCCUAUGAAUCUGAAACUGACGUUCAUUCACUUGGUUUGAGAAGCCUGUUUAGCUUCAAUAUCCUUGAGUCUAAGCGUGACGGCUCUCUUGUGUGCAUCUAGACCUUCGAUUUCAGCCAUAGUCGCCACAUACGGACCAAGGUUUCUCAGACCUUCCUCUGUCAAGGACUGUACAGUCAUGAACUUCAAGAAAGAGUCUAGAGAGACGCCACUGUACAUUCUCGCAUACCCGUAUGUUGGAAGAACGUGGUUUGUGCCGCUAGCGUAAUCACCAACACUCUCUGGCGUCCAAGGCCCUAUGAAAACAGAACCUGCGUUCUCGAUCAGUCCCUCCCAUUUCUCAGCGUCUUUGACGUUGAUGAUCAAGUGUUCAGGUGCAUACAGGUUUGAGAAAGUUAUUGCCUGAAAGAUUUAAGAAACAAAGUUGGUUUGGGAUGGCGAGAGCAAAAGUGUGACGGUAGAGAGAGAGGGUGUGGGUACCUCAAUCAUAUCUCGAGCAAAUACUGUGAAACUGUGACUUAGUGCUUUAGAAGCAAACUCUCCUCUAGGAAGGCUUUUGCACUGUUUGGCAAUUUCUUCUUCGAUGGCUUUGAGGUUUACACCGUCGCCUACAAUAACAAGAACAACUUGACUGUCUGGACCAUGCUCAGCCUGUAGAGACACCAACAAAAAAAAAAAAAGAAAUGUACAAGUUAGCAGCAGACACAAACUCACCAAGUUCGCCGGUGAGAGAGGAAUACCUGAGAAAGCAAGUCUGCUGCAAUGUAAACUGGACUAGCAUGUUCAUCAGCGAUGACUAGAACUUCUGAAGGGCCAGCAGGCAUAUCAAUCGAAACCAUUGCCUCGCUGUUCUGAAGUAAGAGAAACUUAAAAAAAUGAGAGGUAAACUUGGAUCCAAUAUGACUCAUAUCUCCCUUUUCAUUUAUGUUUUCCUCAUUGAUAAAGAGUAGUCUAAAUAAGGUAGAACCAAAAAGUAAUGAAGGAAGGAUAUAUGUACUUGUAGAAUCAUCUUAGCAGCUGUAACAUACUGAUUCCCAGGACCAAAAAUCUUCUCAACCUGCCAAUAAUUACCAAAGCAAAUUAAUGUGUGGUUGGCUGGAAAAAUGUAAACCAAUUCAUAUUAAAACCCUAUUUAUACCUUGGGACAAGAAUCAGUCCCCCAGGCCAUGGCAGCUAUAGCCUGCAAAGGCAAUAUGGAAAUUUACAAAAUCUUAGAAAUAAAAAAAAGAUGGCCAGCAUUUUGAAAAGGCUAACACAAACACACCUGUGCUCCACCAGCUUUUAGUAUGUGAGUUACACCAGCCCUCUUAGCACAAUACAGCACCUCCUGCAACAACACCAUAACACAAAACAUCAGCUCAGUAGCUAGUAGAUAGAACGUGAGUGAUAUUGAAUAUCCUCAGAAACAAAACAGCUAGAGUGUUACCUUACAUAUGCUUCCUUCCUUAGUUGGUGGAGUUGCGAGUACAACUGUUUUACAUCCAGCAAUCUGAGCAGGCUGAGAGAAGAAUCAAAUAAAAAGAAAGAUCACAUUAUUGCACAACUUCAAGAAGAAUAAGAAGAAAAAAAAAGGCAAAAGUACUAAACACUAGAUAGCUUACAAUAGCAAGCAUCAAAGCAGUAGAUGGCAAAACAGCUGUUCCACCAGGGACAUAAAGACCUACAGACCCAAUAGAUCUCGACACCCUUUUACAUCUGACACCCUAAAAAAAAAAAAAAACGAGUGAAAAUUACCUUGAAGACUUAAAGUAGCUAUCAGGUGACUGACUGAAUGGACUUACUUUCAUAUUCUCAACGCUUUUCUCAGUUGACUUUUGAGCUAAAUGAAAUGCAUAAAUGUUGUCAUACGCAACAUCAAACGCUUCUUUGACUUUAGGGUCAAGCUGAAUACAAAAAAAAGGCAGAAACGAAACCCAUCUACAAGUUACUACACAUGAAAUAGCAUUCAACACUAUGUAUGUAUACAAUGUCUUCUACCUCAGGAAUAGGAAGCUCGGACACAUCUUCCACCACGUUAUUGAGUUGGACUUUGUCAAAUCUUUCAGUGUAUCUAAAACAGAAGCAAGUUAAAAUGGUUCCAUCUAAGCAGUGUUCUAAGAAUCUGUAAGUCUAGGCGCUCGCCUAAACAAUAACCUAGCGAUUUCUAGAACAUUGCAUCUAAUAAAGAAUGAGUCACAUACUCUUUGACAGCAACAUCUCCUUUGCAACGAACGACGUCGAUGAUUGGGUUAACCUGAAGAGGGGAGCUCGUGUCCAUAAGGAUAAGAGAAGUGGGCACAUUCACAAGCAAGCAAGAGAGAGAGGAGAGGAAACUUACAGUGGUGAAAAUGGAGGAGAAGUCAAUGCGGGGACGUGACUUCAAGUUUUCAACUUGAGAGAAACUAAGUUCAGAUAAUCUAUACGACUUCAUUGCGCACCUAACAACGUCUCCUGUAAAAAAAACGAGACUUUUGCAUUUAGUUGAGUGUGAAACGGAUUAGUGAAAGCUUGAAGAAUCUCGUAAUCGGAUAAAGCUCGUACCUUUCUUAGAAGCAGCUGUGUGAGGGGAGAAGGAGAGACGAGCAAGAUCGAAUGACAUUUUCACCUGAUUGCUCAAACACAGAGAGUGUGUCGCCGGCGGAAAUGAACGGAGAUGAUUGAAUGGGUUUGAAAAUGGAUACAAUUGUUAUUGGGCCGAGUAAUAGAAAAGCCCAUCAUGAAUUUAAUUGUUUGAGCUGAUGCAAGAGAAAACACAGGAAGACUAGAGCAUCAUAUCAAAGAAAGAAUAUCAAAGUUCUUGGCAAGUGUUAUUUGGGGGCUAAUGGUGUAAGUAACGUAUUGGCAAUAGUGGAUUAUACGAUUCUUAUGUAGGCUUAGUAGGCUAGCCACGCUCUUAAUAUUUUGUUUCUACAACUUAAUGACAUAGCAACGAUUUGUAUAUGGCUAUUAAUAAAAAAUCAGCUCAUGUAUAUUAGCAAGAAUUUACAACAGUCAUCCAAUCUUUCUUCUUUUUUUUUUAAAUUGUUUCUCCAACUCUCUAGCCUUCGUCUGCAUUAUAAAAUAAACAAUGAAAACUAUUUUGGUUUUUAUCAAAAAAAAAAAGAAGAAAAACUCAGUAGAAAAUUUCCAUGCUCAAUAAAAUAAUUGAUCUAUGGUUAUUGGUAUUCCACAUGCAAUUUAGCUCAUGUAUUUAGUUAAAAAAAUAUAGCUCAUGUAUAUCAACAAGAAUUUACAAAACUCAUCCAAUAUUUAUGUUCUUUUUUUUUAAAAUUGGUUUUCCAACUCUGCAUUAUCAAUAAACAAUGAAAACUAUUUUGGUUUUUAACUUAAAAAAAAAAGUAGAAAAUUUCCAUUUAAUUAAGGUAUAAACAUGUAAAAAAAACGGUAAUUAUCUUAAUCGAAGUGAAAAAAAGGAAAACAAAUAAAUAAACCCUCCAAAAACCUUAACGCCGGAUUAGUCUCAGAAAAACCUAAAUAGUUUCCUCUCCUUCCUCACCACGAUCACUCCAAAAAAAAUCUCGAAGAUGAUGACGACGACGACGGAUGAUCUCAACGAUCCAUGCGAUUUCGUCACUGUCGAAGCGGAAUCGAACCCAGACUCACUCCAACAAUGGCUCUCCACCGUAGAAAACGGAAAGGCGAACGGGACGCGACGGUCGGAUAUCUCCACGAAGGCGAAGAAGCAUCUCUCCUCUCUCGGCUGGCGUUUCGCUUACUUUCCUAAACGGAAUAAGAAGCGAGAGCUCCGCUAUAAAUCUCCCAAAGGAAAGUGGUUCUACUCUCUAGCCACAGCUUGCUCGAGCUGUGUACACGAAGACGACGAUGGCUCGAGACGAGAGCUGAUCGUUCCCGAAUCUGAUGAGUCUCCGAGAGAUCUCUCAGUAGCUUUCGUCGAAACCGUUUUUGGUGAUAAUGUGUCGACGAGGAGGAAGAGAGUGAAGGAUUGUGAAACGGCGGCGUUUAGUGGGAACAAAGCGCUUAUUGUGUCGAAGAAGAGGAAGGAGAGAGUGAAUGUUGGUGAAACGGCUGCGUUUAGUGGGACCAAAGUCGUUCUCAUUGUUGAUGUGUCGAAGAAGAGGAAGAGAGUGAAUGACUGUGAAACGACUGCGUUUAAUGGGGUAGCUUUUAAAGAAGAAAAGAAUCAUCCUUUGUCUGAUAUUCUCAAUGUUGAUGUUAUAAACCAACAAGAGAAGAAGAGAAUGGCUGCUGCUGCGUUUGAUAGCAAAGCCAAGGGGGAGAUAAGGCCGAGGUUUGAGAAGUCGUUGAGGAAGGUCUUACAAGUGAUGGAGAAGAAGAAUGAAACGUGUGAAAAGGAGUCUGUAAGGUUCUGGAGGAAAGACUGUGGUCCAGAGAAGAACUGUGACGUGUGUUGUGUCUGUCAUUUUGGUGGAGAGUUGCUUCUAUGCGAUGGAUGUCCAUCAGCGUUUCACCAUACUUGCAUCGGGUUGCCCAUUCUUCCCGAGGAAGAGCUCUGGUUCUGUCCAUGUUGCUGCUGCGAUAUCUGUGAAUCAAUGGUAACGUUGGGAAACAGCAAGUUGAUGACUUGUGAGCAGUGUCAAAGGAGGUUCCAUCUAAAAUGUUUAAAAGAAGAGACUUGUCUUGUUUCGUGUAGAGGCUGGUUCUGUAGUAAGCAAUGCAGCAGAGUUUAUUCCGCGCUUCAGAGUCUACUAGGACGUAAGAUUGUGGUAGGGGAAGAGGGUUUGGUUUGGAGUUUGAUUAGAGCUCCUAAUGAUGGUGAACACUACGAUGAUGAACAAAUGGCCAAGCUAGACUCUGCUGUUGAGAUACUUCACCAAGGGUUUGAGCCUUCAACGGACCCUUUCUCUGGGAGAGACCUUGUCGAGGAGUUGAUAUACAGGAAGGACGCUAGUGGUGUGGGUCGUGGGUUUUACACGGUUUUGGUAGAGAGGAACAACGAGCCUGUGACUGUGGCGGCGAUGAGAGUUGACAAAGAUGUAGCUGAGAUCCCUUUGGUGGCGACAUUGUCUAGUUACAGGAGAAGUGGGAUGUGUAGAGUGCUUAUGGAUGAGUUGGAGAAGCAGAUGUCUAGAAUGGGAGUUCGUAGAUUGGUCUUGCCUGCUGCUAAAGAUGUUGUGACUACUUGGUCUCAGGGGUUUGGGUUCAAGGUGAUGGAGAGUUGGGAGAGGUUGGAGUUUGUGAAACAUGGGAUGCUUGAUUUCGUUGGCACUGUGAUGUGCAGUAAGUUUCUGAGGGAAAGAGAAGUGUCAGGAGAGUCAAGCUUAACUGAAUAGGAGUUGGGAACAGAACCUGAUAACACUUUUUGUCAUGUAAAGAUUCAAUCUACUCUUGACGUGGGAUAACAAAGCAUAUAACUUUUUGUACAUCUUUUAGUGUGUUAACUAAAUCAGACACCUUGAUCGGAUCCAUAACUACUGUAUACAAGUUUCUUAGAGAAACAACCAAGAAAAUGCAAUAUAAGAAGCAUUUUCUAAAGAGUAUUGGCUCAAUCUGAGGUAACAAGUUUUAAUCUGAAAAGCCUCUGUCUAUGGUCCAAAUAAUGCAGGCUUCUUCUAGAGGUAUGAAGACGAUUGGUCAUUCAUGAACUCAAAAGUCUCAGGCAUUCCCACAAAUCACAAAUGCAUAAAUUAAUCUAAGGCUCAAGAUGAUGAACUAAAGCUUGAACAAUCCACACAAUAUUCAAAUGAAGAAUACACACUUUAUUGUAAGCUCAUAGAGUUGAUCUUAACAUUUUAUUACUACUAUACAUAUACAAACUUGUUGCCUAUUUUUUUUUUUGUUCUUUUUAACAAAUUCAGAAAAUAAAUCAGAUGAUUAAGGUAGAGAUUAGGCCGGUCCCAUCACUAUGUCAUUUGCCACUGCAAUUCAUAGCAAAAAAUUAAGCUAAAUAAGCAAAUAAUAUAUAUAACUUGAUAAUCCAAAUACAUAACUGAGGAAGAAACAAGACCUUAAGAACAGGCUCUCCUUUGUUAGUAUUAGCAGAUUGUUUAGCCAUUUGCUGUAACUGAGCUUGUGCAGCCCUUCCAUGUGCAGACUUUUUAAACUCUUCUUCUCUGCCCGUUUCACACACACACACAAAAAUAAAGACAUUAUUUGCAUACAAAUUUUCAGACACAAGCUCUGUCUUAAUGAUCCAAACAUGAAUUCAAGGUUCUAAAUCGGAAAGAAGUAAACUUUCAAUAGAUAUGAUUCGGAAUCGGGAAGAUCAAAAUGAAGAGGAGGAGAGAGAGAGUACCGUCGCAUGGCAGCUUCGGCGGCUCUGGCGCGAGCUUCGGCGGAGGCUUGUCUCUCUUCUUCCUUACGCUGCUUCUUUUGCGUUCCGUUGAUGCAACUGAAACAACCCAUCGCCGAUCAGAUUGGUUAAUUGAUUGACUCUCUUCGCUUGUCUUCUCUGCUAUUUUACCAAAGUGACAACGCACGCACGCACGGACGCUGAUCGGAGAACUAGACAAAAGAAGACGCGUCUUCUUCUGCCGAUAAUGGGCUUCUUUCACCGUGUUUUCUUCUACCAUAAUGGGCUUCCUUAAAUGUUUAUGGGCUUUUUAAUUUUAGAUUAAUUAAUUAAUUACGUUCAUUUAUCUGUAAGUAUGUGAGGUUAUGGACCUUUUCAUUCCUUAAAUGCUUAUGGGCUUUUUCAUUUUCAAUAGAUUUUACUUAUCUCAAAUGUUUUAAAAUUUAUCUGUAUGGUUUUUCAAACAUUUAAAUUUUAUUCACUGAAUAAAUAUAAGUAUGUGAGGUUUAUCUUUUUUUGCUACUAAUUUUAGCUGGUUUUUCUUUAGAAACAUGCAUUAGGUUUUGGUGAUGAGAGAUGUAAAAACAUCCACAUAUAUAUAUAUAUAUAUAUAUAUCAAAUUUUGAAGAAACGUUUUUUAAAUAAAAUAAAAAAUAAUAAUAACAUAAUAGACUUUGAAUUUUCAACUACUAUUCUAUUUGUAUUUCUUAUAUAUUUAUUUUUUUUAAUUAUUUUUAGAUAUUUGCAAUGAUGGAUAAUUGUUCUGAUGUUUUCAUUGACAUUGUAUAGUGGCAUUCUGUAAAAUCUAUCUAAUUCUUAAAAACAGUUAGCAAACACACUGGGAUUGCUUAAUUAGCAGUACGUUUUGCUAAAAAGAAACAAGGGAGCAUCUCCGUUAGUUUGACAGCAUUUUAGCACAAAACAUUUAGUGCAAAUUGAUAAACUUAGCAUUGCUAACUCUUAUUAAAUAGCGAAUCAGUUUUACAGGAAGCCGUAAAAUAGCAACAAAUAUAGCUUGUGCAAGUUACUUGCCUGAGACGUUGACCACGAGGUUCAACCAUGCAUUGACGAAUAAGUUUUAUCUGCAUAGCUUAACUGCUUAAGUCAUGUUCAACCAGUGACGAAUAAGUUUUAUUGGUAGAUAAGAACUUGUUGAGAGGAUGCUACACUAUAUAAAGAGAGAAAAGGCUUUGAUUUACUUUUAAUGCUUCUAAAACAAAAACACAUUUUAGGGUUCGAACUUGGUAACGUUGUAACAAAAGAUCUGUUAUUUUAAAUAAAAGAUAUAUAUUCAUUGAUAUACAACAAAUUUUAUCCAUUAAACUGAUGUCUUUCACUUACACAAUUACUCACCACUUUCCAAAUGUUAGUUAUCGUCCAGUUAUGAAGGAUAUAUAAGAACCAAAAUAAAAGUCAUAGAAGACGUCACUCUUCAUAGCGUGAUGAUGUUACAGUUUCAUAUUAUGAUGAGUUUGAAAAUAAUUGUAUGCUUAAAAUUAACAAGCAAGCAGAGAUUUGCAUCAUAUACAAUUAACAACAUAAUAGAGAUCCAUCCAUAAGCAUGCAUAUACAACAAGUACUAUGCUAAGAAGCACUUGAGUAAAAAAAAAGCAAGAAUAACUCCUACAUGGUUUGUCAUGUAAUGGAAAUAAGAAUGAAGCUGUACAUGUUUAAGCUGCUUGGGAGUUUUAAAAUUUUUAACCUAAAUAUCGUUGUAGUAUUAACAUCAAAAGGUCUGAAACUUCCAAGGCAUAAUCAUCGAUUAAUACUCCAUAGUUAUCUACAUCACAAGACAAGCUAUAUAUGUAAAAUGGAUUCACCUUUGAUGAACAAAGCUUGUAUACGUACUUGCUAACUCUUUUGAAGGAACGUACAUAUACUAAAGGGGAUCCGCUACAGAACAUCAUAUCAAACAAGGAGAGCAUGUGAAGAUUCGACCCAUAUCAAUGCUCUAGUUCUCAACCGCUUGAGACGGUGUGAAUGAGGUUUCAACCAGCGAAGCCUCUACGCAAGGUCACAAGCCAAUGGUUUAGAGGUAGAUAAGUAGCCGUAGGCUAUAUAAAGUUAAGAACUUUGUUGAGAGAGAACGAACAAAAACAACAUGUGCAUAUUCUACCACCAUCCCAGGUAUUUUUUCACUCACCUGAGACUUGUGUUUCAACAUUUUUCUAAUUAAUACAUUAAAGUAAGGAAGUUUAAGUUAAAAAUGUUAUUUACAAAUUUGUAUUGAAAUAUAAAAUGAUACUUUUGUGAAACAAAAUUAAAAUCUUAAAAUAUCAUUUUUGUAAAAUGGAAAGAGAUUUUACAAUCUUGGUAUGUUGACUCUAAUUCUGCAAUAAUGACUAAAGACUUUUAAAAUAUAGUAGUUGCCAAAUAAUUAGUCAAAUAUGCAUAUUAAUUAGUCAAUACAUUCUCUUUAUGUACAUUAAAUGUUUUCAACUAAUAUAAAAUCCUUCUAUACAUAUACUUUUUCCUAUAAAUAUACUGUGCACGACCAUGGUUAUUAAGACACAAACCUAAAAAAACUAUCAGAAACCAAACACCCUAGUUCCUAAACAAUGAAACAUACAAAGGGAAAGCAAAAGAUCGAGAUGAAAAAAGUUGAAUCCUACAAAGCCAGAAGGACUACUUUUUACAAACGUAAAGCUGGGAUUUUUAAGAAGAUGAACGAGAUCAUUGCAGAAUGCGGUGUGGAAGCAUCUUUCUUGGUGUUCCCUGAAUCCGGAUAUCCUCGUACAUUCGCACACCCGUCUAUGGAAGAUGCUGUUGAUCGAGUAAAGUGCUCUUUGGGACAUGAACCAUCUGGGAAAGACGAUGCCAGUAUUGGAUCACUAGUGGAAGCUCAUAAGAAGCGAAAGAAUGAGGAGCUCGCGAAAAAAUUGUGUGAUCUCCAUGAGGAGCUAAAAAUGGCGGAGGAGAAGGAAAAGAAGAUGGUGGAGAAAAAGAAAAUUAAGGAAUUGAAAAAUGAGUGGCCGAAUACUCUAAAUGAAGGCGUGAACAAGGAUGAGUUGAAGCGGGUGCACCAAGCCUUUGUGGAGUUAAGUUAUAGCUUAUCAGGUAAGGCUUUACAGAGGUUGGGAAAAAAUGGUGAUGGUUCGUCUUCUGCUCUUGCAGAACGUGGAUAUUGUGAUGGUGGCGAAGCAGGAGCGGGUGAACAAACUUGAUUUAAUCUAAUUCAGUUGUUGCAAAAAAAAAAAAAAAUCUAAUCCAAUUUGAAUUUCUGUUUAUGUUAUUUUUGAAUUUGAAUUUGAAUUUGAAUUUCUGUUUUUAUCUAAUCCAAUUUGAAUUUCUGUUUAUGUUAUUUUUGAAUUUGAAUUUGAAUUUAAUUUCUGUUUUUAUCUAAUCCAAUUUGAAUUUCUGUUUAUGUUAUUUUUGAAUUUGAAUUUGAAUUUCUGUUUUUAUCUAAUCCAAUUUGAAUCUCUGUUUUUAUGUUAUUUUCCUUUGUCGUUGUCUUAAUAGAUCUUGUUAUAUAAUUGGUGUAAUUAAUCAUGGACUAUUCAUCUAAGCUAGUCGCAUUGUCUUUAGAAUUGCAUUUUAAAUUUGACUAGCUUGACUCGUGCGUCCGCACGGAUAUUUAUUUUUUGUUCUUAUAUAUUCUAAUCUUUGGUAAUGUUAUCAACUUCUUUUUUUGUGUUCAUGUUGUAGAUUAAUAUGUUAUUUAGUUUUGACAUUUGUGUAUCAUGUUCAAUACGUUUAGCUUCCACAUUAUUAGAAAUUUUGUUUUUACGUUCUUCAGACUUUUAUUCAAUUUAUUUUGAUAUAUUAAACAACAAAAUGUAAAUAUUAGAGAUCUAGAUAUACUUUUAAGUUUUAUUAAAUUACAUUCCAAAUAUUUUGAUUUAAAUAUAUAUAUAUAUAUAUAUAUAUAAAGUUCAUAUCUGAUCUAUUUGAUUUUUUUAAAUAAAUACAUGUCUAGAGUUUGAUUUGUGCGCCGACGCGGCUAUUUAUUUUAACUUGUAAAAUCAUUGUUACCUUAUAAACUAUUCGUAAUUACUGGAUAUUAAACUGUGAUCAAACAAUAUUAGACUAUUGUUUGAUUAUUAUCGUAUUGAAUGUAUUAGCAUCAAAAAUAAAAGAUUACUAAUACAUUCAAGUAUAAUAUAUUAUUUUGUUUCUACUAAUUUUAUAUUAUGCUCAAACCCUAAUAUUUAAAAAGGUAAUUUUCUCAAUAUCAUUUUUUAAAGUUUUUAUCACCAAAAUGUCUUCAAAGAAGAAAAAGAUUAAAAGACAUUUGAGAUAAAGGAGGUAAAAAAGACUCUUCAGUGGUUUUUAAUAUAUAAAUAUAAAUUAAUUUAGGAAAUUUCUCAAUUUUACAUGUUAAAAUUAGUAAAAACUAAAACAUGCAAUUAUAGAAAAAUAUAAAACGGGCUAUUAUUGGAAAUUUCUCUAUUUUAAAUGUUAAAAUUAGUAAUUAUAUCAAUAUUAUAAAUGGACAACUUAUUUUUUGACAAAAAUAUAUGCUCAAUAUUUAUUAAAUAUUAAAAAGGAGUCAUAUUGAUUUUAUAUAUUAAUAUGUGUAUUAAAUGUUUUUAGUUCAUAUAAAACAGCUAGCAAUACAAAAUUUUAUUCGAAUUUUUUCGUUUAUGUCGAAUUUAUGUUACUCACAUAGAAAAUUAUAAUAUUUUUUCAGUUUAGUUAUUGUAAAUUAUAAAAAUAGAUUAUUUAUUUUUACCUGAAUAUUUUUUAAAUUAAAAAAAAAUUGGAAUGAUAUUUAGGAGUAAUCACACAUAGGAUCUACGUGGUCUAUCUUUUUGGAAAAUAAUAAUGGCAAUGUAGUUUAUUUAGAUGAGAAUAAAAUAUUAAUCGUGUUUUAGAUUUACAUGGCAAUAUAGUUUUAAUAAUAGCGGAAUAUAUGGCAAGAUAAUAAACACGUUUUUGGAUUUAUAUGGCAAUGUAGUUAAUUAAAGCGAAAUAUAUGUUAGAGAAUCACGUUUUGGAUUUGCAUGGCAAGAUAAUAAAUAUUAUUUGUGUAUGUGUAAUUUACAUAUUUAAUUAGAUAAUCUUUAAUUAAAAGGAGUGGCAUGAAAUGGUAAAUAUUGAGUAAAACUCAGGGUUAAGUAUAAAAUGUACUCAUAUUUUAAUAGAUUAGAUGUUUAUAAUCUUUUAGAACUUAAAAGGCUAAAACCAUAAUGGUGUAAUUAAUUUCCUAUUCGUUUCCGUUAUUCAGACUUUUUUUCUUCGGAACAGCUGAAUUAUCAUAGAAAUUAGGCUCAUGCCCAAAUAAAGUUCAUGUUACAGAGUGCAGCCUUAGCCACACAAUUAGCAGGCCCAUUAUGCUCUCUAGAAACAAAGAAGAAAAAAAAAACAGAAAAUAAAAGAAGCAUAUAGGGUUUCGAUGUCCUAUAGAAUUCCGUAAAAACGAUAGCUCUGACGAUCCCGCGGGAGUCUGAUCGAAUCCAGACUUUAGUGUGUCCAGGGUGAAUCGCGUGGGAUAGGGCCGAUCACCAAUCUUUCCGUGAGGAGAAGUGAUUUCACACAAGAUUGUGCUUGGAAACCUUGCUGUGGAGGGACGUUUGGUACUGUGAAGAUCCAGCCGAGUCAUGUUUCCUUUGUUGAUGGGUUCCAAGCAGCGUCCGAGUUACACAGUACGGUCCAUGUCGGGAUCGAGGGAAUAUGUGGUUGCAUCGGAGCUUUGAUCUGGUCGUACAUACCAUAUAUGAUGCACUUCAGACAGAGACCAAGGCGCAGGGGCGGAGGCAGUGUAACCAGUGUUUGAGGUGUGGGCCAGAUGACCCCACUAUUUUUAAAACAAUAUAUAUGUUAUUUCAAAAAAUAAUUUAUUUAUUCAUUGACAUACGACAAUCGCAUCCCUUAAACUAAUGUCUUUCAACUAAUGUCUUUCACUUACAAAACCACUUCCCACUUUCCAAAUCGUAGUUAUCCAGCUACAAAGAAUUAAGAUAAGAACCAAAAUGAAAGCCACUGAAAACGUUACUCUUCCAUAGUGUGAUGAUGUUACACUUUUAUAAUAUGACGAGCUUGAAAUUGAUUGUAUGCUUAAAAUUAAAAGGCAACCAGAGAUUUGCAUUAUAUCAUAUACAUUAACAACAAAAUAGAGAUCCAUCGAUAAGCAUAUACCACAAGUACUAUGCCAUGAAGCACUACUUGAGUGUUGAGUCAAACAAGCGUGAAUCAAUCCCACAUUGCUUGUUAUUUAAUCUAACAAUACUAAAAGCAGAAUAAGCAGUGCAGAGAGCGUGCCACGUCAGCGUUUUUAUUCGAACCAAUCAGAAACAACCUUUUUUACACGUCAGACACUCGCGGUAUUGUUUUGUUCGAUCGUGGUGGGCUUCAUCCGUUCACGUUAUUGGGCUUCAUUAGAGUUUUGUGUCGACCCAUGAACACAAAAGCAAGCCUCGGAGUCUCCGUCGACGCUUAUCGUCUCUGCCUCUUCGUCUUUUCAUCAGCUCUAUGUUUACGUUUUCUUUUUCUCCGAUCGCAGAGCUGAGAAGCCGAGAGUUAAUCGAGCAAAACCAACACAAUGAAUACCUCUUUUAUUAUUUCGUUUCACCUCCCCUUCUUCAUCCUUCUUUAUAAAUUGAUUUUUUUGUAUUCACACCAAAACCCUAGAACGACCCGAAACUCGAUCCAUGGCGAUGAAGAGAAAUGGGAAGUCGCAUGUCUCCUCCGACUCUGGUGAACAAUUCAUGUCCUUCAAGGAUGUCUCUCUAGGUCCUCAUGAAGCUCAACUACGCUUCCGACUCAUCCAUUUCUGGGAGGCUCGGAACCCGGUGAAGAAGACACUGAUUGGCCUCGAAAUGCUCCUCAUCGACGAACAGGUUAGCCGAUUCUUCAAUGAUAGUUUCCAGAUCGUGAGAUCUAUCUUCCCGACAGUUUUUGAUAGGCUAGGGUUUCGAUUGUUAUUUUAGACGUCUGUCGAUUGUUAUUUUAAACGUCUGUUAUACGCUUGAUUCAUUAGUUUCAUUAGUUAGUGUUUUGUUUUCGUAUCUAUCGAUGAUUAUUUUAGACGUCUGUUAUAUAGUUUCAUUAGUUAAAUUAGUGUUUUGUUUCGCAUCUGUUUUAAUUCCGAAAUUGUUUCGUAUCUAUGUGUUUGUUUCGUAUUUGUUUUAGUUCUGAGGUUUUUAAGUCCUCUAUUAUACGCUUGAUUAAUUAGUUAAAGUAGUGUUUUGUUUUUUUAUCUGUCGAUGGUUAUCUUAGACGUCUCUCAUACGCUUGAUUAAUUAGUUAAAGUAGUGUUUUGUUUCGUGUCUGUUUUAAUUCUGAAGUUGGUUCGUUUAUAUGUGUUUUUCGUAUCUUUUUAAUUCUGAGGUUUCAUUCUCUGUUGUGAUCUGUUAUUUCAGGGAACUGUUAUUCAAGGAUUCAUCCCACCGGGGCGAAUUAAGAAGUACUUGCCAGAUAUGAAACGCGGAUCAGUUUAUAAGCUCAUCAAUUUCUAUGGAUCGAAAAACAAACCGGUGUAUCGGGUUGCUGACCAUGUCGCAACCGUGUCUUUCGCAUGGAAUUCUGAAAUGUCGGUUCUUCACGAGAUUCCCAUCUCUUUUGAUGAAGACCGUUUCAGGUUUCAUUCACACGCAGAUUUUGAAGCCAAUUGUGAUCUCAAAGGUGACCUCUACGGUAAGCAUAUUAGUUUUAGAAAUCAUCUCUCAGUUUCAUUACUUUGUCUGUAGUUUUUAGUCUAGCCUCCUGCUUAGGUAAAGUAGUCUAUAUUUUAAGGUUUAAAUAAGUAGUUCAAAUAUUUGGUUUCUAAAGUUUCUAAAGUUUUAUUAGUCAUAUAACUAACUCUUCGUGUAAAUGUUAUAGAUGUUAUUGGCCACAUGAAGCUGGUCGAUGGACAAACUCUUAUUGAGCGUCCCAGCCUAGACGAUGUGAAGAUUUCUACCACUCGGCAUAUUGUGAUUCAUGUGCAGUCGCAUGAGUAAGUGUGUUCUUUUAUUUCAAGUAAUCAUCUCCCGGUAGUUCUUAAAUACUUAUGAGUUUAUUUUUGCAGUGGACCUGUGCUGAAGCUCUACCUUUGGGACCAGGCUGCAACAGACUUUUGCAAGAAAUUCAACUCCUGUGAAAAGACUCCGACAGUGCUUUUGGUCACAACUGUUAACACUAAACGUCUCGGAGGUAAUUAUUUACUAUCCUUAAAACGUUUGCUUCUUUAUCAAUGGUUGCUAAUUUCCACUCAAUCCUUUUUAAUGACUCUUACAUUAUUGAACAGGAACCCUUGCCCUAUCCUCUAUGUCAUCCACACGGGUCUUCAUGGACUAUGAUGUCCAACCAACCAGGGAUUAUUUCACCUGGUAUGUAUAUCCGUCUUAAGCAUCUCUUCUAUACAGAUUCAACUGAUGCGUAGACUUACACUUAUAGCAGUGAUUGACUGACGCACUGCUUUUUAUUUUACUUCAGGCUGGGCUCUAACCCAGAGAUUGCUAAUCAAGUUUGCGCAGACGUCAUCACUAAGCGUGAGACACUGUCUAUAGCAGAAAUAUUCUCCUAUAUGACUCAGGAAUCUGCAAAGGUAAAAGUAAAGCUGUAUUACUUACUCUUUUAAAACACUGAUAUAUUUUAAUCUCAUGCUUAUAAACUUUCGCAGGCUGCCUUUUUUGAGUGCACUGCUACUAUUGAUGAUGUUGUUCAUGGCUCUCCUUGGUACUACAUUGCAUGCAGUGGGUGCCAUUCUAAGGCUACCAACGGCCCAAGUUCGUUGAUUUGUACAAACACAAAAUGUGAGAAGGUUACCACAACUGGCGUUCCAGAGUAUGUUACCUCGCCUUAAUAUGCAGUUACGGUUUCAAUAGAAUUAAUUUUCAAUUUUUGAAUUUUUGACGUUAGUUUCUUAUUCUUUCACAACAGGUACCGGGCUAAGAUUUCUGUUUAUGACAACAGUGAACAAGCUUUCUUUGUCUUACUUGGAGAUGCUGGACGGGAGUUGACUGGGAAGCAUGCAUCCGAGUUAGUUAGCAGCUACUUUGAGGUAACUAUCACCAGUUUAUAAUCUCAAAUGAUUUUUUAACUUUAACCAUUGCUUAACUCCCAAGUUAUUUAAACUGACACUAUUAAACUUGAAUGUAAGGCUAAUAAAAGCGAAGGAGCUGAUCAUGAGGUGCCUGUCCCGGAAGCUCUAAUCAGCACCAUCGGACAGACACAUAAGUUCUGUGUGAAAGUUACUGACCACAAUUUCUCAGGCAACACUCGAGCGAUAACUGUCACCAAGAUCCUCUCUCUAGACACACCAUCACCCACGGAAGCUUCAGUUGGAAAUGACAUUGCUGCAAUGUCCGAGGGAGCAACGCAGUCUGGUGACGCGGUCUGUGAACCUCAUAAAGGCGGUGGAGUCACUGCAGAUGAGGAGAGUAAGCGGGCGUGUAGCAGUGCUGAUCCAGAGACAGCUAAACGCCCAAGAUGUGAGAAUUAGAGCCUCUGCUCACAGAUGCAGUUUAAGUACUGAGUUGGUUUUUUUUAAAUUUUCUGCUGUUUAAGUACUUUUUUGGUUAAGUUAAAGACAAUGCCCAGUUUUUCAACUUCAGACUUUGCAAUUCAAUAAUUUGAACUACCUUUCUUAUAAUCUCUAUUGUUUCUUAUAAUCUUUGUUGACUUUUACCUAUAUGAGCAAAAUAACAAACAGAUUGAUUUUCUAUAUUUUUUAAAAUCGAUUUUGCCGUGAAUUCGUAUCAGGAUUCUAUAUUCCUGAAAUCAAUUGUACACAUUUAUGAAAUUUUGGAAAUGAGCCACAUUCACGGUGAUAAAUAAUAGAGAUAUAGGCGCUUGCGAAACUUAAGGAAAUUAGCCACAUUCACAUGUAUCAUAUAUUCUUAUGCUUAGAAAUAAAAAACCCUUAACCUAACUACUCUUCAACGCCUCCCUCAGCCCAACGCUUCUCGAAUUCACUUCUGCUUCAAACAGGUAUUGUCCAACUAAUAUUUACCAUUCUCAUUUAAUUUAUUAUUGUGUAUAUUGGUUUCAACUUAGCUGUUUUGAUCUCUUUGCCGUACAAAUCUCUCUUUAACGUUUUAUGGCUUUUCCUUCUUGAACAAGAAAGUGAAAGACAUAUAUCUCAUUGAUAAUAGGUUGGUUGAAAGAUCAUUGUUUCAACGAAAUGAAUAAUCCACCCAGAGAUCAACCCAUAGAUACUGGAGGUAACCAUAUAAUCUCCAGACUCUUUCUCUCAGAAUUUUUAUCUUUUGUCAAGGAUCCAGCAUUUUUUUUUUUGGUUUUUAAAGGUGUUUAAUCUUCUUUUUGAUCAAGCAAUUGGAAUAUCCAAUCCAAUUAAACCAUAUUUUUUAUUGUAAAUAUUUCAGACACUAAAAAAAUAAAAAAAUUAACUGAAUAUAUUAUUUUAAAUUAUACAUACAGGAAAUAGUAAUACUCUUUCUAAUCUAUUUUAAAUAAUAACAAAAUUUAUUUGCCUGAUAUAACAAUGCAAAUUUUCAUAUAAAAGUUUUUAUAUAUGAAAUCAAAUGUUAUCAACAUAACAAUAAUAUCCAAUAUUUUCCAGGGAAACUACUACUCCGUUCAUCACCAGCGACAACUUUCUACUUCAACAAAUCAAUUGAUUACAUUAAGAAUUUCAAAAGGAAAAUGAGAGAUCAUGCAAAACCAUGCAGCACAUAGUGAUUCUAAUCCAUGCGUCAUUCAAAUUAUUAUUCUCUUUCUCACAAGACUUAAUACGCAGAUUCAAUUACAUUUUAAACUAUUUUACCAUUGUUUUUUUAAGACUUCUACACCUAUAUUAAAUCUAAAUUCCAGUUUCACUUUUAUCUUCAUAUUAGUUCCAUCGUCCUAGCCUAAUGUUACUAAUUACUUGGUGGGACAUAUCUAUUAGAACUAAGAUACCAUUUUUAGUAAACCUAAUGAUUUACUAUAACUCCAAUAAAACACACACAAAAUUCUGAUAGUUUUAAAUAUGCAUAUAUUUUUAUAAUUAUAGACCAGUUUUACAGAAGAUACCAUUUUUAUAUAUUAUAUAUUAUAUUAUAUUUGUUCGUUUUUAAAAUAAAAACACACAAAUUCAAUUAAUCUUAUAGGAAAAAAUCCGGGCGUAGCCCGGAAAACCCUCUAGUGGAAAUAAGAAUGAAGCGUGUACGUAUUUAAGCGGCUUUGGGAGUUUUAAUAUUUUUAACCUAAACUAGAUUUUGACCCGCCCUUUAAAGGGCGAGUAUAUUUUUUAUUUCAAUUUUUUUUAUUAUUUCAAGAAAUUUGGUUUUAGAUACAACCGGAAAACUAUAAUCAUAAUUUAAAAUAAGUUUGUGUCUACAAAUUUUUGUACAAAAACCAUUAAAGCUGCAACGGUAAUCCAAAAUUCUUAAAAUACUGGAGACAUUUGAAAUAUUUUUUGGGAUUUUAAUCAAAGAUUUAAACACAGGUAAUUUUAUGUUAAAUUUCAGUAUUUGUUCAUGUAUUAUAAAAUUUAUAUGUCAUUUUUGGUUUCUAUUUUUGAAUUUUGAAAAUUAUAAGGUAUAUUUUAGUAUAUAGAAUUUUAUGAUUUAAACGGAUAGUCAAAGCCAAACCAAACCCGUAAAAUAUGAACUGAAACAAAAUUUAUAAAUAUCUAAAUGAGAUGUAAAUCACUACUUCCAAAAAUUUGAAACCUGAAUAUGCUUAAACAAAAAAUUUUGACCCGCCCUAUAUCUUUUGUUUCAAUUUUUCUGUAUUAUUUCAAAAAAUUUAGUUAUCAUAAUACUAAUUUAGUAUUAUGAUAAAACAAAAAAAAUUUAAAUUAGUAUUAUGAUUAAAAGUUUUGAAACUUCCUAGCCAUAAUCAUCGGUUACUUUAUAGUUAUCUACAUCACAUGACAAGCUAUAUAUGUAAAAUGGAUUCACCAUUUCACCUUUGAUGAACAAAGCUUGUAUACGUACUGGCUAAGUCUUUUGAAGGAACGUACAAACAUUAAAGGGAUCCACGACAGAAUAUCAAACAAUUAAGCGAGAGCAUGUCCAGAUUCUACCUAUAUCAAUGCUCUAGUUCUCACCGGCUUGAGACGGUGUGCAUUAGUUUCAACCAGUACUUGAAGACUCUACACAAGGCCACAAGCCAAUGUAAAGCAGAACAUUCGUAUGAUACGAUUGACAAAUUGAUUAAAGGAUAGAUAAGUAGGCUAUAUAUAUACAAUUAAGAACUUAGUUGAGAGGAACGAACAAAAACAAUAUGUGCAUAUUCACCACCAUCCCACAUCUUUCUGUCACUCGCUUCAGCUUGUGCACAAGUUUCAACCAUCAAUUGAUGAAACACAAUCUUAGCAAAAUAAAAAUUGAUGAAACAUUACACAAUUGCUGAAAGGAGAGAGAGAGAGAUAUAGGAUGUGGUAUUAUGAUCUGUAGACAAUCGAAGAAUUAUAGGCGUAGAUAUUGAGAGACUAGAGAAAAUUGAGCUACUAUAUAAAGAGAUAGAAGAUGACUUUGAAAAAUAUUUUAACCCUAUAUAUAGAAAAUCACAUUUUAGGGUAGAAAACAUUGUAACCAAAGAUUUUCUUAUCUUAAUUAGAAGAUACUCUUCUCUUACUCGGUAGAUUACAAUAAUCUUAGCACAUUCUAGCUUGGGUUGACACAUUGUAACCAAAGAUUUUCUUGUCUUUUUUUUACUAAGAUUUUCUUAUCUUAAUUAGAAGAUUUUCUCCUCUUAGUACUCAUUAGAAUACACCAAUCGAUCUUAUCCCUGGAACUAAUGUAAGUGCCACAUCAUCAACUAUAUCUGAAAAUAUAUGGUUUUAUCACCUAGGCAUUGAUCGGCAGAACAUUAGCAUUAACAUUAACAUUAGCAGUAGCAGUAUGCUGCAAGAGAUAUAUUUUUACUAAACUGUUUAAUAUGAUGAUUGGUAGAGCAGUAUGAGUAUGCUACUUAAAACUAUUAUAAAAUUAAUAUAUUAUUAUAAAAAUUAGUAUAUAAUAUAUAAAAUAUUUAUUUUUAAUGAAUAUAUUUCUAAUAUAUAUAUAUAUAUAUAUAUAUAUUAACAUAUAAAAUUUAAAAGAUAUAUAAUUAAUUUAUUUUAUUUAAUAAUUUUGAAAUUAUGUUUAUAUUGAAAAAUAUUAUUUUAAAAUAAAUUUUAUAAUUAAAAUAUCUUUUUUUAAAAAUAAUUUUUCACAUUUAAAAUAAAUUAAAUUAUAUUUUAAAUGUGAAAUGCUAUUAAAAAUAUUUUUAUUGUAGUUUAAUUUUAGAAAUCAAAAUUUUAUUUUGUGGAUAUGAAAAUAAUUUAUGAUAUUAUUAAAUAAAAUAAUAGCAAUGUAGUUAAUUAAAGCGAAAUAUAUGUUAGAGAAUCACGUUUUGGAUUUGCAUGGCAAAAUAAUAAAUAUUAUUUGUGUAUGUGUUAUAUUUAAUUAGAUAAUCUUUAAUUAAAAGGAGUGGCAUGGAAUGGUAAAUAUUGAGUAAAACUAAGGGUUAAGUACAAAAUGUACUCCUAUUUUAAUAGAUUAGAUGUUUAUAAUCUAUUCAGACUUAAAAGGCUAAAACCAUAAUGGUGUAAUUAAUUUCAUAUUCGUUUCCGCUAUCCAGACCUUUUUUUUUCUGAACAGCUGAGUUAUCAUAGAAAUUAGGCUUAUGUCCAAAUGCAGUUCAUGUUACAGAGUGCAGCCUUAGCCACACAAUUAGCGGGCCCAUUCUGCUCUCUAGAAACAAAGGAGAAAAAAACAUAAAAUAAAAGAAGCAUAUAGGGUUUCGAUAUCCUAUCGAAUUCCGUAAAAACGAUAGCUCUGACGAUCCCGAGGGAGUCUGAUCGAAUCCAGACUUUAGUGUGUCCAGGGUGAAUCGCGUGGGAUAGGGCCGAUCGCCAAUCUUUCCGUGAGGAGAGGUGAUUUCACACAAGUGCUUGGAAACCUUGCUGUGGAGGGACGUUUGGUACUGUGAAGAUCCAGCCGAGUCAUGUUUCCUUUGUUGAUGGGUUCCAAGCAGCGUCCGAGUUACACAGUACGGUCCAUGUCGGGAUCGAGGGAAUAUGUGGUUGCAUCGGAGCUUUGAUCUGGUCGUACAUACCAUAUAUGAUGCACUUCAGACAGAGACCAAGGCGCAGGGGCGGAGGCAGUGUAACCAGUGUUUGAGGUGUGGGUCAGAUGACCCCACUAUUUUUUAAAAAAAUAUAUGUUAUUUCAAAAAAUAAUUUAUUUAUUCAUUGAUAUACGACAAUCGCAUCCCUUAAACUAAUGUCUUUAACUUACAAAACCACUUCCCACUUUCCAAAUCGUAGUUAUCCAGCUACAAAGAAUUAAGAUAAGAACCAAAAUGAAAGCCACUGAAAACGUUACUCUUCCAUAGUGUGAUGAUGUUACACUUUUAUAAUAUGACGAGCUUGAAAUUGAUUGUAUGCUUAAAAUUAAAAGGCAACCAGAGAUUUGCAUUAUAUCAUAUACAUUAACAACAAAAUAGAGAUCCGUCGAUAAGCAUAUACCACAAGUACUAUGCCAUGAAGCACUACUUGAGUGUUGAGUCAAACAAGCGUGAAUCAAUCCCACAUUGCUUGUUAUUUAAUGGAAAUAAGAAUGAAGCAUGUACAUAUUUAAGCGGCUUUGGGAGUUUUAAUAUUUUUAACCUAAAUACCAUUUUAGUAUUAUGAUUAAAAGUUUUGAAACUUCCUAGCCAUAAUCAUCGGUUACUUUAUAGUUAUCUACAUCACAUGACAAGCUAUAUAUGUAAAAUGGAUUCACCAUUGAUGAACAAAGCUUGUAUACGUACUGGCUAACUCUUUGGAAGGAACGUACAAAUAUUAAAGGGAUCCACGACAGAAUAUCAAACAAUUAAGCGAGAGCAUGUCCAGAUUCUACCUAUAUCAAUGCUCUAGUUCUCACCGGCUUGAGACGGUGUGCAUUAUUUUCAACCAGUACUUGAAGACUCUACACAAGGCCACAAGCCAAUGUAAAGCAGAACAUUCGUAUGAUACGAUUGACAAAUUGAUUAAAGGAUAGAUAAGUAGGCUAUAUAUAUACAAUUAAGAACUUAGUUGAGAGGAACGAACAAAAACAAUAUGUGCAUAUUCACCACCAUCCCACAUCUUUCUGUCACUCGCUUCAGCUUGUGCACAAGUUUCAACCAUCAAUUGAUGAAACACUAUCUUAGCAAAAAAAAAAAAAACUUCUGCUUCAAACAGGUAUUGUCCAACUAAUAUUUGCCAUUCUCAUUUAAUUUAUUGAACCACCGGCUCAGCCGGGACCAAACCUCACGAUCUUCACGGUGUGCACCAUCUUAGCCAUAUCACCAAACUUCGGAGAGCUUCCAUCAACCUAUGUUGAGAUCUCGUCCAAGCCAAACACCGAAGACCCAUCACAUGCAACGGAAUCACCACCGGCGGAGAGCUUACAUCGACCGUUGUCGAGAUCUCAAUAUAUUUCUAAUAUAUAUAUAUAUAAACAUAUAAAAUUAAAAAGAUAUAUAAUUAAUUAUUGUAUUUAAUAAUUAAAAAAUUAUGUUUAUAUCAAAAAAUAUUAUUUUAAAAUAAAUUUUAUAAUUAAAAUAUCUAGUUUUAAAAAUAAUUUUUCACAUUUAAAAUAAAUUAAAUUAUAUUUUAAAUGUGAAAUACUAUUAAAAAUAUUUUUAUUGUAAUUUAAUUUUUGAAAUCAAAAUUUUAUUUUGUGGAUAUGAAAAUAAUUUAUGAUACUAUUAAAUAAAAUAAAUGAAUUAAUUAUAUAUUUUACUUAGUUUUAUAAAUUAUAAAUGCAAAUGCUCUUCUAAAAACUUCAUAUGAGAGCACUGGCUAGAAAGCAUUUAGAGAGCAUUAACAUUUAGUAAAUGAUUCUAUAAAUGAUUUUCUAACAAUUAUUGAUUGAAUAAUGUAUAGCAUAAUGUUAAUGCUAAUGUUCUACUAAUCAAGGCCUAAGUUACUAAUAAAUUAGUUUUUUUAUUCGAUAACUAAUUGAGUCAUGUUAUGAUUGGUGACAUUCACCAAUGAUACUAGCUGAACCGGAGUUGGUUCUUAGCGAGUUGGUACAAGAAUUAGAAGAAGAUAACCAGAUUGGUUAUUGCAAGUCGGCUUAUGAUUCAGUGUACUGGUAUCCUUUAUAUAUCAAAGGUGAGAGGAGAAGUCAGUUACAUUGAAAGAAGCUUAGCUACAUUCAGCUGAGAGAAAGAUUCGCGGAAUCAGAAAGAGAGAAGAAGAUUGUUCUUGAGCUUGAUGUAUUUGUAAAGUGUCUUGAUCAUCUUUUUUGUAAAAACUCUUGGAGUGAGUAGUGAAGUGUUGCUUGUGCCGUCAAGCUCCAGAUGUAUCGGAUCCACAUCGGAUUCCGAACUGGGUUACCAAAUCUCUGAGUCUUUUUUUUUGUGCAAUUCUGUUCUUGUUACGAUCAAACGAGUGAUUGAGAGAGUGAGAUUGAGAGAACAAACAGAGAGAGCGUGAGUUAGAGAUUGGGCGACGACGUUCGAAGAACCAAGACUAGGAGAUUCGAUUCGAUUCAUUAGAAGUCAAAUAUAUUUUUCGUACAACAUGUUUUGAUAUGGUUGUCUACUUUGAAAUACACAAUCAAUACUAUUAAAUUAGGAACAUGUCCUAUUGAUAAUAGUUAAGUCCAACUUUAAAUAUAACUGUAAUUAAAAUCAAUAUUACAUGUUUAAAUAUUUAAACUACCAUAAUCUACCUAUUACGAAAAUGGUUAUCAAACUAACUCCCCUUUAAUUCCUAUAUUCUCGGGACCAUCUCUCUUAUCAAUACUAACUGAUUAAAAUCCACGGUUACGCAUGUUUUAUACAUAUGCGCAUGCGUAUAAAACUAUAUCACAAACUCAUAAUGCGCAUAACAAACAAUACUAACUAAUUAAAAUCCACGGUUACAUGGAAUAACAGUCGUGUACUAGACAUGUUCAUAAUGACACAAUCAUAAAAUCUGUCUAUUACCUUUUAACCAUGUAGGUAAAAGUAAAACUAUAUUAAAGCACACACAAAAAUAUUAAAAAAUAAAUUAGAUAACUAAACUAUCUAUUUUGAUUCAGGUAUUUUAUUUCUAAGUUACUUAACUUAUUUAAAAAUAACUGAAAUUAUCAAAAUACAACAUGUUGUUAAGAUUUAUCAAGACUUAUAUAUCAUAAAUUGUCUCAAAAUCACUCUCCAAUUAACCUAUAUAAAUAUCCAAAAUUUUAAAAGGUACGUCUACCGUAUUCUAAAACAAGAUUUAGAAUUUACGGUUACGUAAUAUAUCUGAGCGGGUGGAAGAAUAGAAACCAUAAGAUUGAUAUAUAUAUAUAUAUAUAAUAUAACCUUUUCAAAUUAAUACUCUUUAAAUCAAUAUACACUAAAAAUUUCUAUAAAAUAAUAUAAUUUUAUAGUCCCAAAUUGAGUUUUUUUUGUUUAAUUAGUUUAUCAAUAAAUUAAUAUCUCUAUAAAUUAAUAAAAAUUAUAGUUUUGGUGUAGUUCCAACAUUAUUAAUUUAUAGAGGUUUCACUAUAUGUAUAUAUGUGUGUUCAGAUGCUCACUCGAUUUGGUGUAAUGUUGAGGCGUGAAAAACUGGACAACAAAACCAUAAUUGUAAUCUUUAUAACACUUUUGAAAAAUACGAUAAUUUUCAAAUGAAAUACGUCUACAUAAAAAAAUGUUUAUUGCUGAAGUAUACUAUUUUUUACUUGAUAAAUUUCUCUAUAUAUUACUAUUUCAAGUGUUCAAUAAUAUCUUAAAAUUAUCAUCAAAAUAAAUUUUAAAUCUAAAAUAAAUAACAUAAUCUUAUAAUAGGUUAUUAAUAUUUCAUAUCAAUUAAUUUUAUUUUUAUAUAUUACCAUUUUCUCUUUUUUUGAAUGACAUCAUAACAAUUUCAUCAAAAUCAAAAGAAUCACAAAAUUAUUCAAUUUUAUUUUAUUUACCGAAGACCAUAUUAACCCACAUAUAUAUAUAUAUAUAUAUUUAAUAGAAUAUAUUAAAAAAAAUUCAAAAACAUUUGUUCGGUUUUCAGUGCAGAUUGGGUUUUACAUUUGUUUUCCGAUAUAACACUUUAAGAACCACUUGAGUAUAUGGGUCUAAUCUAAUAGAGUAUGAUACUUUGAUUUUUGGGUUGAUUUCGAGUGGGUUUUUUGGGUACGGAUAUUUUUGACGAAUUAUGUUAGGUAACUAUUAAAAAAAUAUAAUAUGUUGCAAAUUUUAGGAAUAAAGUUUAAAAAUAAUUUCUCAAAUGCAUAUGACACAAGUGUACAGUUAUGCAACCAUUGACAUAUUUAAUAUAAUUACCAAAAAUUAUAUUAAAUUAAUAUUAAUAUUAAACACAAAUAUAAAAACUAAAUUUCUCAAAAUUAAAAAAAAAUAUAUUCGCCCUUUCAAAGGGCGGGUCAGAAUCUAGUUAAAUGUUAACGUUCAAAGAGAAUUAAUGUAAAACUUCUGACAUGUAAUGUUGUGUUGAAAUCUUCAUUUUACUAAUUACAGAUUGCGUUCUCUUCUAGGUUUGAAAUUAAAAAAUAAAAUCUGGUUAACACACUCUCGAGAAAGAUCAAUAAAAUUUAUCGCUUUCUUCGCGGUAAGUCAUUUGGUAAUUGCAGUCAACUCAUGAACUCAACAAAAUCAGAUCUGAUAACGAACAAAAAAAAGAUUCAUGAUGUGGACGUUGGCAUGAUACCUUACGUUAUUAUACAAUUAUACUAAUAAAAGGUGCCAAGGUAGCUUUCAAUAUCAUAUCAUCAACGUUACUUUAUCUUCUUCAUAAAUGCACAAAUCAUUUCUCUUAUACUGGUGCUUAUGGAUGGUCACAAAAUCCGAUCUACGUUCUUGAGAAUAACAUCCAUAUAGACCAAAAUUACUACAUGGAGAUUGGAGAAUCAGAUUAGCAAGGUGAUCAGUUGGAAGUGGAGUCUUUCUAUAAGUUUAUAUUAUCUACUGGUUAUUCUGGUGCUUAGAGGUUAAAACAUAUUAGUUGUUUUCAACCCCUUCUUCAAAUGUUUGAGCCAGUCUUAAAGAAUGGCAGAAAGGAACUGCUCUAUGGAAGUCACAUGCACGAGGUCAAUAACAGUCACUGCUCCUUCAAACAGCUAAGCUGUGUUGGCUGCAAAGUUUUGAUCAGGUAAUUUGCGCUUAUUUUUCUAUAUGUAUUACUGUAAUCAUGCUCCUUUUUAAGGAAUAUAAAUUAGGAUCCUGCAAAUAAUACUAGAUUUUAUGUUUUUCAAAUUUUCAUAUUGUUGGAUUCCUUUGUUCCUAUAAUCUUAGCUUAUAUUAUUCAACGUGUGGGUGCUUUUAACUCCAGUCAGCAAUGGAACUCUGUGUGCACGUUUCAAGGGAAGAGAAGUCGAGUUAUACCAUUUUCUAUAGACCUUUUUUUAAUCCCUCGUCACUAACAUUUCUGAAAAGGACUUUUGUGUAAAUUUAGUGUCAGACCUAGAAGAGCUCUUUGGGAGGCUGUAGACCCAGUGUCAAGAAUGCAAAGGCUCUUUUCAUCAAGAUGUGUUGUCUUUUCACAAUUGAUUCUGAUCCAACUUCUUUUUUUAUGCGAUUUCUUAUUGGUCUUAACAGCCGAGAUUGUCCAGAAUUUUAUCGGAGAAUUAAAGCACAUAUGGGGACAUGGCCACAGUCAAGCAAUAACUCGACCUUUGGAGCUUCUAAUUAAGUUCUUUUGUUGUUUCAACCGGUUUCUUUUUUCUAUUGUAUUUCAGUUUAAAUUGAACGUUAGAUCGGCUUUGCGAUGGGCCGAUGUAGUAGUUGUAUUAAGCGCACCAUCAUCGGUUACAACUUCAUAAAACAUAGAUCCUAGGAAAGCCAUAUACAAUAUUAGGCUUAGACAAAUGAAAUAUUGGUCUAAAACUCUCAAAAUUUAAUGUUAACAAAUCGUUAAGAACAAAGUUUUAUUAAGAUUCUUGUUAAUUUAUAUAAUUCUUAAAACCUCAGGAGCUGCUCUAUAACAACUCGUGUUCCUAUUAGCAAAAUACAUAUUGGUGAUUGAACAAAGCUUGUAUUCUUACAUACUUGCUAACUCUUUUGAAAGAACGUACAAAUAAUAAAGGGAUCCACUACAGAAUAUCAAACAAGUAGAGCAUGUGCAGAUUCGACGCAUAUCAGUGCUCUAGUUCUCACCCUCUUGAGACGGUGUGAAUGAGUUUCAACCAGUGAAACCUCUACACAAGGUCACAAGCCUAUGAAAGCAGAACAUAAACGAUUGAUUUAGAGGUAGAUAAGUAGGCUAUAUAAAAUUAAUAACUUAGUUGGUAGAACGAACAAAAACAAUACGUGCAUAUUCUACCACCAUCCCACGUCUCUCUUUCACUAGCUUCAGCUUGUAAACAAGUUUCAACCAUUAACUGAUGAAACAAUACACAUUAGCUGAAACGAGAGAACGAGAGAUAUGGGAUGUGGUAAGAUGAUCUAUCCGAGUAGACAAUUGAAGAAUUCCAUUUACGUAGAUAGAUUGAGAUACUAAAGAAAAUUGAGCGACUAUAUAUAUAAAGAGAUAGAAGAAAGCCAUAGAAAAUCACAUUAGGGUUGAAAACAUUGUAACCGAAGAUUUUCUUAUCUUAAUUAGAAGAUAAUAUAUUCUUAGAAUAGAACAAUCUUAUCGCAUUUUGGGCUUAAAACUUAAAACAUUGUAACCAAAGAUUUUCUUAUCUCAAUUAGAAGAUAUUAAUUCUUCUUUUAUUCAUUUCAAUACAAUAAUCUUAUCCCUUGAAUUAAUAUAAGUGCCACGUUAUCAAAUAUGUUUUAAAAUAUAACAUAUUCCUGUGUACAUGUUUUGAUAUCAGUUGUCUACUUUGAAGUUUGAAGUAAAUAAUUACAUUUUAACUUUCAAAGAAAAUGUAAAAUUUAUUACUUAUGUAUUGUUGUGUUGAAAUCUUCAUUUUACUAAUUAGUUCUCUUUUAGGUUUGGGACUAAAAGAUAAAAUCUGGUUUAACACACUCUAGAGAAUUCAAGAUUUUAUCGUUUUAGCCAGUGCUGGUCCAACAUUUUUAGAUACAAUAAGUAAAACUUUAAUAAUAUUUUUAUGUUUUGAUCAUAUAUAUAAAAAUAUAUUUAUAAUAAAAAUAUAUUAAAAUAUAAUAAACUAAUUAACCUCUAUUAAUGAGGUGAAGAUGACUUGAUGAAAUUAUUUGUAUAGUAAUGUUAAUCAGUGUUACCAUAAAUAUUUGAUUAUAUAUAAUCAUAAUUAUACUAAAAUCAUUUGUUAAUAUGAAAUUUUAAAUUAAACAACAUAUUAUUUAUCAGCUCCAUAGAAAAUAUUUCUUACAAAUAUUAUAAUUAUCAAAAAAUUAUAGAUUCAUUUACAUAUCGAUAUUAACCAAAAUAAUAAUAUGAAAAAGUUAAAUAAAAAUGUGGAUCCUCAAAACUAUAUGCUUUAAGCAUCUCCAAGAACAACCUUAUUUUUAAGGUUGGAAGAAACCUCAAAUUUGAGGUUUGAGGGUGUUUCUCUCCGAUAGUAAAACCUUAAAUCUAAUCUUUAAAAAAAUUAUAUAUUUGCAUUUAGUCCUCUAUAUUAAUCAAAACUGAACUAAGUUAUCAAUACUUUUAUAUAUAAUAUAACAUACAUUAAAGUAAUACUAGUGACAAUAUUGAUUAAUAAAACACCAAGUUAUAAUAAAUAAUAACUGACAAAUUUAAACUAAAUCAUUAAUUACAAAUAAAAUACUAAAUUACUCAAUAUAAUAAAAAAGUAAUGCUUUUAUAUAUAACCAAUUGAUGAAAGUUUGAAUAAUACAUCAUUUUUUUAAAUAGUUAUAUGUAAGUUAUGAACUAAAUCAUUAUUUACAUCUGGAAAAUUAAUGAAAUAUGAAAGUUAUAAAGACUAAAAUGAUAGAUAUUAAAGUUAACAAAAUUAUUUAGAAUACAAAUAAUUGUGAGAACUGAAAAAUAUGAAACCUCAUAUAUAAGGUUUAUACAGUGAAACUUGAAAUAUAAGGUUUCAGUAUACAAAAUCUUAUAAUCUGAGGUUUUGAGGUUGUUAUUGGAGAACAUAAAAUUUUAUAUUUGAAGUUUUAGGGUUAUUUUAGAAAUGUUCUUAACUGGCGUUAAAAAUAAAAUUGUUUGGGUGUUUGCCUUUGGGUCGGCCCUGCUUUAGCAGUAGUUCAGUUGGCAAUUAACUUGGAGAUACAUAUUUGAUCUCUGAGAUAUUAGAGUUAGGCUUUUAAUCCUUAAACAUCUUAAACUCUUACGAGCAUCUCAAGAAGAAACUCGAUAACUUAAAAUAUAGAAUUUUAAGAAGCGAAACUUCAUAUUUGAAGUUUCACUAUUCAAAACUCUAAAUUUGAAGUUUCAUCUUUUUAUUUGCAUCUUGGUCCUUAUAAUUAAUUAUAUCUCACAUUUAUGAUUCUUAAGUAUUUUCUCAUUCAUAGUUUUAAACUUUUAAACUUUUGUAUACUUUAAAUAUUUCAAUUUUAUUUAAAUUUAAAUUUUACAUAUAAUUUUUUUACUAAAAUUAAAAUAAGAUUUAUAAUAUUUUAAAAGUAGAAUUAGACAACAAGAAUAUUACAAAAGAAACUUAUAAUAGAAACUUUUUUAAGAAAAUAUAUGAAGACAUAAUUAUUACAUAAAUUUAAAUAUUAAAACAACACUAAUAAUCUAGUAAAAUUUCUUCGGAACUUCUAAAAUAUUUUCCAAACAAAUUUUGUGUAACCAAAAAUUGAGCAUUAAAUAUAUAAUUUAUGUAAUAAUAUGGUAUUUUUCUUGUAGUUUAAUAUUUAAUUAUGUAUUUCUUUUUUAUAAUUUUAUAUUUUAAUAUAAGCUUUUAUUAAUUAAUAUUACUAUAAUAUUUUUAUAUAUGUGCUAGUUAUCUAUAAUUUUUUUUAUGGAUUUAUAUUAAUUAUGACAAAUAUAAAGAGUAUAAUGUAAAUUACAAAUAAUUUUGAAGUUAAAUUUGGGGUAUGAAUGGUGACCAGGAAACUGCGAGGAAUAAUGCAUUUCUUAACGUUCUUAAAAAAAUAUCACCAUUCACAAAGAAUAAUUUUUUUUUUCAUUUCCUACCAUUCUUUUUUUUUGUAGAGAAAUAAAAAAAACAAAAGUAUUCCUUGUUAAAUUUGAGAAGAAAUACUUUUCUUUUUCAUUCCUGCAAUUUUAUUCCUUUACGUUUAUUUUCUAUUUGUUCAUCUUGUUUCCAGAAUGGUCACUAGUCGAACCCUUUAAGUUUUACUUUUGGACAAAAACAUUUUGAAAUUUCAAAUAUAGAGUUUUGCAAACUCUAUAAUAGAGAGUAUUUUUGGAGAUGCUCUACUAAACCUGAUUUUGUAUAAAUCUUAGAGACUGUUUUCUUGGGCUUCAUUAAUCAAAGAUGCGUUUUUAAUCUUCACUACCUAUAAAUUUCACAAUGUUUCAGACACCACAUCCACGUGCGCGAUAUCCCCAUUAGCCAAACUCAACUACCAAGCCUAUGAACUUUAAAGUUUUGAUUUUUGACCCUUUAUUCUCGUUUGUUUUGGUUCGGUACGAAAUAACAAGCAGGCAAUUCUGGCUUUUCUUACAAUAAACUAAAAUACAGGGUUUAGUUCAAGAAAAUAAAUAAGAACGUGGGUAAAUUUGGAAAUUUAUAAUAAUUGUCUUUUGCAAUUAUCAAGUUUAUAAAAUUGCUUUCGGACAACGAAGGUUCAGUUUCAGACAUUUGUAUCAAUUUCGAGAUCAAGCGAUUUCAUAUAACCCCGCAUCGUUGUCUGUGUAUCCAGAAGAAAGUCGUCUCCUUUAUCUGUUACUCUCAGAGUAGUUUCAUCAAAUGGCGUACGAGAAAGAGCUUGAUGCCGCUAAGAAAGCUGCUUCACUCGCAGCUCGUCUCUGUCAGGUCUUGGGCCUUCUCCUCUGUCUCAUAACUCUUAAAGUUUGAUUCUUUUACAAAACCCAUCUUGAAUAUGUAUUGCUUCUGUAAUGGGGAAUUGAAUCUUGUGAUAUUUCACCUUUGUUUGGAUGAUAAUCAUCUUUUUGUUUGGUUGGUUGAUUCAGAAAGUUCAAAAGGCUUUGUUGCAGUCUGAUGUUCAAUCAAAAUCUGAUAAAAGUCCAGUCACCGUUGCUGAUUAUGGUUAGUUUCAAUCUUACUGAGAUUGAAAAUGUUUUUUUUACAUAACCAAUACAUAGUAACUGUCUUUUUGCUGUGUCUUUCAGGUUCACAAGCAGUUGUUAGUUUACUCUUACAAAGAGAACUCAUUUCCGAACCCUUUUCAUUGGUGGCUGAAGAGGUGAACAGACACUUUCUCUUACAUUACUUAUGUUCUGAACCCUUCUCACUCACAUUGUCUUAAAACUAUGUAUAUAGGACUCAGCCGAUCUACGCAAGGAAGGUUCUCAGGAUAUUAUCGAACGCAUCACCAAACUCGUCAACGACACUUUAGCUACUGAGGAUCCACUCAAACCAAUUGACUCUACUUUAUCAACGGAUGAUAUUCUCAGAGCCAUUGACUGUGGCACUUCCGAAGGUGGUCCUAACGGUCGGCACUGGGUCUUGGAUCCCAUUGAUGGCACUAAAGGGUAAAAGUCUUCAAAACUAUCUUUGAGAAACUAUUGGUGUGUUUCUAACACUGAACUUGUUUCGGUGGAUUGUAGAUUCUUAAGGGGAGAUCAGUACGCAGUAGCAUUAGGAUUGCUAGAGGAAGGAAAAGUAGUGUUGGGUGUGCUUGCUUGUCCAAACUUGCCAUUGGCUUCCAUAGCAGGAAACGACAACAAGAACAAGAACUCUUCUUCUUCAGAGGAAAAAGGAUGUCUCUUCUAUGCUACAAUCGGUUCAGGGACAUACAUGCAGCCUUUAGAUUCGAGAUCUGAACCAGUCAAAGUACAUGUCUCUAGCGUUGAGAAUCCUGAAGAUGCUUCCUUCUUUGAAUCGUUUGAAGGAGCUCACUCUCUUCAUGAUCUAUCCAGCUCCAUUGCCAAUGUAAGUUGCUUCUAUCUCUUGUCUCCCCCUAUGUGAUUCUGUUUGAUCAACUGUUAGGCGGUAACUAGGUGUUUUAUAGGAAAUUAUUGUUUAAGCAGACGCCUAAACCGUUUUUUUUUUUUAACAUAGACCACUUUUAAAAAAAAUAAUUGUUCUAUAAAAAUCGCUUUGUUCAGCCCGAUUUGGCGCCUAGGGGAGUGCCUAGUCGCCGCCUAGACCGAUUUUUAGAACAGUGCAUUUGAACAACGUUCUCUGUUUGCUAUGUACAGAAACUUGGUGUGAAAGCGCCACCUGUCAGGAUAGAUAGCCAAGCGAAGUAUGGAGCUUUAUCAAGAGGAGAUGGAGCUAUAUACUUGAGGUUUCCUCACAAAGGAUACCGUGAGAAGAUUUGGGACCAUGUUGCUGGUGCUAUAGUUGUUACAGGUAACAACAACAUAAUAAACAUUACAAUAUACCGAAUAUGUGAAUGUGAAUGCAAUAUUUGGUUUUGUUUAUGGGACGCAGAGGCUGGUGGGAUCGUGACGGAUGCAGGUGGAAAGGCAUUGGAUUUCUCGAAAGGGAAGUAUCUUGAUUUGGACACAGGGAUUAUAGUUGCUAACGAGAAGAUAAUGCCUCUGCUUUUGAAAGCAGUUCGUGACUCCAUAGCUGAGCAAGAGAAUGCUUCAUCUCUCUGAUUGUUUCUUCGUCUUUCGUUUCUUUGCAACUCUUUGUAUUCACUUCCUUUCACCACCACCACAAGGAAUAAUAAUGUUUCAUUACACACUCAGAGUUUCUUCGGUUUCUUUUAAAUUCAAAUGGAUAUGAGACUUUGAUGAACAGAGAGAUGGAUUGAUACAUUGUUGAGUUUAUACAAGAAUGGAUUAAAACAGAAACAAAAGAUGAUCACCAUUUCCAGAAAACAUUGGAACCACACUUGAACUUGUCUUUGCCUUCACAUUCCAACGCCAAAUCUUCUGAGAUAAAUGGAACUUUCUGCAUAUACGAUAAACACAAAGAAGAAACAUCACCAUCUCUUCAAAAAAAGAUUGUCCUCAAAAGAAAGAAAGCAAAGGUUGAGUUUAAGGAAUAGCCUUUUGCUUGGCAAGAUCUUGGCAGCCAGUGAAAUUCUCAGGGAACUUGCAGCUUCCGAACUGGACAGUAAACGCUCUCGCAAAGUUUGCUCCACUUGUUGCCAAUCUCUUCUUAUCAUUCAGCUCCUAUACUCAAAUUAUCAAAUAAAAACCAUUACUUAGCAUAUAGAGGUUUCUUAAAAGAUCUCAACAACGUUUUCAAGACUUUUACUUUGUUGGCUUUGCUCUUCUCGAGGUAUUCAUCGAAGACGCUAGCAUUAGCGGAAGCAGAUACAGCAGCAGAGGAGAAGAGUGUAGCAGCUAAGAACACCAUUGCGGAUCUUCUUCCAUUAACAUCAUCACCACCAACUCUUUGAGCUGCUUUGAUCACUGGAAGCGUUUGUUUCUUUUGACCAAAACCAACUGAUGAAUUGACCAAACCCACUUUCUGGUUCAGUUCUGCUGAGCCAGCACCAGAGAUAGCGUAGCUGCAG
rnacentral:lncRNA from 1 species